rnacentral:lncRNA from 1 species
CUGUUUGGUGUCACUUUUCUUCUGCUUGGAUCGUUUCAAGGAUCUAGUAUUUAGUCGUGAGGAACUGGCUGGUUCAUAGGGUGGCAGGAUGUGUCAAACUCAGCUUAUACCCUCCGAGUGGCUCUCACUCGUUAUGUGAAGUCUGUAUGUUCGUGUAGGUCAUAAUUGGUUGAGCGAACCCUGAGGUUCGUGAACAAAAGGUCUGGAGCAUUCUGUUACAACGUGAAAAGGUGAAUUUGUUGUCUGUAAGCGGUGCGCUUUUGCUGCUCCUUUCUUCAUUCCUCUAUUUCUUUCUUCCCUCCUAUUAUCCCCUGAAUUUUCACCUUCGAAGGUGAGAGUCCGGAUACCUCUAAUCCUUCAUCACUUAAGUAUUAAAUUGUGCUGUAAGUCUACACGGAGUUUCAAUAUGGCGCGAUGAUUUCAGGAGGUGUCAUGGAUUGUGAGGAUUCCCAUCUCUGUCCGUACUUCUGUAGACUCCCUUGUGCACAAUCGCGCACUCGACAUGAGAUCCAGGAUAAGAUAUUUGUAAACCAAUUUCGCUCAACUUAGUCGGCCUGAAUCAGGGCGUGUAACCGUCUAGAAUGACAACCAUUGCCGUCCCGUCUAAACCCGGCCCCAUGGGAUUUUUCAAGACCCAGCAGGACUUGUGGCUCACACGCGGGGGCGUUGUGGCCCUUUUGAUUGGCUCCAUCGUGUUUUUCAAGUUUUUGCUGGACUCACAGCCAAAUCUCAUCGCCGUCGACCUCUCCGUAGGUCGACUCACUGGUGCAGCGGAGUGUCAAAAUUGCACCUAUUCUGGAAUUGCAGCGACUAAUCGAACUAUUCGGUUACCUCAAACAACGUUUCAAAAUUCCUUUCUUCCCUGCAAAGACUACGUGAAACCUGGAAGCAGCGCACGUGAUUUAGACGUGGAUAAGUAUUUCAAGGUUGCGGUGGAGGAUUCCGAGCUGCUCCACGCUGCGCAGGACGAAUCGACUAAGCCACUUCCCGACGGAAACCCCAAAAUUGCAUUUUUGUUCAUUCUUCGGCAGAAGAUCCCACUUGAGCCUCUUUGGGAGCGUUUCUUUGCAGACGCGGAUGAGGAUUCCUAUUCCAUUUACACGCACCCCAGUUUGUGGAUUGACCAAUUUCCGAAUACAUCCGUCUUCUACAACAGGUCCAUCUCAACGAAAGAAGUGAGGCGUUUCGAUAUCAGUCUUGUUGACGUUGUGCGCAGGUUGCUGGCCUUUGCCUUGCUGGAUUCGAACAGAGCCAACAUGUGGUUUGCCCUCGUCUCUGAAGCGUGCAUGCCAGUUCGGAGCUUCCCGUAUAUCUACGACUAUUAUAUGAAUUCUACAACGAGCUUCGUUGAAGCCUUUUCACCUCUUCAGAGGUUGAUUUCAUUAGAAACAAUCAUUUCGUUUGUCAAAGCUUGAAUUCAUCUCAGCUCCAUUCUAUUGGAGUUUACCUUACCAAUCUCUGCAGAUUACUGAUGAUUUGUGGUUACGUUCUCUGAUUUCCUCCAGGUACAAGCAUUGGGAGACUAGGCCCGUAUUCAAGAUGUCGCAGCUUCGCAAGGGUGAGCUAUGGAUGUCAAUGCACCGUCGCCACGCUGGAAUGGUGGUUGGUGACGUCACGUUUUACCGCAAAUUCAAAGCGGACUGCCGAAACGACUGCACUCUUGAUGAGCAGUACAUACAAACUCUGCUCCAUACCUUAGAUCCCAAGGUGAGAAAUAUAUCAAACAAAAGCGCUGGGUCAAAAACCAUGUGCUGCAAACUUUAAUUCAUUUUGCAACAGUCUCCAACUGCUUUGAACUAGAUCUUGGUCAAAUCUCUUCAAGCGUUGAAAAAGUGCAUGUAUGAACGAAACCCGAGGUCUUCGGUGGACAGAGACAGUCUGUGGAACGACGCGAUGUGUAUCCAGUGCAACAGUUGAAGCUGCCGUUCCAUGCAGCUUCUCUCUAUUAGGCCUUCCUCGUGUCAUUUACCUUGACGAGGAAUAGUCAAACUCAUUUCAUCAGUCUAUUUAUAAGUUUCAGGAUAGUGUGGCACUCUAGUGGAACUCAUGAACAAUUACUAUGGUUCUGGCUGAUCUCCAAGAUCUCAGAGAUUCAUGCGACAAAAGUUAACGUCGUAGCUCCUACACCUUGAACCCUAUAAAUCCUUGGUACCAUCUUGCUCAUAUGCUCAGUGCUGGAUGAGUGUCAGCUUCACAGUAGUUGCGAGUGUCAUGAGGUUCAUAUGACAGUUGGCGUUGCAUUCAGUUGAGAUAACUUUCUUUUCUAGAGGAGGCUAGAUUCAUACUAUGAUUGAGAGAAUCUGCUAUACCUAAUAGGAGCAUUGUUUCGGAAGUAUGAGUAUGGUACUCCGCCAGGGUACUACUGGGUGAGAUUAUGUGUUGUUUUCACAAUUCUCAUCGUUUCUCGUACACCGUCAUUGUGUUGCCCCCCCCCUCGACCUUUCUCACCACCCUCAUUGGGUGAAUGCCUGAAAAUCUGCUAACCUGGAGAUAGGGCAAACAUCCUAGAAAUUGCUCUAUUAAAGAUUCUUAAAGACUUCGAGAACAUUUAGAGCCGUUAUAAGAGUAUAGGUUCAUUGGUUCGAUCUAUGGUAACCGGGUGAUUAAUACGGUAAUAUUUGCUACUCGUGCAGGGCAUAGCAAAUCGGUCAGUCACUUACUCUGACUGGUCCAAUCCUAAUCACGGAUGGUCGCCCCAGAAUCACUACGCUGGGCUGAUAAACCCCGAGCUAUUCAAGAAGAUACAGAAUAGGACCGAGAAUCUGGAUGGGCAAUACAUGGACUCAUCAGAUGACUUCAACCACACAAUGCAGACAUGCGUGUACAACGGACGACCACAUUCACUCUGUUUCUUGUUCGCACGAAAAUUUUCAGGUGAAGCGGCAGAUGUUGAAGCAUUGCUCAAGCUUCCGAAGAGUGUUUUAGGAUACUGAACCUGUUCCGAAAAGUGAACGCUACUUCUGCAUAUUAAUUGCCCAUCAUAUCACUUUUCCGAGGGCAUCACAUAUGCUGCAAGGAUACGUUCGACAUCUGAUUCCAUUUGCACCGGAAGGGUCUCUAGGGCCAUCCGGAUUGUUCCAUCGUGCCUCGUUUCUGAGCAAGUUUAUUUGUUCCGAUAGUUCCUCGAGAAUGAGUCUUGGUUCUUUGUUUUCAAGGACACCUUAUUCUUCACAGUGUGGGGGUCAGCGGGGUCAGCGGUAGAAGCCAGGGCAAUUGUAGCAGGUUUGCUCUUCUAAAGGCGAUGAGAUGUAUGACCCGAAUAUCGAAGCACACAUUCAGGUGUUAGAGCAUUGCAUCAUUCGAAGAAAAAAACGUUGACUCUAGCCUCGGGCAUUAGAUCCGGUGGAAGUGAUCGAAUGAUGUGUUGUGAUUCCACUCGUCUCAUGAAAUCUCUUUCAUCACAGGUGGCUAGUUUAGCAUGGUGAGUUAAUCGUGAGAAAUUAAGCUUCAAGUUCUCACAGUGAUAGUACUUAGUGGUGGUGAAAUAAUCCCAAUCUAGAUUGCAUUGAUUUGCAACUAUGAAUGGUGUCUGACUUAGUUGUACAUAUGCCUAGAUGUUGAGUGGAAUAAGUGCGAUAUUGCAACACAUUGUCGUGUUACUAGAAGAAAUAAAAUAUUUUAUUGCAGAAGAGCCUAAUUAAAAAGAUAUAAUAGAAAAAUAGAGAUAAAACAUAGAUAAAUAGUAAAAUCGUAUAAUGUUAGAAAUAUCUUGCAUAAAAAUGGAUUGUACUUAUUUUGUAUGGCCAUAAAUAACACAAAAGAAGAUACAUUAGAUAAAAACAAUAAUAUAGUCACAUAUAAGAGGAAGUGAAGAGUUGAUUUUAGCAAAAAAUUACCUCAAAAAAAUAAGAAUUAAUAGGAGGAGAGUAUCAAUUGCCAACUAUGAUCAAAAUCAAUCCGUAAGUCGCAAAACUAAACCUAUACCAUUUCGAGCGCUUUUUGGCAUAGUCAAGAGUGAGAUUUGAGAGAAGACAAGGUUAAGCUUCUUUGAGCGUUAAUUUUGAAGGAUUUGAGUUUGUAAUGACUUUAUAAAAACUUUGUAAAAUCAAGAUUUUUUUUAGAUGAUUAGAGUAGGAUUAAGAUUUAUUAGGAUUUCAUUAAGAUUUGGUUUAGAGUUUGAUUUGGAUUUUGGAUAUGGAUAGGAUUUGGUCUAGGAUUUGGUUAAGGUUUAAGAUUUGGUUAGGAUUUGGUCUAAGAUUUGAUUAAAAUUUGGUUAGAAUUUGAUCUAAGUUUUAAUUAAGAUUUAAGAUUUGAUUGGGGUUUGGUCUAGGAUUUGGUUAAGAUUUAAAGUUUGAUUAGGAUUUGAUUAGGAUUUAGAAUUUGAUUAAGAUUUGGUUAGGGUUUAGAGUUUCAUUAAAGUUUUUUGAGGAAUAUAUUAGGAUUUGAUUAUGAUUCAAUUAGAAAUUCUAUUAUUAAAAUUUCUUUAAAAUUUCUUUGAUAUUUCUUUAAGAUUUUAUUAUUAUAUAUAUAUAUAUAUAUAUAUAUAUAUAUCUUUAAGGUUGAUUUAUGAUUUCUUUAUGUUUUUUUUAUAAGUUCUUUAAGACUCUUUUGAAAUUUAAUUAAAGAUUGAUUAACAUUAUUAUAAUUUAAUUAGAAUUUAUUUAGGAUUCUAUUAGAGUUGUUAGGAUCUUCUUCUUACAAGUUCUAUUUAUCUUCCAUAGCCGGGUAUCCAAUGCAUUCUUCAGCAAACUUCACAAAAUAUGACAAUACAAUAUAUAUUUGGAGCAUUGUAAGCUUUGGAAAUUAUAAUAAAGUCUUGAAUAAAUGCUAGAUAAUUGCUUCUUAAUAAGAAUUUACUAAUAAAAAGUGCCAAGAGCAUGCUUAUUAGCUUUUAAUUCAGAGGUGCAUUGACAUAUAAUAUUAAUUCUAGCUUACAAGUGCACCCAGUACUUACCUAUGGAAGAUAAAUAGUAAAGUACAACAAUAAGAUUCUAACACAUCUAAUAGAAUCUUCAAUAAAUUCUAAUUAAAUCUUAACAAAUCCAAUCAAAUUUUAACCAAUUUAAAAAAAGUUUAAAAGAAAUUACUAAUUUUUUUUAAAGAAGUAAUAAAUUGAUCUUAAAAAAUAAUAAUAAAGAAAUCUUAAAGAAAUACUAAAAUAAAAACCUUAAAGAAAUAAUAAUGAAUCUUAAAAAAUAAUAAACAAUUCUUUUAAAAUAUUUAAAAUAGAAAUAUUAAAUAAAUCUUAAAUAAAUUCUAGGUAAAUUUUAAUUAAAUCUUAAUAUAGUCCUAAAUAAAUCCUAAAAGAACUUUAAUGAAAUCCUAAUAAAUCUUAAAUAUAUCCUAAUAAAUCUUAAAUAACUCCUAAUAGAAUUUUAGAAAAUUUCUUAAUAAAAUUCUAAAAAAAUCUUAAUAAAAUUCCAAUCAAAUCUUAAUUAAAUUCUAAUCAAAAUCCUUAUUAAAUCCUAAUCAAAAUCCUAAUUCAAUCUUAAUCAAAUUCUAUAUCCUAAUCAAAAUCAUAAUUAAAUCUUAAUCAUAUUCUAAAUCUUAAUCAAAUCCUAAAUUUAUAAUCAAAUCUUAAACAAAUCCUAAUUAUAUCUUAAUGAAAUCCUCAACAAAUUCUAAAUAAGCCCAAUAAAAUCCUAAGUAAAUCCUAACUAAUUCCUAUUGCCAUUUUAAAAUCUUAAUUACUAUUAAUCAAAUUAUUAAUCUUAAUUAAAAAUUUAUUUACAUUCUAAUCCAUAAAUAAUUAAUAAGAAUAUAAAAUUUGAAAAAAAUCAAAUUCACCAAUUGAGAGAAAAAGCUCCUAAAACUCUUGGAUAUCAGCUGCUUUCUUUCUCCAACUUAGAUGUUGAUUCUUUAGUAUUAAUUUUUCUUUGUUGAACCUUUCAAUUGCUUUACAAAUUGGUUGAUAUAUAGAUAAUUAAGUCCGAAUUUCUUUCAUCAAAUUUUUCUUCAAUCUAAUAAGCAGAUUUUUGUAAGAAUGCAAAAACUCUCAAUGAUCCUAAAUUUCAAAUUUUUGAGAUCCUAAUCCAAUAAAACUCUCAUAUCCUUUAAUCUAUUACUUUGAUUGACAUGAAAUAUAUAAAAUAUAUUUAAAAUAAAUAAAAUAACAAACUCACAAAAUUUCAUCUAUAAAAUUGCUAUAAUACCUAUACAAUCCUCAAAUUUAUAAAUCUCUUUUUAUUUUUCAUAAUCCAAAACCAUUGAGUACAUUUCUAUUUUUCAAAAUCCCUCAAAAAUUUAAUAAAAAUAUUCAAAGUACUUAAAACUAAUGCUCAAACAACUCUUCUUAAGUCCUCUCUCUAAUUGUACUCUUUAAUCAGCAAAAGAACCUCGAAAUUACUACAGGUACAUGGUUUUGUGCCUUAGAAUUUGAUUUUGAUCCUAAUACGUAACUCAUCUUCUUUAGGUAUGAAUUCUUAAUAUUUUGAAGUAAUUUUUGCUAAAAUCUAUUCUUCACUCCCUCCAAAAGAUGUCUAUAUGAUUCAUUUUUUUAAUCUACUUUAUUUAGUCUUAUUUAUGGCCUUAUAAAAUAAAUAGAAGUAUUUUUUUAUAAAAAGGUAGCAAUAUCAUUAAAAAAUUUUACUACCUUCUUAUCAUUUAUCCAUGUUUUGCUACUAUAUCUUUUUAUUAGGAUAUUUUAUAAAAAAAUGCAUAUUUUUAUCUUUCACCAUAUAGUUGUAUUAACACAUGAUAAUGUUUUAUUCUUGUAAUAGUAGACAAUGUAAUUUGAGGGAUAUUAUUAAUAUUGAACAUGUUUUUUGAAAAUAGCAGCUUAUCGAUGACUAAUAUGGCAGAUCAAAGUUCAUGAAGCACAUUAUCUUUGAAUAAGAAGUCAGCCAACUAUUUUCCUAUUUUUACAAUAAGAAUCACAUUUAGCAACAGCAUAAAUUUCAAAAUUUUAAAACUUUGUUUGUAAUGUAGAUUGGAAUGACAAAGUCCUUACUAAUUAAUUUUAAUAUGGAUUCAAAGACAAUAUCAAAGAUGUCACAAAUACAUUAUACAAAAGAUCAAACAAGAAGUUGAACAAAAGAAUUUCAAUAAAAAAUCUAAUAAGAACUUAAUUAAAGCACAUGAGUAUAAGAAUAAUACCAAGAAAUGUGGGAUAGAGCUCCAAGAGAUGUGUUGUUAAGACUCAAGAUCCUCUUAGCCUUAACUCUAAUAUAUAUUAGAUAUUAAAAAGCUUUUUUACAAAUGCCCAUGUUGCUUGAACACAAAGCAAUCUUAAGAAGCAUUUUAAGAAGUUUUCAUAUUGCUUGAAGUUAAAGCAACCUUAGGAAGCUUUUGAAGAAAUUUUUAUAUUGCUUAAAGAUAAAUUAUCAUCCUAAAAAUUUAAUUUAUAGAAACUUUUGAAUUUUUUUGAGAACCUCAUAUAACUUUCUAUAAUAUUUAUAAAAUAUUUCUAAAAUCUUCUAUUAUAAUAUUCCAAAAAUAUUCUAAAAAAUUUUAAAAUCAUAUAAAUUAUUCUAAAAAUAUUUCUAAAAUCUUCUCAUUAGAUGUCUAUAACAUCACCUCCCUUUCUAACUUUGAGUUCCAUGAAGAGCAUGGAUUUGAUAUUUGCAAAAGAAUGACGAAAGCUCAAGUAUCAUUUUAAGGUUUUCUUAUUUGAGCUGAUUAUAGCAUCACCAUUUUUUUUCCUCAAGAAAAUCUAACUUUAUCUCGAGGAUGAUCUUUCAAGAGUUGGAAUGGUUGAUCUAAUAGCAGUGAUAAAAAAAGCUCCAACUUUGGCUUUACUUUGAGAUUCAUGAUCUAAAGAUUUUUUAAAAACUUUCCAAUCAAUAUAUUGAAUCAUAAACUCUAAGGUUGCUAUGAGCAAUACUUGCUCUCUUCUUUAUAUGCAACAUUGUAGCAAUAGCUUCAUAGAAAAGUCAUCUUUAAAUAAAUUUAGGUUUUUGAGAAUAGCAUUGAUGAAAUUCUUAUAUCUUUUGCAAAGAAUUAACUAAAUUUUUUGUUAGUUCUCUUAUACUCUUAUUGAUAUUGUAGCUGUGCUAAUGAAUAAAUACUCCAACUUGCUUCUUCUUUGCCAAGAAUCAAAGACCUUUUCUACCCCAUAUUCCACAUGAUUUUUUGUUUUAAUGUAAGGUAGUAAUGGUUUCAUUCUUCUUAGAAUAGUUGAUUCUAAAUAUACCUCUAAGAAAAAAAUAUGAAAUAUUGGAUAUACCUUCAUGGAUGUGGAUAGUUCCAAUUAAUAAGUCACUAGAUUGAUUUACUUUUGAAUAAAAAGUGGCCCCAAUCUUUGCUAGUCCAACUUAUCUCAAGGCUGAUUUAUCUUGAUAUUUUGUCAAAGAAGCUAUACUUUAUUUCUAACUUAAAAAGUAAGGAUUUUUUUCUAAAUUUCUCUAAAGAUGCUUUGUAAGAAUCUUAAGUUGCUUAUAAAAAGAGCUUCAAAGUUGUCUAGAAUUUUGACAAUUAUUUUAUAAGAUCUUCAGCUAUGAAGUUUACAGCCUUUGAUGUAUUUAAUAAAUCAAGCUUUAGAUGGUUAUCAUAAUUAGCAUAAAAUGAUGUUUAUUGAGUUAAAGUAAAAGAAUAUUAUUAUAAGAAAACUUUGCUAAAAUUAAAUACAAGGUUGAAUCAUCUUAUUUGUAAUUGAUAGUACAUUGUAAAUACUAUUUCAAAAUUUGAUUGUCUCAUUUUGUUUGACCAUUCGUUUAGAUGUGGAAGGUAGAGAAAAGUUUGAUAUCUAUCUUCAAUAUCUCAAAAAGGGUUUUUUCAAACUUUGAUAUCAAUUAAGGUCUUCAAUCAAAAAUGAUAUCAUUAUAUAGGCCAUAAUAUAUAUAUAUAUAUAUAUAUAUAUAUAUAUAUAUAUUGUCAAGAAAAAACCUUGUUAUUUCUUUUUUUAAAGUUAUCUUUUUACAUGGGUCAAAAUGUGCCAGCUUUGUUAGUAGAUCCACAAGAAUAUAAAUAGCAUCAAAUGUAGCUGAUGAAAAUAGUUCAUUGAUGAAAUCUAUUGAUACUGAAGUCCAUAGUUGUUUUGAAAUUAGUAAUGGCUAUAGAAAUUCAUAAGGACAAUGUUGAGAAUUCUUAGAUCUUGAACAGAUGUUAUAAGAAAAGACAAAGUCUUUGACAAUCUUCCACAUUUGCAGCCACUAGAAAUCUUAAGAGAUAAGCUCUAAUAUUUUGUUAAAUCCAAAAUGUCCUACAAGUAAGAAAUCAUGAUGAGAUUGAAGAAUACAAAGUUGCGUCAAUUCUUUUGGAAUAUAUAAAUGAUCUUUAUAAUACAAAAAAUCUUCUACAAACUUAAAUUUAUUAUUAUCAAGGCAUUACUUAAUAUUACAAACUAAUGAGUCCUUAAUUGACGUUGUACAAAUUUAUUCAAAAAAACCUGAAUCAACAGGUACAACCAUAGAAGUAGCACAAAGAUGAAAUUGUUAUGGCUUCAAGAGAGUGGUAUAUUGCUGAUCAAAUGAUGCUUAUUUGAUCUUUGGAGCAAGAUAUGAUUUCCUUGAUAAAGCAUCAGAUAGUCUUUAUUGCUUUUCUAGUCAAUAUAUAAUUACAAAAUCAAAACAAGAUAAUGACAUAUUCUAAUGAGUUUGGUAGCAAUUCAAAAUUCGAAUUGACAUAAAAUAUUCUAAAUUUUUGUGAUCUAUAUAUACAUUAAUAAGAUGUAUAAUACCUUCUAAUAAGUAAUGUCAUUCUUAGAAAGAAUCUAGAAUCUUAAAAAGUUCUUUAUUAUGAAUCUCAUAAUUGAUUUUCAUAGUUGAAAACUUUUUAGAAUAAAACAUAACUGAAUAGAAAUUUCUAUCUUUUUUCAUAUGUAAUAGUACAACUCCUAAUAUAAAAUUGAAAGCAUUAAAUAAAAAAACCUUCAUAAAAUCUAGAUGCAUUAAGAUUGGAAUUGUAAUAAAAGUUGCUUUUAAAUCUUGAAAAGUCCUUUGUAUUUAAGGUCCUCAUUCUAAUUUGUCUUUGGAUAUCAACCAAAUAAGAAUAGCAGCAAUUUGGAAGUAGUUCUUAAUAAAUAUCCAAUAGAAAUGAAUAAAUAUAAAAAAAAUAUUUUAUAUUCUAUACUAUCUUUAGAAUUACAUACUUCAUGAUAGCUUGAACUUUUUUUAGAUUAAUCAGUAGACCUUUAUUAGAUAUAAUAUAUCCAAAAAACUCUAUUUUAAAUUAAUGGAAUAUAUAUUUAUUUAAUUUGGCAUAUAAUCUUACAUCUCAUAACUUUUGUAAGAUUAAUCUCAUAUGUUCUUCAUAUUCUUUAAGAGUCUUGGAAUAAAUUAAGAUAUCAUUUAGAUAGCAGACAACAAACUUGUCCGAGAAUUCUCAAAAAAUAUCAUUCAUCAAAUAUUAGAAUAUAGUUGGAGUAUCUAACAAUCCAAAAAGUAUGACAUUAUAUUCAAAAUGUUCAUACAUUGUCCAAAAUAUUGUCUUCUAUUUAUCUCUUUUCAUCUACACCAAAGUAUAUACUCUAUAGAGAUCAAUUUUUGUGUAAAUUCUAACUUGACAAAGUUGUUUCUAAAGUCCUAAUAUCAAUGAUAAUAGAUAACAAUUCUUCACCAUUAUUUUUUUGAGGCUGUAAUAAUUAAUACACAUUUGCAAAGAUCCAUCUCUUUUCUUCACAAUAAGUAUUGAUAUAUUUGGUAGAGAUUUGGAAUACCAAAUAAAGUUCUUUACAAGAUUUUUAUCGAUGUAAACAUUCAAUCUCAAAAGUUCAUUAUGUAAUAGGUUUUAAAUUAGGCCAAAUAGUGGUUGAAUCCUUUCUUGGAGAUCAAUGGCACAAUCAUAUGGUCAAUGCUCUAACAAUAUGUCAACAUUCUUUUUUUCAAAGACAUCUUGAAAUUCUUUAUACUCCUUUAAGAUAGCUACUAGUGAGCUUGUUUCUUCAUAAGUUAGAGUUGCAUAAAUAAUAAAUAAUAUUUUUUUCUUAGUCAUCUUCGUAAAAAUCCUUGCUUGAAGAAAUAAAUGAUUUUAAAGUAUUAAAAUAUUUAAUCCCAUAGUCUCUAUUUUAAUUAGGUUUAUUUAUUGUUUUAAAUGAUCACACUCCUAAUUUUGGCUGUAGAUUGUUUCUUUGGACAAUUUCCAAAUUUUUGGCCUUCUUCACCAUAAUACAAAUAUAGACCUUAUUUUAUAUAAGAUUCUAUUUUUCUCUUCUAUUGUAAGAUGUUUAAAAUAUAUUGUAGCAAUUUGUAUAUCCUUAACUUUGGAGUACAGAAGUAAUAUAUUUGUUGAAGCAAUAGAAUACAAAUUUUUAGUGUAUUUUUUUAUCAAAGUUUACAAGCAUUGAUCUUGAUAUCAUUGAAAUAAUUGAUUAUCACACUUCACAACUUGAUUGAUAGCUUCAUUGAGUGUUUGAAGAUUAAGUAAUAAUAAUAAGUCUUUGAUAUCAUCUUUUAGUCCUCAAUAGAAUUUAUUCAUAAGAGCUUGUUCAUUCCAAUUGAUGUCACAAGCCAAUUAUUUAAAAUUAAAUGCAUAGAUUAAUAUAAAGCAUGACCUUUGACAUAAUUAGUAAAUCUUUGUUGUUGUGCAUUAGACCUUAUCAUAUUUUCCAAAUGUCUCUACAAAUAUUUUUUAAAAAAACUUCAAAGUUGCAUAAGAUUAGAGAUUUUGUCUCAAAUAAAGCAACAAAUUGAGAUAAGACUUGUCUUGUGAUCAAGGUUCCAACUAAAUCAAUUCAUGAAUCCUCUAUUAAAUAGUACUUAGGUUAUAAAAAAUUACCAAUCAGAUUUUAUUAAUAAACCUUUAAAACUUGGAACAUGUAUAAUCAAAAAAAUUUAGAAGACUAAUUUGAGGCUCCUUAUGUUAUUAAAUAGGUGAGUUUUUUUGUUGAGGUAUAGGUGCCACCACAUCUUUAAAUGUGGAAGCUUAAGAAAGUAGUUGUAUCACAAGUUAAACUGCUCCAAAUCUUGUAUCAUCAUAAAAACUUGUAAAAUAUCCUUCAAUUCUAGUAAUUCUAUAAGAUAAAGUAUUUAACAUGUUCAUAAUAACAUCUAACUUGGACUUGGGAAAUUCAACCAUAUUAAAAUCUUCACUUUUAGCCAUGUGUGAUUGCUCGUUUUACUUAUUCCAAAUUAAUCUAAUGGAAAUAAAUCCGUAUAGGGGGAUUCAAAUACGGGGAAUGACUAGUUGCUUAAGCGUUCGCGUUAGGGUCACACAAUCAAUUACCUCAUGAAUGUAUCGUCUCUAUUUCUAAUAUUUGAAUACACAAGAAAACUAUAAUCUCUUCCUUCACCUUAUCGAUCUCUUCCUUACAACAAUUUAGUCAUAUCAAUAACUGCUAUUUCUACCAAUAUAUUCACCCUCAUAAUCUCCAAUUGUAAUAUUGUGCCCUCACAGCUUUCAGCACACAAUUACUCUCAUUCCAAUCACUGGAAUUCUUCACACAGAACUGCCAUUCACAUUACAGUGUUUCAUACAAAUACAAACUCAUUCUCUCUACUGAACUACAAUUAGAUUUUAGCAUUCAAUCUUUCUUCUUUUCAAAUAAUACCAAUCACAUUUCCAUUCCAUAAUUUACUUCACAAUAUUCAGAAAUUCUCAAUCCUCUUAUUCAAAGAAAAUAACAAACAAAAGAAAAGAGGUAGCACCAAGCUUACCCUGGCUCAUAACUAUCACAGCGAUGGCACCUUAAUUAACUUCUACAACUCCUAUAUACUUUCCCUUGAUUCUCCAGAUUUUAACCAUAAUUCUGUAAUUAACCGCUUUUAAGAACUAAAUCACUCUGUCAUCCUCCUGAAUUUCUUAUUAUAUGGACUAUUAAUAUAUUUUAUCAAUAUCUUUCAAAAACGAAUUAAUAUCUAUUCUACAUAGCCCCACUCCUAUCUAUGUAGCGUCCUUGCAAACACUCAAUUGAUACCUAUCUAAAAAUUAUCUAACAAAUCUCCACAAAGUUAUUAGUUCCUCUAGCCCACCUAAUUAAUCAUUUGCUACAUUAUCGAAUGUAGGUUUGACCAAAUCUGAUUCCAAUUACAAAUCUUCUUCUUCUUCCUCCUCCAGUCCAUCGACUCCUUCCUCAACUAGUUUGAGAGAACUUUAUUAUACUCAUCCAAUACACGGACUUGAGCUUCCAAUUUCAGGAUCUGGGCAUCCCGAAGUUCCAAAUGCUGUUGCUGAGUCAUCCGUUUUGGAACAUCUUCAAUCGAUACUUGUGACUGGCUCCUCACUAUUAACUUUUAUUUGGAACUACUAGUCUCAAAAAUACAAAAAAUAUAAGAAAAUGGCACUCCAACCAACCCAAAACAAUACCAUAGAAUGACUUUAAUUGGUGCCCCACUCCUAUUCUUUUACUACAUGGUGAUAAUGACAACAUGUUACCCAUACUGUCCAUGAAAGGUAAUGAGAAGUAAUCUUUCUUGAUGGCCACAUUAAGUUUCUAGAAAUCCUGACAUAUCCUGAUUUUUCCAUUCUUCUUUUGUACCAUCACGAUUGGUGAUAUCCAUGCACUAUACGGAACAGGAUAAAUAAAACCCACGUCAAGAAGUUUAUCCAAUUCUUCUUUCACUAAAAGGAAAUAUUUUGGGUUAAGAUGGUAUUGUCUUUAACGAACUGGCGUAACACCCUCUUCCAAAAUAAUCUGGUGCUCACACACAUCAACCAGAAUCUCUUUCAAAUCUACAUACGACCAUGCAAAGGCAGAUUUGUGAUGGACAAAAAACUAUUUCCAAACAUCCAAUUCUAUACCGAUAAUACCGGCAUAUAUUUUAAUUAGCUGUGGCAUUUCGUUGGUGCCCAAGUUAAUAGAUUGACACACAGGAUCUUCAACAACCUCUGAUUUAAUUAUCUUCUCUUGAUCUGAAUAUCUUGUAUUAUCCGAUAUAUGGGAACCAUCCAAAUCUGGUUCCAAUGUACUAACUCUAUUGACUGCGGGAUUGUUCAUCCAUUCAGUAAUAGCAUGAUCCGAGUUAGUCGCAUCGUCUUGAUGCAGUAAAUAUUCACUGGGACUUCCACAUUGGUAGACUCCUGCCUUUACUGUUGAAGUGUUUUGUCCUAUCCCAAAUUGUGGUGAACCUAUAGCAUCCUCAUCUGCCUCAAUCGAUUGACUCUUGUUAUCCGAUGUAAAUUUUGAUUCUGGCAAUUGAGAUUCUCCUUGAUAUUGUAUCGAAUACAUCUGUAAAAUAAUUUGGUCACAGCCUUUUCUAAUUGUCAAUGUGUCUCGGCCCCAAUCGUUCUUAGCUUUGGCUUGAUAAAGCGAAGGUCUGUCCAAUAAAAUAGGAUACGAUAAUGUAGAACUCUAUAAUCGAAAUACAAUAUAAUCGAUUUUGUAUGUCAAUCCCACGAUUUCAGUGGCAAUAUUUUGUAAGAUUCCCAUUGGCUUUAUCCAACUAUGAUUUGCUGUUCACAAGACUAAUGUCGUAGGUAGCAAUUACUUUAGAUCGAAGUACUCCAUUGUAUCUGCAUUCAUUAAAUUCACACUGGAACCACCAUCGACUUGUACUCCUCGAAUUAAAAUGCCAUCGAUUGAUACAUCGAUUGUUGGUGCUCCCGGAUCUGGGUUUAAGCUAACUUCAUGAAUUUCUUUGGUACGGGAUCUUUGUUGUAUUAGCACUGAAUUCAAUAUAGAUUGACAUUCCGAUGCUACAGCCAAAAGUUGCUUCAUUGUAAUUAAAGGUUGAAUAACAUCCAAAUCCUUCAGAAUGUCGUAGGAUUCCAUAUUGAGAGUAAUUUCCAAUGCUCUUUUGCAUUUCAUUGGUUUUGAUUUUAUUUCGUUCGACAGCAAUUUCUUCCUGGCGAUUGGGAUUGCCGCUGGUAACUUUGCCAACUUUUCUACCACUAAAGGUUCCUUUAAUGCAUAAGAUCUUUUAUUGGGCUGUACAGGUAUUGGUAGUUGGUCAGUUGGGAUCGAUCUUGAUGGCCCUGACAAAUUGGUACAUGGAACCAAAUUAGGUUCCUCAAUCUGUUGAAGUCUCAAUAUUGGGAUACGUCUCAAUACUGAUAUUGGUUCGUUUAGCCCCAUGGACGGCGCUACUUGCUCUCCUGUGAUUGGUUCAUCCAAAUUCUGAAUUAGAUUCUUGUCUUUUUGUUGGCCUCUAGUAAACACUACGUUCACCACCUCGACAUGAUGUAGUGGUGAGUCUCGUUGAACAGGGCCUUUGUCCUCCAUCAGUUGGCUUGUUUGUACUUGCUGGUCCCGGUUAUUAUAAUUAAAGGGCACAUUGCAUUGCUCAUAAGUGUGACCAGACUACUUAUAAUUUCUACAUAUUGGAGCAUAGUCAUCACUGGCCCUUGGAUUAGGACAUUCACUCGCAUAAUGUCCGAUUUAUCUGCAACGAUAGCAACAAAGUGGCUUCUUGCCAGCUCCUUCAAGGAUAUUGGGUGUCUCUACUGGUAUAUAACAGCUAGGUCUGUUCCAUGUCGGAUGAAUAAAGGAUCUUGAUUGACCCAUUGUUACUGUAGACUCUGGCAUUGGCUUCGUCAUGGGUAGAUAUUGAUGGUAUCCUAGUUGGUUCAUCGCCAAUCCGUGAGUAUUGGAUACACCUUCUCGAUGAAAUUCAGAGUUUAAGAAAUUGGAAUAGUUCCUAUUUUGUUUAUUCGCUCGAUUUCCAUUCUAGCCAAACCUAUUAUUCGUUUGUACUUGAUUGACAUUCCACGAAGUUGGUUGAGUCAUUAUCUGGUUACUGAUUUGUUGUUGCUUCCGUCAAUUCCAACAGUUGGUGGUAAUAUGCUUGCCUCUACAAAAGGUACAUUAUAUAGUCAUUUGGGGUGGUGAAGGACAUUCUGUUAUUAAAUGACCUUGCCCCUUACGAUUGUUGCACCAGACAUUGGGACGCAUAUUGGUUGGUUUAUACCUUUUUUCUUUAUCCUUGGCUAGAUUCACAACCAAUUCAUCCAUUUUUUUCGUCAAUGUUAAUAGCAAUGACUCAUUGGGAUUCCUUGAUACCAAUGCAUUUGACAAUUCCUUCGUAGGUGUUGGUUUUUGAUAUGCAGAAUAAGGCACAUACGGUUGUGAUGAUGAUGGUGGUACAGCCUGCAAUAGAACGACAUCUACAAUUCCCUAUAGAAUUGUACCAUAAUCAUUCCUUCCCAAAUAACCUUCCGAUGCGUCAUUCCAAUUUGUCAUUUGAUAACCUCCUUGAGAUGGAAUCAUCGUGGCUCUAACUGUUAAGUUCUGGUCAUAGUGACAUUCCUCCCGUACUUUUGCUCGCUCAAGAGAUGAUGCAAUGGUGGCUGAUUGGGCCUCCUUUACAAACAUCUUCAAUUCUGGUGGGUGUAGUCCAUUAACCAAUAUGGACAACACAAACAAUUCCAGCAUUUGGUUAUUUGACCAUUUUCAAAGUAUAUCUGCUAUAUGACAAUAAUAUGACUCUACCGCUUCCCCUGGUACGAUUCUGCUGUUUAUUAAUUUUUUUCUAAGAUGUUCUUCAAAACCAAUUGGUCAAAAAUAGGCUAAAAAUGUAUUUUUCAAUACCUCCCAAUUGGUAAAUUGUCCCACAAGUUGGCGGUUAUACCACUCAAACGUUGUGUCUUUCAAUGUCACUGACAGCCAUCUUAACCAAAUAUCUUCACUUCUGCCAUUAUUGGCUACACACGCCGUAAGAAACUGAGACAAAUGUUAAUCGGAAUCUGCACCCAAAAAUCUCCAAAAAGUAGGUAGUAGCACGACGCUAGUCAUUCGAUCGCCCACUGCACCCAUUUAAACUGCAAUUGGAACUGUUGGUCCUCCGGACGCCAUUAAAGAUGUCGAUGUUCUGUUCAAUUUCUUAUUAAAAUAAAAAUUGUAUCCCGCAAAAGUCUUUUUUGAACUUCUAGGCCUUCUCGAUUGAUUAUUAUUAUCCCCAAAUAAUUUUACUAGUUGAAUAUGAGGUGAAAACGAUAGGUUUUGAUAUACUUUGAAUUGGUCUUUAUUGGCAAGUGAUUUAUGCCGAUCUUCAGAACCAGUCUUGUUAGAAUUGGACAUAUCUCCAAUUGAAAAAAUAUCCAAUGGAAUACCUAAUUCCUCUGUGCCUUCCUCGCUUUCCGUUAACGACUUUGAGAAGUAUGGUAGACUAUUAGCAACGCUCUCCAUAAGUGCUCUUGGCAAUUUUUUUAACAGUAUGUACUUCUGAAAUAUUAGAGGUCGAUCAUCUUCUGGGUACAAUCAAAUAUGCCGACAAGCAUGCAACCAUGGUUUAAUCCAACUUUAUUGAUGUCUCUUUUUCAAUUUGCAAUCUCGCUCAUUACGCAACAAAUUUUUUGCUUGCGAUCUCUCUGUCCUUUCUUUUGAUUGCUUUAUUCUCUUUGCUGUUAAAUUCUCAUUCUUAAUAACUAUAAUCUUACUUCAAACACUAUUGAAAUCGUCUUCCAUUGCCAAUUUUUUCACACAUUUGAUAAUUAAUUCCUAACACUCAAAGCUAUUAUCACUCCCCGGCAGCGGCACCAAAAAUGUGAUUGCUCGUUUUAUUUAUUCCAAAUUAAUCUAAUGGAAAUAAACUUGUAUAGGGGGAUUCGAAUACGGAAAAUGACUAGUUGCUUAACUCCUAUAUACUUUCCCCUGAUUCUCUAGAUUUUAACCGUAAUUUUGUAAUUAAUCGCUUUUAAGAACUAAAUCACUCAUCCGUCCUCCUGAAUUUCCUAUUAUAUGGACUAUUAAUAUAUUUUAUCAAUAUCUUUCAAAAACGAAUUAAUAUCUAUUCUACAUCAUGUUAAAAAAAAAUAACAAAUAAAUAAAUUAAAUUAAACAAUUAAACAAUAUCAAUUUAGAAGAGAAUAUCUUACAACUUCUAAAGCAUUGAAAUGCCAUCAAGAAGAGGAAUAAUCCACUCCCUAUUAAGAAGGAACAAACUCUAGUAUUGAUAAGAGAGUUAGUCUUGACAAACUAUUAUAGAUAAACUAUAUAAAAGACCAAACAAUAUAUUGAAUAAAAAAAUUCAGUAAGAAAGCUAGCAAGAAUUUGAUUAAAUUAGAUGAAUACAAGAUCAAAACUAAGAGAUAUAAGCUAGAGCUCUAGAAAAAGAGUUAUUGAGAUUGAGGAUCCCCUUAGCCUCGACUCAUAUAUAUAUUAGGUAUUAAGAAGCUUCUUUAGAAUUUUCCAUAUUGCUUGAAAACAAAGCAAGCUUAAGAAGCUUCUUGGAAUUUUUUUUUAAUCUUUCUAGAAUCCUUUAAAAGCUUUUAAAAUAUUCUAAAAAUAUUUUUAGAAUCUUUUAGAGCUUGUAGAUUAUUUUAAAAAAUACUCUUAAAAUCUUCUUGUUGGAUGUCAGCAAUAAAAGAUUCAUUGUUAACAAUGCCAAGAGUUAAUUUAUUAGAGCAAUUUAUUACUUAAGCUAUUGCAUGCAACAAUUGAUUCUUUGAAAGACACAAAGAAAAAAUAUUUUAUUGAAGAGGUAGAAGUCAAGUCAUAGUAACAACUUUUAAGUUUGUAGAAGCAUAUUCAUAAAAGUUGGAACCUAUGCAAAUUGACACAAUAUAUUUCAAACCUCUUAUUGAACCAAAAAAGACUCAAUAUUAUGGAAAAAAAAUUUACUUUUAUUAUAGAGAACCUAAGUAUAUUGUUCAAAAUUUUCUAAAGAAGUAUUGCAAUCACAAAAUAAGGAGCAUAAUUACCAAAAAAGACAAUGUGUCAAAAAACAAGUUUUUCUAACUACAAUAGGAAUUGUGCAACUAAAAUAUUACAUAACAAAUAAUAAAGGUCUUAUUUUUUUUUAGAUCUUUCACCUUUUUUUAUAAUAGAAAUUUAUUUAGGACCAAAAAAUCACAAAGUCUUUGCUUUAUUAGAUUCAAGAGCCUCAACAUGUUUUAUAAGCAAAGCCUUUGUAUAAAAGAAAGAAAUGUCUUUAGUUAGGAAAAAUAAACCUAUACAUGUAGAAGUCAUAGAUAGUCAUUUUUUGUCUUUUGGAGACAUUAUCCAUAAAAUAAUUCUUUAAGAUGUAGCAACUAAAGAUCAUAAUAGCUUAGUAAUAUUUAAUAUGAUUAAAUAUCUUUCUAAUCCAAUUAUUUUAGGAUUAUUGUGGCUAAAAAAUUAAAUUUCUCAAAUAGACUUGAUUUCUUUUAACCUUCAUUUUUUCUAUAAUUUAGCCCAAAAUUUUACUAAUCAAGUAGAAAUCCAUAAGUCUAAUACAUCCAAAUCCUUAUUUAUAGGUAUAAGAGUUUUUAUGUGUACUGUAAAAGAAGGAUUAGCUUUUACUAUAUAUUUCAUAUCUAUUUUUUAUAGAAAAAAGAUUUCAAAUAGUAUUCUAAGCCAAUAUCAAGAUUAUUAAGAUGUUUUUGAGACAAAAAAUUUAGAUAUUCUUUUAGAGUAUUGUCCUUAUGACUAAUCCAUCGAUCUUUAAGAAAGAGCUCAAGCAUCAUUUGGACCAAUCUAUAGCUUAUCACAAAACGAGUUGAUUGCCUUCAAACAAUACAUUAAUAAGAAUUUGGCUAAGAACUUUAUACACCAUUUUAAAUCUCAAGCAAGGACUCUUAUCUUAUUUAUGAAGAAAAAAUAUUGAUUUCUACAAAUAAGUGUCAACUAUUGAAGACUCAAGAAGUUUACUAUUAAAAAUACAUAUCCUCUACUUUUGAUUUCAAGACUUUUUUAUCAACUAAAUCAAAUAAAGAUCUAUACAAAAAUAGAUCUAUGAGGAGCAUAUAAUAUGAUACACAUUAAAAAAAAUAUAUAAAUAAAUGAUUAUAUUUUGAAUUAGGUAUAGGCAUUUCAAAUAUAAUGUCAUAUCCUUUGGACUCACAAAUGAACCAUCUACUUUCUAAUAUCUAAUAAAUAAUGUCUUUCAUGAGUUUCUUAAUGAUUUAUUUAUUUAUUAUCUAGAUGAUUUUUUUAUUUACUCUAAAAAUAUAAAAGAGCAUGAACUUUAUAUUCAUUAUGUAUUGAAAAAAUUAAGAAAUGUACAAUUAUAUGCCAAGAUGUAAAAGUGUGUAUUUCAUACUAUUCAAAUUGACUUCCUAGGAUACAUCAUUUAAAAUAAUGGCCUUAUGAUGGAUUUGAAGCAAGUUUAGACUACUAUGGAUUAAAAGAUUUCAAAAAUAGACAAAUAUGUGUAAUAUUUUUGAGAUUUGCUAAUUAUUAUCCGAUCUUUAUCAAAAACUUUUCUCAAAUUCUAGUUCUUCUUAUACAUUUAACCUAUAAAGACAAACUUGAAUAGAGCAAAGAAGCCAUAACAUCUUUUGAAGCUUUGAAGAUAGCAUUUAUUUCUACAUCAAUCUUGUAUUCCAUUGACUUUUUAAAGCAUUCUUUAUAGAAAUAAAUACAUAAAACUUUGCUAUAGGUGCAAUAUGGUGACAAAUGGGAGUAAAUAACAAGCUCCAUUCAAUAGCUUCUCAUUCCAAGAAAUUUUCAAUAGUCAAGAUCAACUGCAAGAUUGACAUCAAAAACUUCAUACAAUUGUGGAUUCAUUUCAAGAAUGGCAUAAUUAUCUAGAAGGCACUUUCAAUUUAGUCACUAUUAUCAUAUUAUCUGAAAACUUGCUUGAAAAUAUACUAGAUACAUAGUUGUGCAAGAUUAAAAAAAAUUUCAAUAACAAGUCUUAAUAAUUCUAAUAGAAUCACAUAUAAAGUUUAAUUAAAGUUUAACAAAUAUAAUCAAACAUUGAUCAAGUCCAAUUAAAAAAUACAAAGAAAUCCUAGAGAACUUUUAAAGAAAUCAUAAAGAAAUAAUAAAAAAAUCCAAAAAAAUCUUAAAGAAAUCCUAAAGAAGUCCUAAAGAAAUCUAAAAGAAACCUUUAUGAAAUUCAAAAAAAAGACCUUUAAAAAAUCCUAAAGACAUCCUAAAGAAACCCUACAAAAAUCUAUAAGAAUUUUGAAAAAAUCUUUUAGAAAUCCUAAAGAAAUCCUAAAUCCUAAACUAAUCAUAAUUAGAUUCUAAAUCCUAAAUCAAUCUUAAUCAAAUCCUAAAUCCUAAAUCCUAAAUCAAAUCUUAAUUAAAUUUUAUAUCUUAAAUCCUAAACUAAAUUCUAAAUAAUCUCAAAAAAAACCCUAAUAAAACCUAAUCAAUUCUAACUAACCCUAAUAUAGUUUAGAACUUCAAUAUCUAUUGAUUAAACCAUUGAUCUUACUUAAAACUAUACAAACCUCUCAAUUUUUUAGUUAAUAAUAAGCACAAAAAAUUUAAAGAAAGUCGAAUUAACCAAAUAGGAAAAAAAAAUAUUAUAAUCCACUCAAGUAUUGGUUGGCCUCUAUCUUUGACUAUAAUAUUGAUUUUUCAACAGUGAUAAAUCCUAAUUGAACCAUUAACUUUCUUUAAAAAAUUUCACAAGUAUUAAAAGUGAAGUCAAUUAUUAUCUUCAAUAAAAAUCACUUCAAUCCAACUAAAAAAUUGUUUCAAAACUUAGAUUAUCUUAUUGGAUCUAAAAAUCCAAUUUUAAAGAUCUUAAUCUACUUAAAUUUUAAUAACCUCCAAUCCAACUGUUCGAUGAAGUUCAAAUUCUUAGCAUAAAUUUAGCACAACUAUACUUACAAUUCUAUAAAAUUUCAAGUAUAGAUUUGCUACCAAACUUAUGAUAUUGCCCAAAUUAUGAACCAUAUUUUAUUUCAUAAUAUUCAAAGUCAUACAAAACAACCUUGACUUUGCAAAGCUCUUACAAAGUCAUUAUAAACUCAAAUCACUCAAAACCAAUGUUCAAAAAAAUCUUGCAGUCUUCUUCUAAAUCCUAUUCUUUGAUUUGCAAAAGAACCUUGGAAUUGCCAUAGGUGUGCAGUUUUGUCCCUCAAGGUUUGAUUUUGAUCUAACUUGACAACUGAUACUCUUUGAGUAUCAAUUUUUGUCUUUAUGAGGUAAUUUUUUCUAAAAACAACUCCUAAUUCCCUCUUAAAUAUGUCUAUAUUCUUUAUUUUUCUAAUCUACUUUAUUUUACCUUAUUUAUAGUUCUAUAAAAUAAGUAGAAACCUACUUGGAAAAGGCAACAUUUGCACUUUUAGUUUACUAUUCUUUAACUAUUAUCUAUAUUUCUAAGAUAAUUUGCUAUAAUAUUUUGAAAUAAGAUCUUCUAAAAUAUUAUAUUUUCUUCAUUCUUUCAUCUAUUAGCCAUGUUACAUCAUGACACCAUCUGUAUUGAUCAUAAGAACCUCAAGUAUUUCAUGUCUACACAUAUUUUAAAUCAUUAUAAAGGCCAUUGGAGCAUAUUUUUAUUAAGAUUUGAUUUCAAGAUCACUUAUCAAUUCAGAAAACAAUAAGGUUUGUCAAAUGUUGUUGUAUUAUGUGAAAUCUUGCUUGAGAAUGCAUUGGGCACUUGAUUAUAGAAGGUAAAAGAAAAUUGUAACAAUAAGUCCUAACAAUUCUAAUAGAAUCAUAUAUAAAUUGUAAUUAAAUAUUAAAAAAGAUAAUCAAAUAUUAAGUAAGUUCAAUUAAAUUUUUAAAUAAGUUAUAAAAGAAACACAAAGAAAUCCUAAAUAAAUCCUAACUAAAUUCUAAUCAAAACUUUAAAAAAAUCCUAAAAAAAACCUAGAUAAAUUCUAGAUAAAUCUUAGAUAAAUUUUAAUCAAACCUUAGACAAACCCUAAUCAAAUCAUAGAAAAAUCCUAAUCAAAUCUUUUAAAAAAUCUUAAUCAAAUCCUAAAAAAAUUCUAAUCAAAUCCUAAUCAAAUCCUAGACAAAUCCUAAUAAAAUCCUAGAUUUUAAAUCAGCCCUAAAUCUUUAAAAAAAUCUUAAUAAAUCCAAAGCAGAUUAUAAGCUCUAUAAAUAAUAAUCAAACCAUCAAUUUCAACUCAAAUUUUGCAUACAUCUCAACAACUGAGCUAGCAAUAAUCAAAAAUAUUUUUAACAUGAUCAAACUUACCAAAUAGGAGAUAAAUCGUAAAAUUUGUUUGGGUGUUGGUUGGCCUCCUUCUCCAAUCUUGAUGCAAAUUUCUCAAGCAAAAAUCUCUUAAUUCUACCAUUAAAUAUCUUUUAAAUUUUUCAUAUAUAUUGGAAAUCAAAGUUUCUACCUUUAGAUAUAAAUUUCAUCUCAAUCCAAAUAAUAGAUUGCUAAGAACUUAGAAAUCCUCACUAACCCUCAAAAUCCUAUUUCUGAGAUUCUAAUCUACUUGAACUUUAAUGAUCUUCAAUCUAACCAUUUGAUCAUACUCAAAUUUACAAUACAUAAUAAAACAAACUAUAAUAAAAAAUCUACAAAUUAUUACUAAUAGAUCUACUAUCAAACUCAAAAUUCUCCUAAAUGUAAAUCUUUUCUUUUAUUUCACAAAACCAGAUUUACUAAAAAAACCUUAACUUUCAAAUCCCACUCUUUGAUUUGCAAAAGAGUCAUAAAGUCGCCAUAGGUGCCCAGUUUGUACCUUGGGGUUUGAUUUUGACCUUGGUUGGCAACUAGACUUUUUUAGGUAUUAAUUCUUGUUUUUUUGAGGUAAUAUUUGCCAAAAUCAACUGCUAACUUCCUAGUAUAUAUGUCUAUAUUCUUUAUUUUUUUAAUCUACCUUAUUUUGCCUUAUUUAUAGCCCUACAAAGUAAGUAGAAGCCCACUUUGUAAAAAGGCAGCAUUUGCAUUUUUAGUUUUACUACCUUUUGACUAUUAUCUACAUUUCUAACAUAAUUUGCUUCAAUAUUUGAAAAUAAGAUUUUUUAUAACAUAAUAUUUUUUUCACUCUUUUACCUAUUAGCCAUAUUAUAUCAUAACAAUGUCUUUUUUAGACGUUUUUAAGUUGCACCAAAAGAUAGAAAUGUAAUUUUUGAUCAACAAAGAAUAAUUUUCUUGAAGCGAGAGCAUUUUUAUCUUUGAGCAAUGUAAUCAACAUUGUCUAUUAAUUCAAUAUUUUUCAAGAAAAUUUAAUCAAGUAUGUCAUCUACUCUUCUUAUUCAUGAUAUUAAAAUAAUUCUUCUAAGUAUCAUGAUACUUCUAAGUUCAAGUUCACAUAUCCUUGCAUCAUGUAUCCUUGCAUCACAUAUCAAAUAUCGAACAUAUCCUUGCAACAUAUGGAAGGGCAAUUAAUCAACUAUGCUUGGCACCUUGUUGCCAUCAAAGGUAUUAAUCUUCUUUCCUCUGAUUCUUUUAGUAGAGUCAAAUUAGGUUGAACCACAUCCCUCCAACUCUUUGUGAUGAUAUAUGUAAAGGUAGUAUAAUCUAUCAUUAAAACAUUCUAGAUCCUAGACAUUCUUUGAGUAGUUGGUUCUACCCAACUUCCAAUUCGCUAUAAAGAAUAGUAGUUAUCACAAGGAUAUUUAGGUUAUAUGUACAUAAAAAUGAACCCAAUACCCUGUUGAUGACAUUUUAAGCACUGUUGAUGACAUUUUAAGCAGGAAGAUUAGACAAUUGUACUUAAGGUGUAGGGAAAACAAUGCAGGCAAAUGCUGAUGCCCUCAUAGUAACAACCCGCUCUUCUCCACUAAAUGGAGAAACCUACAACACAACUGUUUCGAAUAUGAAGUUGCAGGAAAUGAUGGUUUAUUUUGAGAUGGUCAUUGUAAGAAACCAGUUUUCAUGAACAAUACUAAAAAAGGUGAAUAAGCACACCCACACAAACACACGCUAUUCACAUGAUUAAUGCUGUAAACUACUCACCAUUUUUUCCGAUCAUCACAAUGAUCGCAAUAAACACGAAUUCAAUCACAGCAACAGGCAUAAUCGUGCUGUCUAAGCAUCAAUUUUUGUGUUCUAUGCUGAAAUACUAACUUACAUCGCCCUUUAUCACGUCAAGGCCACGGAAAAUUCAAAUUUUAAUUACAACUCAAAUAUGAGUCACUUGUCCCCACUUUUCGGCCUAUAUAAACAGCUAAUAAAACCAAUAUACGUAGUGACAAAAAAAAAAAAAAAAAAAAAAAAAAACUUAAAGGUAACACAACAUAAGCCAACAAUAAGAAGCGACAGCAGUGCUAAUGCACCAAUGACUCGUCAGAAUCAAUUACUUGAAAGAUAAACGCCUCAAAGAAAUUUUCCUACAUGUUUCCACUUAACCAAUUCUACACAACAAACAUCAAUAUCAUGUAUUCCAUUUCAAAGAGCAACUCAACCACUAUGCUCCAAAUUACCAACCAUCUUGACUCCAACAAAGAUGCAGUGCGAACGCCUACACGACAUCAUAGUACAGAAAUUUCUGCAUAUCUAUAUAAUUAGACGAAAAAACCCACAUUAUCACAGUCUGCAAAUUUGCAGACUAAAAACGAGUUGCAAAACAUCCUGAAGAGCUAAGUCCAUGCUAAAGCCCGUGCAGCUAAAACACUAAUAGAAUACAACUAAAAGCAAAGCUACGCGAAAUCAGACCUAAGGGUUUCAGUAAUAUACAUGUUUCUGAGGAUACAGUUUUGAAAAACAACUAACAAUAUCAACAAUUAAGCUUUACAAUACAUAAAUCUCAAACUAAUGGACUAAACUUCGGCCAUCUCACAAUAUUAUUCAGCUACUCCAUGCAUCAGAGGAUUUAAACACACAUUAACAAGAACAUACAUAACAUAACUUGCCAAAAGAAGUAACAUAGCUUUGUUUCAACUACUAAAAUACAGAGGAAGUCAAAAUCAACCGAGAAUGCCCCCGGCCAAAUAUAUCUUUCCAUCACCCAUCACUAAAAACUACACUUUCUCAAACAAUUCCAAGAACCAAUCAUUCACAGCAGGCACUUCAUUUUCAAGAAGUACAUACUCCACCUACGUACACUCCCUGAACCACCACCACCGCCACCAAAAUUAUACUGGGCCAUCGACGCCUCUGUUGGAAAAUCCCGUUCACCCGUUAUCAAACUCAACAAACUCGCCCAACUAAUCAUCCUCAUUCACGCUCGCUGCAAAUGCAACUGGCGCUCCUUUGCACAGCGCCUGCUGCCCGUCCAGCCCUUGGGCAACAGCAUUUCACCAACAAAUCAACCAGAUCCGAAGUACCAGCACAGUAGCGCCUGCGGGUGAAUCACAGUCAUCAGUAUCACUUGCAACGCACUCCCGUCCAAUUACAACACCGCUUCUGUAACCUGUCCAACACCUCCUGGCAGCCUGCUGUACCACCAACGCACAUGGGCCUCCUAUAUCCCAGCUUCUCCCCACCGAUUUCAAACCCAACCCUUCCGGUAAUCUGCUACGUCCUCCAGAGAUUCACACAACCCAUCCCCACACCCCUUCUAACUUCUCCAUCACCCAUCACAACUCAUGUUCAACGACUAUCAACGCUCCUCACCGUGGCGGCGUACGCGUCUAGUUGCUCCUUCUGAGACCGUCUGUUGCUGCCCCUGCGUCACAUUCAACCAACUCCUAUCACCCACAUGUUCCCUCCCUACCCAACCUUCCCCAUCUCCAAUUCCUGCCCUCCACCACACCCACCAACCAUGCAUUCCCCAAGCACCGCAUCCACACCGUGCAUCACCACAACUCCAACAGGGAUCUCGAUGUUUACAUGUCAAUCAUGUAGUCCAGCGCAUCCUGCGAAGUCCCAUACUCGUCUUGCAAAUAUACUCGCCACUCUCUGCAAUACGCCACCACAACUGCCUCAGAUCCCUGCUGCUCCCUGCAAUGUGCACUACUUGCCCAACGGCGACACUGUCCGAUCGCCGUGUACUUCCCCUUGUCGAUCACCCCACUCGUAUCCCUACUGCCGAAACCCCUGCCUGCUACACAUCAUCCCUUUCCCCCACUCUGUCACCCCCAUUGUGUGCACCGCUGCACCUUGCAACUACUCAACCACAACUCACUCCUUCACAAGAUCUCAUCAUGUGACAUUGGCGGUGGGACUUUACCGCCGACCAACGAUAUUCGCCAGCCUCCCGGCAAAGCUGCGGCACUUGUUGGCUUGGUCCGAGUCCUUGCCAUCCCACGCUUUGGGCAGCCCAACCACAAACUCGUCUGCUCUCUGCGCUCCACCCACCCAGCCACACAACACCACCAUCAACGUCUUCGCCGAACACAUCCUGCACCGCUGCUACCAAAACCACUCACACCUCUCAUGACCUAAUCACGCCAUCUCUCCAAACCCCUGAACACCACCCCCCUUCACCGAAAUUCGCACCACUUGCACCAGCCGACUGGAACGAGGUGCACGGCUGAGCAAGGACGUGCGUGUACCACAUCAUCAUGUACCAUUGGGCGAACAAGACUCUCGCUAAACGUGGGAGACAAUUGCGACACACUUGUGACCCACAUUCUUACAGUCACACAAGCCUUUCACUGUCAAAGUCUCCCAACUUCGACCGUAACAGCAACAGGCUUUAGCCACAGAAACUCAUGACCAUGCGCGUUCCACAACGUCCACUCCAAACUACACAACCCUUCUUCCGUAUUACAGCCCGCACGACCAUAGUCCCCCUAUCACCUCGGCGAUAGAUUCCGAAAGAGUCAGCUGAACCCACAAUAUGCAACAUACAGCUCCUCUCUUCCAACCACACCGCGACCAGAAUACACCCGGAUGUGGAGCAUGCCCAGCAGAGCAUUGUCCUGUGUGCCAGCUUCAACGCCAUCCCUUCGGAAUCCACCCACCGCUUGGCUUCACCAACACAAAGGGUGGGCAGGAACACGCUCACGGACACACGAGACGCCCCACGUAUCUCCCACGCCCGCUUCGUGCACUACGAAGGUUGCAAUAGCACAAAAGCUUACGGUCAAAGGCCGGGGCGCAUAACCACCCAGACUGAUCGCCAAUCCAGUCUUUGCAUCCCCGAGAUCCACACCCACUGUGUGUCCGCGCACCCUCUCUCCACCUCUCGCCCUCUGCGCAUUGCACUCCAGACUGCCAAUCUUCGCUUUCAGCUCCAACCUCAGCCGGGGAUCCUCCGCCACGCGCUCUGGACUGCCAUCCCCGUCUCCUCGCCCAGGGCUUGCUUUCCCGAGCUUCUCAACCCCAGCAUUCGAGUCAUUUCGAGCACACACAACGCCGACAGCCCUCAACCGCAGCUUCCUCAGCGGAAACGCUGGCGCGGGAACAGAGCGCAGCUGCCGAAUGGGAGUUCUAGGAAACAACACAGCACAAUUCAGGGUGCUCACAUGGCGCCCUCCGAGACUCAUCCUGCCCAACUAGCCACUCACUGCACAUGCGACGCAACAGUCCCCGAACACAACUCAAAAGAAAACAUGAAGGGUGCAAACUGGACCCACUACUGCAACAAAGCCUGCCUGUCGUUCCCGACCAUGGUGGUCUUUGAGCAAUAAGCUACAGCUUCUCACGGCUGCCACGCCAAAUGCAACCAAUCCACACCCCACACCCCCUGCUCCCUUCUCUCUUUCUCUUUCUCUGUGUGUGUGGGUGUGCAAUUUCGGUUUCGAAUAUGCGUUGCGGUUAUAUUGCCCUCCAGCAUUACUUGCAUUCGACAACUUUGACCAGAACUAAACGUUCUCUCGGAUUGGAUUGCGCAUGAUUCCAAGGCAGUUACGACGAUGGCCUGGUCGUUGGAGCACCGACAGUGAGGCGGAGAGUUCGAGAUGGCGGUGCCACUUUUUUUAAAUUGUGGUCUUAUCGGGACAACUGGAAUUGUGAACAUUUUUGCCAUUGACAGCAAUCUAUCUGAGCGUCAUUCCACUUUGGGACUGUUGUUAAAUAAGCUCACUCCGCACAGUUCUAGAAAUUUUGUUUGUGUGCUACAAAUUUAGCAAAUGUUUCAUUUUAAUGAAUGCUUUUGGAGUACUGGGUUAUUGCAUCUUGUCGUAUUGUGCUUGUUGUUGUCGUUCCAAAACUAGAGUUUUAUAGAUGUUCAACGGUUAUCGGUUGCGUUGGUUGAUAUGAAAAUUGUUGUUGUGAAUGAAUGAACGUAUAAUUAAAAUGGCAUUGAUGUUCUAACUUAGCUUAGCAGAAUUAGGAGGUGUUGAAUUGAAGGCGCUUAAUUUUAUUUUUUAGAAUUUUGGUUUCAUAGUUACUUAGCCUGUAAUUGUAUCAGUAUUAAAUAACCAAGUAUAGUUUUAUACUGCAUCGUUUAAAAGAUUCGUCGAAUUUGUCUAAUUAUGCAGAUUUGUUAUGUUAUUUUUUUUUAAUUCACUAUUAUUAUUUCGUGUAAACAUUCAAAAGAUGUUUUUGAAUUUGACAAGUUUUUGAAUAUUGAACCAUGUUAGAGAUUGGUGGUGUUAUGAAAAUUAGUCUUUCAUUGAUGUGUAUGUUUAAAAUGUAAAUUGGUUUUUGGUUCUUAAAAACAGUGUUGCAAUGGCUUUAUUUCAUUCUAUCUUAUGAUUUAUGUUGAUGGCUUAAACACAACUCUAGAAUUUGAAGACAUAGUUUUCUAUACACUAAAUAAAGAGAAGCUAAGAUACUGAGUUUAUGUUAUCAAAGAAUAGAAAAAUAUGCAAUAGUUAUGCGAAAUCACUUCAAGACUCUGUAAUAAAAUUGUUGCUUUACAUGACAUAUUUGUCAUCAAUAUAUUGAAUGACUUCAAUGUGUACUCUUCAAGAUUUUCUGUGUAUACAUGUUUUGGAAGAAACUAUGUUUUUAGUAGAUCAAGAUUCAAGAAUUCCAACCAAGUAUUUGUUUUGAAUAUGUGAAAAACGCAAAUUUACUGAUUUUUUAUUUGGUACUAUUAACAAAAGUAUUUUGCUUUUUCCAUGAUUAUAACCCAUGUCAAGAAAACACACUUUGAUACUUUUUAAAAAAAAUAAUGUAAACAAUAAAUAAACAAACAAACAAAUUUGGCCACAACAAAUUAGUCAAAAUAUGUACUAUUGAAUUAACCAAACUACAAAUGCCAAGUUAAUAAAAAUAUUUUAAAAUAUACAAACAUAAAAUAUGAAUUACCUAGUUCUGAUUCUUCUCGGUAAAAACCAUGACAUGGUUAUUUUUCAAGUAAAAGUAAUAAUCAUCUUUGUGAUAUUUCAGAAUAAAUAAUACUUGUAAAUAAUUCCAAUACAGGAAAUGACAAAACAUACUUUUAUUAAGGUUUUAAUCUACACGUGGUAUGAUAACAUCUGUAUAAAAAAUUGUGAAGGAAAAGUUGUCCCUUCAAAUGACUUGUAAUUGCUUAAACUGUUUAAUCACAACCUUUGUGGUUGUUGAUUGUGCAAAAACAUGAUGACUAUUGAAAUUUACUUUAAAAGUGCUUGCAUCUCUGAAUCAGAAGACUUUUUAUGACACAAUCAAUAAUCAUUAAGCACGGUUUAAAUCGGAUGGUUUUUUUUUAUCACUGAAGAUUGAAAAUAGGCAUCUGAUCUUGAAGUAAACGCUUCCACAAAACCAUCGCUGCUUCAUUAAAGAUACUUUCAAAACAGAACUUGCAAGAGGAUCUUGUAUGUCAAAACUCACAGUAACUAUUAAAAACACACCCAGUGUCACUUCAGUUGUAAAAGCCUCCAUAACAAAAUCGAAACCUCAGACGACAAAGAAGCAAAGCGAACGAGAUAGAAUGAGCAUUAGAAAAGGGUAACUCGAAAAAGUAAAAGUACCUCUGCCGGGGCAGUGGCGGGGGCAGCUGAGAUCUGGGGGAUGGGCAGGGCAGGGAGGGCAGGGCAUGGAGGGCAGGACGGGCAGCAGGGCAGCAGAUGGGGGUGAUGACGUCCAGGAUGGGGAUGCAAGUCCACAUCAAUUAGGUCUUUCCCACACAUAGCCCCCAACCCCCCUCUCAACCACGUGCGCAACCACGCCCCUCGCGGAGUUCUGCCAGCAUUGUGGCCGUUGGAUCGGGGAUCCGACGGCAAAGGCAUGAGAAGAAGCCCUUGAAGAGGCUGCGGCGAGUUGUGCCCUCCCCCUUUCGACUUCAGAGGUCUCGUGGGGGAGUUUGCUCCACCGCCAGUGCUGCUGCUGCUGCUUCAGUUGGAGUUGUGCGAACUUGUUUUACAACUCUCAGGUACGUAGUUGCUCGGGUUUGUGUGUGGUUUGUAUUGUUGGGUACUGGGUGGAUUGGGGCGAUGUCUGAGAUGUGCUCGUGAAGGUCGUGAAAGUUGGUGAGUGAGUUAAUAGUGGUAUUGGGGAGAUUGGGAUGUGAUGUGCAGUGAGAUGGUGGGUAGUGGAUGUUGCAGUCCGAGAGAGCGAGCGAGCGAGCAAGCGAGAGAGAUAGAGAGAGAGAGAGAGAGAGAGAGAGAGAGAGAGAGAGAGAGAGAGCACUAUUGAGAGAGUCGGGGUGAAGAGCGGGGCAAGGAUGCACAGGGUUUUGAAUUUGGAGAGAUGCGGUAAUGGGGCCUGACGUGAGAUUGGCGUUGGAUAUUUUGGCAGACAGUUGAGCAAUCAUGGGUAAGGAGAAGGUGCACAUCAAUAUCGUGGUCAUCGGCCAUGUCGACUCUGGCAAGUCGACGACCACUGGGCACCUCAUCUACAAGUUGGGAGGUAUCGACAAGCGUGUGAUCGAGCGUUUCGAGAAGGAGGCGGCGGAGAUGAACAAGCGUUCGUUCAAGUAUGCGUGGGUGCUGGACAAGCUGAAGGCAGAGCGCGAGCGUGGUAUCACGAUUGAUAUUGCGCUGUGGAAGUUCGAGACCAUGAAGUACUACUGCACUGUGAUCGACGCGCCCGGACAUCGCGAUUUCAUCAAGAACAUGAUCACGGGAACGUCGCAGGCAGACUGCGCUGUGCUGAUCAUCGACUCGACGACGGGAGGGUUCGAGGCCGGUAUCUCGAAGGAUGGGCAGACGCGUGAGCACGCACUGCUGGCGUUCACUUUGGGAGUGAAGCAGAUGAUUUGCUGCUGCAACAAGGUGAGUUGAGAAGACACGGCACAGUGUAUAUUUGUAUGGGGUCAGUGAGACUGGAUUGGGUCUGAGCACGGUGUCUGUGAGAGCCGUGAGGUGUCACGGCACAAUGAGAUAAAGUGGUGAUUUUAGGAGUAGGGUGUAUGGGUAUUGGUGUAUUUGAGGGCUGAUGUUGGACUAUGUGUGGAUGGUAGAUGGACGCGACCACCCCGAAGUACAGCAAGGCCCGAUAUGAGGAGAUCGUGAAGGAGGUGUCGGCGUACCUGAAGAAGGUGGGGUACAACCCGGAGAAGGUUCCGUUCGUGCCGAUCUCAGGGUUCGAGGGCGACAACAUGAUCGAGAGGUCGACGAACCUGGACUGGUACAAGGGCCCGACUCUGUUGGAGGCGUUGGACAACGUGUCAGAGCCGAAGCGGCCAUCUGACAAGCCUCUGAGGCUGCCGCUUCAGGACGUGUACAAGAUUGGAGGCAUCGGAACUGUGCCAGUGGGACGGGUGGAGACAGGAAUCAUCAGGCCAGGUAUGUUGGUGUGCUUCGCACCGACGGGACUGACGACUGAGGUGAAGUCGGUGGAGAUGCAUCACGAGUCGAUGCCUGAGGCGCACCCAGGUGACAACGUCGGGUUCAACGUGAAGAACGUGGCGGUGAAGGACCUGAAGAGAGGGUACGUGGCCUCAGACUCGAAGAACGACCCUGCCAAGGAGGCAGCCAACUUCACGGCGCAGGUUAUCAUCAUGAACCACCCGGGACAGAUCGGGAACGGUUACGCACCAGUGCUGGAUUGCCACACGUCGCACAUUGCGGUGAAGUUCGCGGAGAUCUUGACGAAGGUGGACAGGCGAUCGGGUAAGGAGCUGGAGAAGGAGCCGAAGUUUUUGAAGAACGGGGACGCAGGGUUCGUGAAGAUGAUUCCGACGAAGCCGAUGACAGUGGAGACGUUCGCGGAGUACCCACCAUUGGGACGUUUCGCGGUGCGUGAUAUGAGGCAGACGGUGGCUGUGGGUGUUAUCAAGGCCGUAGAGAAGAAGGAACCCACCGGCGCCAAGGUGACGAAGGCCGCUGCGAAGAAGAAGUGAAUAGUGCGGGAAGGGGGUGAAGGCGAGGCGGAGAAGGGGGCGGAGUGGCGGUGGUGGGUGGAGAGGUGGAUGUGGAGCAUGGAGUUGCUGACUUUGAGUGGUUGGUCGAUAUAUUUGUUGCAAGCGCGACAGAGGCAGACUUGGGUACUUGACAGGAGAUGGCAGGGCAUAGUGGGCACGAGGGCAUGGGUGUAAGAGAGAGGGAAAUAAGAGAAUAUAUGAUCUCUUUUUAAAGUACAAAUGCGUGGUGUUUUUUGAUGUGGUUGAUGCUUGUGGAAUGUAGGAUGACUGGUGAUUUAACUAGUUCUGGAUGGUAUGUGGAUCAAUUUGGGUUGAUACUGUUGGGAUAAUGUGGUUUCAUCUGGAUUUGUGCAACAGUUUUCUUGGAAGUAGCGCAAUUAAGGGCUGUGAAGUAUGAGUUCUCUUUUGACAACUUUAAUUGUAUGGGUUUGUUAUAUAAUACUUCUGGAGUGUUCCGGAUUAUAAUUUUUGCAUAAUACUCGCCACGAUCUGCGGUUGGGCUGGUACUUUUGACUAGUAACAUUCUUGGUGUGCAGCACAAGAAAUACACCUCGUUUUUUGUGUUGACAGACAGUACCCGAGAAUAUCCAUGACCUUUAUAAAUAUGCUCCCUUUCCUUCUUAUCAAUUUGCUUGAACGACGUUCAGGAAUGAAAUGGAGCAGUUGAAUUACGGUAUUGUAACCAUAAAUCUAAUUUUAUUCUACUAAAUCUGUCUUUCUCACGACACUUUUCUAUGGUAACAUGAAAAUACUCCUUAACUUAUUGAUCUGUUGCCACUAUCACAGUUCUUGCCACUUUGUGCACUACAAUUGUAAGAAUGUAACCCGGCUUAAAGCCAAGUUUCUAGAUGAAUUCAUCUUAAAACAAGGUCCCCAUGAAACGAAGAAAAUGUUUCCAAAUGUGGCCAUUGUCGGAACAACCCUCUUUUGAAUGUAAUCACCCGGAACUGGUCCACGAAAAAUAACACUCUUGCAGAGAACUUCCUGGUAGAAUUGUGGAAAUAGAGUUGUGGAAAGGCGAAAUUACAACAAAAUCCGACACACUAAAUCCAAAAUGUAAAGAAUAAGUACUGCAUGAUGUAAAGAAAUUGUUCGUGUAUUUUUUGGUGUACACGUGGUUCGUAACUUGGAUUUGAGUAUUAGCAUAACCUUUAGAGCAAUUUGCAGUUAUUAUUGUGGCAUUUGUAAAAUGAAAAAAUCAUUGUUAUUCAUACAUGCACCACACAGGGUUGUCAUUUAUUUAACUUUUUGUGAGUAUUGUCAAUUUAGAUUUGAAUUGCCUUGUUAAAAACUAUAGAUACAAUUCAUGGAUACUUAUAUUCACACAAACAUAUUUUUUGCAUUUUUUGUUGCUUAAUUUAUUACAUUAGAAAAUAAAAUCUAAUUUAUAUCUCCUUUUUGAAAUUAUUGUUGAUUACUUAAAAAUUUGAUUUUUCUGUUGGCUCUUUUUCACUUUAAUAAUUUUUUUUGUGUAUAUGGUUAAGAAUUUUCAAGUAGUAUCACCAUUGAUUGUUUUAGAUUGCGGCACAACAAGCUUUCCUAGAAAAAGCUUCUAUGACCAAAGAGUCACACUAAUUAGAAUAAAAGGACAAAUGUCCCAUGAUCCUUGGACACUUGGCCAGUAUAAUAUAAAUAUAGAAAAUAUGAUCUUUGUGGUCAAUCCAAUUAUUAUGGGUGUUUUGUCACUUUUGAGUAAAAUAAAAUGACAAAUGUCAUGUGAAUCUUGACCUAUACUCUAAAUAUGGUCAAUACUCUCUUUAUGACUUAUCCCAAACAACAUGGGGAUUUUAGAUCCUAUAAUAGAAUAGAGUAUUUUAUUAAGUAGCUUCAACAAAGUUAAAUAUAUAUUUUUUUUUUUUUGUAUAUGGAAACAUUACCAUCAUUUGAAUAUAUUUUAUUUUGCAAUCCAACAACUUUAUUUUAUUAUAUUAUAUCACAUUAAUGCAUUUGUGCUAUAUUAAGAUCAUACAAAUAGAUGCAAUAUCUAUUACAUAAUAAUGUAUUGUGUUAGCAAAGGAUUUGAAGCUUUAAUUUCUUGUAUAAUUUAUUAGUAAAUACUAUUACCUUAUUUGAAAGAAAAAACUUAUAUAUUAGUCAUAGUCCAAUCUCAAAAAAAAGUAGAACUUAACAAAUUUUAUUUAGAAUUGUAUCUUUCUAAAAGUAUUUAGUCAACAAGAUAUUAAAGUAAAAAAAUAAUAUUAUGAUUUUAUCAAGUGUAAUAUUUAUAACUUCUUUAAUGUGAUUUCUUAUAUCUAUUUUUGUUAUAUAUUAUAAGUUUAUUUUUAUGAAUCUCUUAAACCACGAGUGACAUUAUCCAUUAUUCAUUUAUUUUUAUUUUAUAAUAUUUUAUUUUGUAUAACAAAUUAUAUUAUAAUAGAGCAUAUUAUAGCCUUUUAUACACUAUAAUUCUUUAUGAUAGAAGAAAUUAUUGAUUUUGCAUGUAUAUAAAAUUUAUAAUUUAUAAUUUUAUUAAAUAUAUUAUUUUGAUUUGUUUUUUUUCUUUUUUUCUUAAGUAUAUAAUUAGAUUUGAAUGAUGAGUUAAGAAAACACAUUGUUUAACAAUGAUGGAUUUAGUUUGAAUGCAUAUUUAUAUGAAGUAGGCUAUAUACAAAUUUAUUGCAAAUAUGGCUUUUGUAGACAAUUUGACUUUUUUUUAAAAUUUCAUAGGUAGAAACUACCAUGUGUAAUAUCAUCAUAUUAAAUAAAUAGACCUAGGUUUGCUUGAUUUUGAUGUUCGAAACCUAGGUCUACCCACCAAUUUUCAGUAGACAGUACCUAACUAUCCAGGUUGGGAAUUUCAGAUUGCUAAAAACUCAUGCGCGUUUAACCUACUUGCAAUCCCUGAACCACCACCACCAACAUUCUGUUGCACCAUCGACGCCUCUGUUAGAGUAUUCCGACAUCACCAUUCACUCGUCAUCGAAGUCAAAGAAUUCGCCCAAGUCCUCAUCAUCCUCAUACACUCUCACGGCAGAUGCGACUGACGGGCCUUCGCACAGCGCCUGCUGCACGUUCAGUGCUUUCGGCACCACCAUUUGAGCACCACUUCCACCCGAUUCAAAAUACCUGCACAGCAGCGCCUGCGAGUGAAACCAUGUUCGUUAGUAUCACUUGCACCGGACUCCCAUCCAGUUACCACACAACACUUCUGUGACCUGUCCAACACCUUCUUCGGGCAGCCUGCUGUACCAGCAUCACACAGCAGCCUCCUACACUCCAGCUUCUCCCAACCUACGUACCCUAUCCUUCCAACACUCUGUUACGUCCUUCAUAACUUCACACAAUCCAUCUACAAUAGCGUUCUAACUUUUCCACUGCAUACGUCCUCCCUGCUUUGCGCGUGAUCGCCCUUUCAUCUCAACGCUUUCUAAUUUUGCUCCACUACAUCUCCAGGACAGGCUUUCCCACGCCUAGCUACAAGAACAAGCACACUCUGCAUCGCCAACCACGCGUUACCCCCCAACAAACCACUACCCAUACCACUCCACAACCAUCGCCCACUCUCCCAGCUGCCCACUUAUGUUGCGUCCUAUCCAACACUUCCUAUUGUCAUUUCGAAUUGCCCCACCCAACCACCAUUCAUCACCCGUCACCCAUCACAACUCAUGUUCAACGACUAUCAACGCUCCUCACCGUGGCGGCGUACGCGUCCAGUUGCUCCUUCCGAGACCGUCUGUUGCUGCCCCUGCGUCACAUUCAACCAACUCCCAUCACCCACAUGUUCCCUCCCUACCCAACCUCCCCCACCUCCAAUUCCUGCCCUGCACCACGCCCACCAACCAUGCAUUCCCCAAGCACCGCAUCCACACCGUGCAUCACCACAACUCCAACAGGGAUCUCGAUGUUUACAUGUCAAUCAUGUAGUCCAGCGCAUCCUGCGAAGUCCCAUACUCGUCUUGCAAAUAUACUCGCCACCCUCUGCAAUACGCCACCACACCUGCCUCAGAUCCCUACUGCUCCAUGCAAUGUGCACUACUUGACCAACGACGACACUGUCCGAUCGCCGUGUACUUCCCCUUGUCGAUCACCCCACUCGUAUCCCUACUGCUGAAACCCCUGCCCGCUACACAUCAUCCCUUUCCCCCACUCUGUCACCCCCAUUGUGUGCACCGCUGCACCUUGCAACUACUCAACCACAACUCACUCCUUCACAAGAUCUCAUCAUGUGACAUUGGCGGUGGGACUUUACCGCCGACCAACGAUAUUCGCCAGCCUCCCGGCAAAGCUGCGGCACUUGUUGGCUUGGUCCGAGUCCUUGCCAUCCCACGCUUUGGGCAGCCCAACCACAAACUCGUCUGCUCUCUGCGCUCCACCCACCCAGCCACACAACACCACCAUCAACGUCUUCGCCGAACACAUCCUGCACCGCUGCUACCAAAACCACUCACACCUCUCAUGACCUAAUCACGCCAUCCCUCCAAAACCCUGAACCCUUUCUUCACUGAAAUUGCACCUGCCGAAGGGAAUCAGGUUCACGUCAGAGCCGGUUCGUGCGUGCGCCCCACCGUAAUGUACCAUUGCGCGAACGUGACUCUCACUAAACGUAAAAGAAAAUUGCAACUCGCUUUGUCAACUGCUCAUUCUUCCGGCAUAUGUCAAUCCACCAAUCAGCCCGUGUUAUCAACCAACGGUCGACAUAAUUCUUACCUCACGUAUGCCGACUUGCAAUAUGGUUUCGAGUAACUUGUCUCCCCUCUGCCGCACCACCUACAACCACAAGGUACGUGAGACACCUCCUUCCAUCCCUUCGGAAUCCACCCACCGCUUGGCUUCACCAACACAAAGGGUGGGCAGGAACACGCUCACGGACACACGAGACGCCCCACGUAUCUCCCACGCCCGCUUCGUGCACUACGAAGGUUGCAAUAGCACAAAAGCUUACGGUCAAAGGCCGGGGCGCAUAACCACCCAGACUGAUCGCCAAUCCAGUCUUUGCAUCCCCGAGAUCCACACCCACUGUGUGUCCGCGCACCCUCUCUCCACCUCUCGCCCUCUGCGCAUUGCACUCCAGACUGCCAAUCUUCGCUUUCAGCUCCAACCUCAGCCGGGGAUCCUCCGCCACGCGCUCUGGACUGCCAUCCCCGUCUCCUCGCCCAGGGCUUGCUUUCCCGAGCUUCUCAACCCCAGCAUUCGAGUCAUUUCGAGCACACACAACGCCGACAGCCCUCAACCGCAGCUUCCUCAGCGGAAACGCUGGCGCGGGAACAGAGCGCAGCUGCCGAAUGGGAGUUCUAGGAAACAACACAGCACAAUUCAGGGUGCUCACAUGGCGCCCUCCGAGACUCAUCCUGCCCAACUAGCCACUCACUGCACAUGCGACGCAACAGUCCCCAAACACAACUCGAAAGAAAACAUGAAGGGUGCAAACUGAACCCACUACCACAGUACUGCUUUCGCCUCCUACCGGGCCAGGGUGGUGUCUGAGCGAGUGACGCCUCGUAUUGGCGACCACGGCAAAUGCAGGCGCGAGAGCACGCAUCCCUCGUCGUCCUCUGAGUGUGUGGGGGUACAGGCCUUGUCACGCAGAGCUCGCCGUGGUCCUGGAUGCGCUUACCGGCCGUGGGCGUCGCCGGUCCUAGUGCGUCCUCCGUAUCGGCAAUCCUUUCUCGAUCGGGCAGCCUGGAAGGCGGGCAGACGCUCCCACGGUAAUACACUUACUCAGUGGGGAUGGGUGUAGAGGGAAAAUUCUGGCAGCUCACGAUUCUUGUCAGAGCCAAUGGUUGGAGCACAGCUGUCUUCGACCUAUUGCCGAGCAAAGAGUUAGGACCCCACCAGAGGUGCCGAUGAAGACGAGGGAGCAUGAUGACGAGGUGAAGGAUACGUAGAGCUCGUGGAUGAAACGCAUUCAUUCAAAGCGUAACAUACACACGUAGAGGAAAAUAUAUGCACCUCAAUACCUACCUGGGACAGUGUCCUCGACAACCUUUUAUAUUAGAAUGAGAAGAGCGUUUAGCCCACAAAUUGCGGCGCAGAAUGAACCUCAUUGGGCAUCAUAUGAUUUGUGUCAAGCCCGUUUCUUAUCCCUACAGGUGUAGAGGGAUCCCCCUUGUCGCAAGAUUGAAUCACGACGGCGUUGUUUCUCGAGGCGCGUUGUGAGUAUUGAACAAUGCGACCGACAUGAUUUAUGUUGGUGAGGUCAAAAUGAAGAUUGCAGUGAAUCAAAUCAUACCUUGGAACUAGAAACGCUAUUAUCGUUGUUUCAGGUCGAAGAGGGUCCAUGUGAAAUCUUUUCUUUUCUUCAUCUUGGGUGUUAAUGCAAUACGGCCCUGUGUACUUCGCCCAAAAUUUAUCCUUUUUCUUACAUAGCUUUUUCUUUUGAUAUAAGACUACAUCUCCAACAGCGAAGUCUCGUGUAUAUGUUACUUUUUUGUCAUGACCCUCUUUCUGCGGCCGUUGUGCUUUGCCAAUGUUGGUGUGCGCUUGUGUUCGUAACUAGUCCCGUUGUUGUAGUAACUCAUCAAGCCACGUGUGUAAGUCGGUGGGUUGUGUGAUGGCUAGUGCUGGAGCCAGCAGCACUAUUGGCAAGCGUGGUUUGCGCCGAUACAACAUUUCGAACAGCAAGAAUCUAGUACUAGAAUGAACGGUGGUCCGGUAGGCGAACACAAUCGCCGAUAGCAUUGUGUGCCAAUACUGGUCAUACUCCCCAUUUUUCUCAAUAAGCAAACAUAAUGUCAUCUUAAAUCUUUUGGUCAGGCUAUUACACUGCGGGUGGUAGGGCGAUCUAGUGGUAUGUUUGGUGUGAAGGUGAAUGGCUAGCACUUUGAGUAAGGCGAUACAAAACUCGCUUCUGUUGUCAUUUAGAAUUUUGAUGGGGCUAUUGUGUUUCACCAUAAUGGAAUUAAAGAAGAAUUGUGCAAUUUGCUCACAUUCUUUGGACUUCAAAGCAUGCACCUCGACCCACUUCGUGAGGUAGCAGGUUGCAACAAUCACGUACUUAUUGCGCCAUGACGUCCAUGCCGACCUUUGCUAACGGCUCAAAAACUGGGAUCGAGGUUAAUAAUCAGAGCUGCAUGUUUUUAUCAUGCGUACAUUUUACCUGGCAUGUCGGGCAUUUGCGAAUGUAGUUUGUUACAUCCUCAACCAUGCCAAUCUAGUAGUAAGCAUCUUGCAACCUUUUCAACGUUCUUCGUACGGCAAAGUGUCCGGAUGUGCGAGCCGCGUGGAAUAGUUCUAAUACCUAAGGAAGUUCAAAGGCCCCGGGAACUCUCAAAAUACGAAUACCCUCUAGAGCGGACUUUUUGUGAAAGAGAGUACCAUCUCGCAUGAGGUAUUAGGAGAGAUGGUACCUCACUCUCUUGGCCAGCGUUCUAUCCAGGCCGAUGGCGAUCGAGCCAGUCCGGCAGGCUUCAGAGUGCAUCUAACAAUGCUUCUUUUAUCACGUUUAUUUUUGAGCAGAGUGUUUUGUUGAGGGCGGGGUUGGGAGUGCCUGUCUUUGUGGUCUCCUCUCUUAAAGACCUAAGCAACUUGUCACAACAGUUGGAGCUCGUGAUGGAUCCAUCGUUAGUUUCAAUCAUCCUGACAAUGCAAUUCACCCUACUUGACGUUCAUAAAGACUGUUUUAUGUAUGCUGCGAAUGUCAUCGCAACACCAAUCAAAGAAAACACAAAACAUAUUAUUGACAUAUAUAGCUACGAACGUAGUUAGUGCACACAUGUUCUGAUACAAUUUUGAGGUGUGCUGUGACACCCUGCCAUUCUCCCGGGAGGCUGAUGCGUUGUAAUUUAGUAGUAUAGAGCCAUGAACCAUUGGGCAUUUGGAGUAGCGAAGCUGUUGGAGUGUGUUCAGGUCGCUGAGCGUAGGAUAUAGUUUAGGCACGGUGUUUUUAGUGCAAGUUUGUGCGUCUACGUUUGCAUGGAGGAGUCCCGGUUUGUGUAUGAUUGUGCAAUCGUAGAAUUGCAAAAGUCGCAAGGCAAGGAGGAGUGCAUGGUCGAUUUUGAUGAUAAAUUCAAACCUAUGAAGAUAUGGGCGAAAAUAUUUUACCUCAAAGACCAAUGUGAGGCCUUCUUUAUCAAUGAUCCCAUAAUUCUUUUUUGCCUUUGAUAAUUGUUUGGAGAAUGAUCCCAUAAUUCUUUUCUGCCUUUGAUAAUUGUUUGGAGGCUUAGGCUACCACCAGUUUUGUCAAAUGGGUGCAAUUGUAGUUAUAAUGUCAUGAGUUAUAUGCGGUUCAGAUUAAUGGGACCAUUACUAAAGAUAUCUAGAUUUCUAUAGAUGAUAUAGAUUCCUAUUGGAAUAUAAUGUCAUUUUAAAUCUUGUGGUUAGACCAUUGCAUAGGAAUCUAUAUAAUCUAUAAGAAUUAAUGUUAAGAAGGCAAGAUGUUUGAAUUAUCUAAUUGAGCAUGACAUUAUAUUCAAAAUAUUUGUACUUUGUCCAAAAUGUUUUCUUCCAUUAAUCUCCUUCUUUAAUCUGCACCAAAUUGUACACUAUAUAUAAAUCUAUUCUAGUGUAGAUCCUAGCUUGACUGAAUUGCUUUAAAAGCUUUGAUAUCAGUGGUAAUAGAUAAAGAUUCUUCAGGAUUAUUUUAUUGAGGUCAUAAUAAUCAAUACACAUUUGCAAAGAUCCAUCUUUUUUCUUCACAAAAACUAUUGGUCCAUUUGCUGGAGAUUCACAAUACCAAAUAAAGUUCUUUGCAAGAUUUUGAUCAAUAUAAUCCUUCAAUGCCAAAAGUUUAUUUUGUGAUAGGUUGUAGAUUGAGCUAAACGGUGGUUGAGCCUCUUUGAAGAUCAAUGGUACUAGGAUAGCUACUAGCGAGCUUACUUCUUCAUAAGUUGGAGUUGCAUAAAUAACAAAUGGCAUUUUUUUCUUAGUAGUCUUCAUAAAAGCCCUUGCUUAAAGGAAUAAAUAAAUUUGAGGUAUUGGAAUGUCCAACUACAUGGUCUCUAUUAAAGUUGGAUCUCUUUAUUUUCCUAAAAAAUUGCAAUCUUAAUCCUAUUUGUACAUUGUUUCUUUGGACAGUUCUCAAAUUUAUGACCUUCUUCAUUACAAUACAAGUAUAGACCUUAUUCAAAUUGACACUUCUUCUCUUCUAUUAUAAGAGGUUUAAACUAUAUUGCAUCAAUUUACAUAUCUUCAACUUUGGAAUCUAAAAGUAUUGUAUUUAUUGAAAUAAUAGAGUACAAAUUUUUAGUAUGUUGCUUUAUCAAAGUCGAAAAGUAUUGAUUUUGAUAUUAUUAAAAUAAUCAAUAAUUAUUUUUUACAGCUUGGUUAAUAGUCUCAUUGAGUGUUUGAGGAUCACAUAAUGAUAGUAAUAGGUCUUUGACAUCAUCAUUUAAUCUCCAAUAGAAUUGGUUCAUAAAAGCUUUUUCAUCCCAAUUGAUGUGACAAACCAAUUACUUAAAAUCAAAUACAUAAACUUAUACAAAGCAUGACCUUUGAUGUAAUGAGCAAAUUUUUAUUGAUAUCCAUCAAGCCUUAUCAUAUUUUCUAAAUGCCUCUACAAAUACUUCUAAAAAAGUCUUUAAAAUUAUUCAAGAUUAGAGUUCUUUUUUCAAAUAAAAGAUCAAACCAAAAUAAGGCUUAUCUUGAGAUCAAGGUUCCAACUAAAUCAACUCACUAUUCUUUUGUUGGAUAGCACUCAAGUUGUAGAAAAGUUACUAAUCAAAUUUUAUUAAUAAAUCUUUAAAACUUAGAAUGUGUAUCAUCAAAAAAAUUUGAAAGACUAAUUUGAGGCUCUUUAUGUUGUUGAAUAAGUGAGUUUUUUUGUCGAAAUACAAGUGCCACCACUUCCUUGGAUGUAAAAGCUUGAAAAAGUGGUUGUAUUACAGGUUAAACUAUUCUAGAUCUUAUAUCACUAUAAAAUCUUACAAAACAUCUUUUUAUUUUAGUAGUUCUAUGAGAUAAAGUAUUGAACAUGUUCAUAAUACUAUCUAAUUAGGAUUUAGAAGAUUUAACCAUAUUAAUAUCUUGACUUCUAGCUAUUUUAAAAGAAAAAAAUUAAACAAUACUAAUUUAAUUUAAAGAAGAAAUCUUGCAACCUCUAAAACAUUGAAAUGACUUCAAGAAGAGAAAUAAUCCAAUCUUUAUUAAAAAAGAUCAAGCUUUAGUAUUGAUAAGAAAGUUAGUCUUGACAAAAUGUCAUGGAUAUACUAUACAAAAGAUCAAAUAAGAAAUUGAAUAAAAAAAAUUUCAAUAAAAAAGCUAGUAAGAACUUGAUGAAAUCAAAUAAGUACAAUAUCAACACCAAGAGAGAUGAGCUAGAGCUCCAAGAGAUGUGUUGUUGAGAUUGAAGAUCCCCUCACCCUUAACUCCAAUAUAUAUUAGGUAUUAAAAAGCUUUUUUAGAAAUUUUAAUGUUGCUUAAGAACAAAGCAACCUUAGAAGGGUUCUCGAAAAGUUUUCAUUUUACUUGAAGACAAAAACAAUCCUAGAAAGCUUCUUAGAUAGCUUCCUUAAUCAUCUUAGAAAUUUUUAGAAUCUAUUGGAAUUUUUUGAAAACCUUCUAAAUCUUUUUAAAUAUUUAAAGGAACUUUUUAAAAUCUUCUAUUAAAGUAUUUUUAAAAUAUUUAAAAAUUUGAUAGAUUAUUUUAAAAAUAUUCCUAAAAUCUUUUGAUUGUUUAUAACAAAAGUUUUAUUAUUGAUAAUGCCAAAAGAAAAUUUAUUGCUUAAGUCAUUGCAUGUAAUAAUUGAUUCUUUAAAAGAUACAAAGAACAAAGAUUUUAUUGAAGAGGUAUAAAUGAAAUUUUGGUGAUAACUUUUAAAUUUGUAGAAGCUUAUUCAUCAAAGUUGGAAUCCAUGCAAAUUGAUAAGAUAUGUUUCAAAGCUCUUAUUGAGCAAGAAAAGACUUGACAUUGUCAAAAAUGAUUGUGCUUAUAUUGCAAAGAACCUAAAUACACUACUCAACAUUGUCUAAAGAAGCAACAAAAUCACAAAAUGAGGAGCAUAGUUACCAGAGAAGAUGAUGUGUUAAAAAAAAAGUCUUUUUUUUUUUUUUUUUUUUUUUUUUUUUUUUUUAAGUACAAUAAGAAUUAUUCAUCUAAAAUCUUGCUUAACACCUAAUAAAUAUCUUAUUUUUUUUUUUCAAAUCUCUCACCUUGUUUUACAAUAGAAAUUUGUUUAAGAUCAAAAAAUCACAAAGUCUUUGCUUUAUUAGAUUCAAGAGCCUCAACAUAUUUUAUAGGCAAAGCCUUUAUUAAAAAAUAAGAAAUAUCUUUACUUAAAAAAAAAAAAAAAUCCGUGCAUGUAGAAGUCAUAGAUAGUCAUUUGUUAUCUUUUGGAAAUAUUAUCGAUAAGAUAAUUUCUUUAGAUGUAGCAAUUAAAGAUCAUAAUAGCUUAAUAAUAUUUAAUGAGAUUAGAUCUCCUUUUAAUCCAAUUAUUUUAGGAUUAUUAUGGCUAAAAAAAAUAUAAGCCUCAAAUAGACGAUUUCUUAUAACUUUAAUUUUUUUUGAAAUUUAGCCGAAGAUUUUCCUAGUCAAGUAAAAAUUCUUAAGUCCAAUACAUCCAAAUCCUUAUUGAUAUGUACAAGAGCUUUUAUGCAUACUAUAAAAGAAGAGUUAGCUUUGUUGUAGAUUCUGCACCUAUUUUCGAUAGAAAUAAGAUUUCAAGUAGUAUUUUAAGUAAAUAUUAAGAUUAUUAAGGUAUUUUUAAAAAAUAAAUAUAAACAUUCUUUUAGAGUAUUAUCCUUAUGACUGUUCCAUUGAUUUUAAAGAAAGAACUCAACUACCAUUUGGACCAAUCUAUAGCUUAUCACAAAAGAAGUUGGUUGCACUCAAAGAACACAUUGACAAGAAUUUAGCUAAAAAUUUUAUAUACCAUUUUAAAUCUCAAGGAAGGACUCUUGUUUUAUUUGUGAAGAAAAAAGACAAAUCUCUAUAGAUGUCUCUUGACUAUUAAAGUUUUAAUAAUAUCACCAUUAAAAAUACAUAUCAUCUAUCUUUGAUUUCAAGACUUUUUAAUUAAUUAAAUUAAAUAAAUAUCUAUAUAAAAAUAGAUCUAUGAGAAGCAUAUAACAUGAUACAUAUUAAAAAAAGAUAUGAAUGAAAAAUUACGUUUCAAAUUAGGUAAUGUCAUACCCUUUAGAUUCAUAAAUAUACUAAUUAAUUUUUAACAUUUAAUAAAUGAUGUCUUUCAUGAGUUUCUUGAUGACUUUGUUGUUUGUUAUCUAGAUGUUAUUUUAAUCUAUUCUAAAAAUAUAAAAAACAUGAAUUUCAUGUUUGACAUGUCUUACAAAAAUUAAAAAAUAUAUACUUAUAUGCCAAGAUAGAAUAGUGUAUAUUUCAUAUUACUCAAAUUGACUUCAUAGGAUAUAUCAUGUUAAACAAUAGCCUUAUGAUGGAUCCUAAAGAAGUCUAGACUAUCAUAAAUUGAAAGAUCUCAAAAAUAGUCAAAGAUGAGUAAUUUUAAAAAAAUUUACUAUUUAUUAUUAAACUUUUAUCAAUUUUUUUUUUUCAAAUUACAGCUUCUUAUAUAUAUUUAACUUGUAAAGAUAAACUUGAGUAGAGUAAAGAAGCCAUAAUAUCUUUUGAAGCUUUAAAGACAAUAUUUAUUUUUGUACAAAUCUUAUAUUAUGUGAACUUUUUUAAAGCAUUUUUUAUAGAAAGAAAUGCAUCAAACUUUGCUACAAGUGCAAUGUUGUCACAAAUAGGAGUGAAUGAUAAGUUCCAUCUAAUAGUUUCUUAUUCUAAUAAAUUUUCAAUAAUCAAGAUUAACUACAAGAUUGACAAAAAAGAACUUCAUGCAAUUAUAGAUUCAUUUUAAGAAUGGCAUCAGUAUCUAAAAGAAACUUUCAAUAUAUAUAUAUAUAUAUAUAUAUAUAUAUAUAUAUAUCUAUAUUUAUUAUAAGAACAUCAAGUAUUUCAUGUCAACACAUGUUUUGAAUUCUGACUAAGCCCAUUGGAGCAUAUUUUUAUGAAGGUUUGAUUUCAAUAUGACUUAUUAACUCAAAAAAUAAUAAGAUUUGUCAAAGACAUUUUUUAGACAUUCUUAUGUUACAUCAAAGGAAAAAAAUGUAAUUUUUGAUCAAUGAAGAUUUUUUCUUUUUAAAGUUGGAGCAUUUUUAUCUUUAAGCAAUGAAAUCAAUAUUGAUUAUUGAUUCAAUUUUUUUUAAGCAAAUUCAAUCAAAUAUAUUCUGUGAUUCUUUUAUUUAUGAUAUUAAAAAUAAUUCUUUUAAUUAUUAUAUUACUUUCAACUUUAAGUUCAAAAAUAAUCUGUUUUAUUUUUAAAAAUAAUUAUAUAUUCCAAAAGACAAAGCAAAAUUAUGUAUUAUUCAAGCUCAUCAUCAGUUUCUAAUAUCCAAAUAUUUUGAAUACAAUAAGACUUUGAAGCUAAUAUCAAAAGAUUUUUUAUGGCAUCAAUGUAAAAUGUUGUAAAACACUUUGUACAAUUAUGUGACGUUUAUUUAAGAUCAAAAACUCUUUGGCAUUGAUCUUAUGGAAUUCUUUAGCUAUUAUCUAUUCCAAAACAACUAUAGUCUUUUAUUUUUAUGGAUUUUAUUAUAGAUUUUUUAGUCUCAUGUUCUUGUGAUAGUAGAUUAUUUUGCUAAGAUAGCAUAGUUUGUACUAUAUAUAAAAUCUAUCAUAGAUGAAGAAAUAACUAAUUUUUUUUUUUGAUAAUAUCUAUCACCAUUAUGGAUUGUCAAAUGAUAUUAUAUCAAAAAUGAAGAUUCAAUCUAUAUCAAGAUUUUUAAAAGUUCUUCUUAAGAUUUUAAAGAUAGAAAUAAAAUUACAUUUGGCUUUUCAUCCUCUAAUCAAUGGACAAAUAGAAGGAAUAAUCAAAGUUUUGGAAUAAUUUUUUUACCAUUGGUAGAUUUUUUUUAUAAUAACAUAGUACAUUCUCCUAUAAAACAAACACCUUUUUUAUAUUAAUUAUGAUUAUUAUUGUGCUUUCAAUUUUGCAAUCAUCCCUUUGAUUUCAUAAAAGUCUAUAAUUAUGUAAAAAAAAUUAAAAAGAAUAAUUAUUUGAGCUAUAUAUAACAAUAAAGGUACAAUUAAAAAAAAGCUCAAGAAUAAUAAAAGUCUAAAGCAUAUGCCUAUUACAAGGAACAACUUCAAUUCCACAUUGGCAACAAGGUAUGGUCACUUUAUUAUAAUAUGAAGAGUAGCCGCUUUUGUGAUAAGAUGGAUUAUUAUAGGCUUGGACCAUUUCAUAUUUGUAAAUAAAUCAAUUUAGUUGCUUAUUAAUUACACUUAUUGGAGUCUAUAAAGAUCCAUUCCAUAUUCUAUAUUUUUUUUAAACCAUAUAAGAAAGUGAAUAUCUCAAAAAAAAAAGAUAAAUACUAUUUUUUUUAUAUAAUUGGAUAAUAAUCAAGAUUUUAAAGUAGAAGAAGUCUUCAACUCAAGGUAGCAUUGAAAUAGAUUGAAAUAUCUUGUUUAUUGGCAUUGAUAUGAUAUUAAUGAAUGCACAUAGAAGCCAACAAAGAAUCUUGCAAAUACAAUAAAGAAGAUUGAUACUUUUCAUUAACAAUAUCUAUCAAAAUCAAGAUAAAGAAUAAAAAAUCUUUUUUUUAAAGAAAUAAGAUCUAAAAAAGAUAAUAUUUUAUUUCAUAUUAUUGUUUAUAAUUUUUGUAUAUUUAUAAUACUAUAAAGAUAAAAAAAUCAACAACCAACAAAUUCAACUCAAGAGCUAUCAUUUGAUGACUUAUUGGAUGAAAUAUUAUAAUUAUUACAGCCUUCGAGACAACAUAAUAGAGAUGGAGAUCCUAAAGAAUGACAUGUUCUUUUUUAAAUAGAUAAUGAAAUAUGAUACAUUUGGUAUCACAACCUUGGAAGAGAUUUCUAAUGUUUGGUGAUUUUAUUACAAUUAGGAAUGAUUUUUAAUCGUAUUUCAAAUGUUUUAUUUGAAGAGAGUUAUAAAAGUCUCAAGAAUGAUCAAAUAAUAAAAUGGUUUUUCUACCUUAAUAAAGGAGACUAUCAACUGCCUUCAAAAUAAACAAAGAUCAAAGUAUGUGGAAAUUAUAAUUUGCCAUAUCUUAGACUUCUUUAAUAUAUAGUGACUAUUCCUUAUAGAACUCAAUCUUAGAAAGGGAGAUAAUAACAUAGACAUGUAUAUUUAUCUAGAUUAGAAGUAUUAAGUAAAAAAUAAAUGUAGAUAGAUUUGAUAUUAUUUUAUAGCAAAGCUUUUUAGGAGCUUUAUAGAUGUGUACUUGACUUUGUAUGUGUUUAUAAUUGAUUAUAGGUUAGAAACUUAGCCAACAAAUUAGUCAUGUAUUGCACAUGUAGAUAGCUUAUAAUACAAGCUAAUAAUGUGGCGUACAUAUAAGAAACUUAUAAUACAAAUUAAGACAUGUGUCUUAUAUAUUAGACAUGUGUUAGAGGUCCUAUAAAACAUCACCUUGUAGCUCUUAGUUAGAUAGUAUAUAUAGAGACAAGAGUGAUACCUUCUUUACUUUUAUCAAUGCCUUUUUAGUUCUUAAUCUUCUUUCAAGACUUUUUUGUCUUCUUGUCUUUGACAAUAGCCAUUCUAGUUGAAUAUUAUACCAUCUUUGAAUGAUUUUUUAAAUUUGUUUGAAUAGCAUAAGAAUUUAUUGAUCUUUUAGUUCUUUAAAAUUCAUGUCCUUGAUAGGAGGUGAUAACAUAAUGUGCUACAAGUAAGUAAAAGAUAGUGCUUUGAUUAAAAGGUUGAUUUUAAUUGUUGUGUUGAUAGAAUAUUGGAAUUUUGAUGAAGGUGCUAGUAUUGGAUGGAUAUAUUAUGUCUAGUGUAAAACAUGAGGUGGCUAAGAAUAAUGUUGUUGAUGAUUCAACGUCUUUUUUGUAUGUAGAACUCUUUGAUAAGUCUUUUCAUAUAGCUCUUACUUGAUUCAAAUAUAGAGUGGAGCUUUGUUGGAUGCUAAUGUUGUAUCCUUGGCAAGAAAUUGAUGGAAAAUGCUCCAUGUCAUGUACUACUAAUAAUUGCUCAUUGUAAUUGAUCAAUUUAGUUAGGGAACUUUGUCGUGGCAUAUAAUAAAUAUCCUACUUAUUAUGACUUAUGUCCAAUUAUUGAAUUUUGUAUACUAACUGCUUGUCCAAACCUUGUAAUCUUUUAGGAGAUUUUCAAAUACAUUAGCUUGGAAUUUUCCUAAUAUCCAUCAAAGAAAUUCAUGUUAACAAAAAAAAAUUCCAUUUAGUCAUCUGUUUGAGUUUUUGUAAAUUCUAUUCUAUGUAUUACUUAGCGUCUUAAACAAAAUACUAGUCACUCAAAAUUCUUAUUAGAGCCAAUCAUUUGAGCAUAAUUGUAUUUGACCUAUUACAAAGGAAAGAGUUGGGACUCUACUAGAGGUGGCUAUAAAGACAAGAAACCAUGAUGACAAGGUGAAGGAUAUACAGAGCUUCAUUCAUUUAAAGCAUAACAUAUACAUGUAGAAGUAAAUAUGUACAUCCCAAUACUUGCCUAGGACAAUGUCUUUGACAAAUCUUUUAUAUUAAAAUAAGACAAGUGUUAAGCCUAUUAAGUACGACUCAACAUAAAUCUCAUUGGACAUCAUACAAUUUGUGUCAAGCUUAUUUCUUAUUCCUACAAUAGGAACCAUUGUGCCCAAUUGUAGCAUAUAAAACUACUCUAGUUUGAAGGACUUUGUCAAAUUGUCUAGUUAAAAUUAAUUUGGAUAAUUAUUUGAAUUUGAAUUUUAUUUUUGAAGGUCAAAAUAAAUAUUUUGGAUUAUAGUACCAUUGCACUUAAAAUAAAAUAAUAGAAAAGUAGUCUACAAUUUGGAUGAAGAUAUCCACAAUCAAUGAAUGAUAUUAAAAAUGAUCAACACAAAGUUUGCAGGUCACUAGAUGCCAAUUAGCAUUUUCUUGUACCCUACUCUUUCUCAAAAUAGAACGAAGAUGGAUUCGGUCGCCUAUAUCCGGAAUCGUUUUAACAGAAUCUAACAUCGUGUGGAGCAUCCAGAAUUAAGUCUAAAUGGUCGGUAAAAUGAUCGGUAUUAUUUGUUUAUUAAUGUCGGCUGAAAACGCGUCGCAGCAAACCGUGAAAGAAGUAGCGAAGGGUGUGGUCAUUUGGAUAUCCAUCCAGAUCCGAAGGUUUUGCUAUGCGCUACGAAUUAGUCACAACUGCGUUGAAGACUACUUCAAAAUCGUGUGGUGUCUGUAUUUCGCUGCAAAAUACAGGAAAUCCUGCAAGAAAGCGGCUACAGAAUGAGCGCGUUGAGCACUCCUGGAUUGAAUGGUCGUGUAAAAGCGAAUCUGAGACUUGCAUCUUAUCAAGAUAACUGUAGAGAGAGCAUAGUCCAUUGUCACGCACUUGGAGGGGUCUCCAAAUAUAUAAACCUUUCGUAGGAGGCUUAAUAUUCAAGAUUUGAUAUCGAUGAAAACUACAGGAAUUGGGGAAGGAAUUGAGAACUGAGGGAUUCGAAAUCCACUUGUGCUGAUGGUCAUUCAAACGAUUGAGUCGUGGAUUGUGAUCUUGUUCGAUGUCUAUUAAAAGAGUUGGAGAAGAGAUUGAUGACAGUUCGUGAGGCAGAUCUUUUGCUUCAUGGUCCAGCCGAUUCAAUUCCACUCCUCAAGUUGCUCGACAUUUUGUCGCUCAAUCAGGACCAGUUCUUAAAGUCUGGUGUCGAUUGCCGCCAGUUUGCUUUUGUCAUAACACCUCAGUCCUUUCUUCAUCGUGAUUGACAGCUUCAUUCUUUCCGGAAUAUGUCUUCUGGAUUACUUUGAUCAUCACUCUCAGCGGUUUUCAGUUCCUCAAUUGUUUCAUUUUACAAACCACUACGUCUGUGGCUAGCUAGGUACAGAAAAUGGCUUCUCUAAACGAAAGCCAAUCACUUCCUCGAUCAUGGAGAUGUUGCGUCGCACUUUUGCUAUCUUUGUCGUUUUUGAUGGUAGGCUCAACUCAAGCCAGCAGGAAAUUACAAACAGCUCAACCACAAAGGAGACUCCAGGCGCACAGGGACAAUACCGACACGGCUAUGCACGCUCCUUCAGCUCAAUCUUACCUGGUUUCAGACGGUAGCUGGGUAGAUUGUGUCCCCAUCGAAGGACAGAUUGCAGCCCACCACCCUGCUCUCAAAGACCACAUCAUCAAGAUGAGGCCAUCGGUACCUCCCAAUGCUCGCUCUUCAUUAGGCGCGAGAUCGCAUCCACAAUUGUUUGCUCGGGAGCAUGGCGGGUGCCCGGACGGCUAUAUUCCCGUUCAACGAAUGGACCCCAACAGCCCGCGUUUGCGAAAAGAGCAUCCCCCUCAAGCCCCUGGACCUGCUCCAGUUGACGUAGCAGUUCAUGAAUAUGCUGUAACAACCAUGCCAGUUUCUAGCGGAGCUUACAGUGGAUCUGCGGCUGUCCUCAGUGUAAAUGGCCCCACCGUUGCAAAUACCAGGGAGUUCAGCCUGUCUCAGCUAUGGAUCAUCGACGGCUCCUUCAAAGACACAAGCCUGUGCACAAUUGAAGUUGGCUGGCAAACGUAUCCCGGCAGACACACUGGUGACGCGGACUUUGCUCCUCACCUUUUCGUGUACUGGACUGCAGACCAUUACAAUAUUUCUGGGUGCUAUGACCUGGAAUGCCCCGGCUUUGUCCAGGUCGAAAAUUCGUGGGUGAUCGGAGGCGCCAUGCCGAGCUACACAACGCUUGAACAAUUAAAUAAUGGGGAGAUUGCCGAGGUUGACAUUCAAGUGCUCUACGACUCCACUGAUCUUGUCUGGUGGUUAUUUCUCAACGGCGUGGCGAUUGGGUACUGGCCAGCGGCGCUAUACCCCAGCACUUAUUUGCACGGGACUGCAAAUUUUUUAGAGUGGGGAGGCGAGGUCGCCAUCGAAAAGAACAACACUGCUCACUCGAGGACUGUGAUGGGCAGUGGUGCAGUUCCCACCGCGGGCUUCCCUUUAUCAGCUUACCAGAGAAACAUCACGUACGCGGAUGUGGUGUCUGGAGUUACAAACAUGGAUGCAAAUGUUAAGUAUCUGACGGAAGGUCAAAUCCGGACGGAUCCCAGCUGCUAUGAUAUAGCAGUUCAAUUGAAUAACUACGCGAAUUGGGGUACAUAUUUCUUCUUCGGAGGGCCUGGAGGAAACAACGUUUUUUGUAAGGGCACGCCAUAGUUCUGCUGAAAGCAUGAAUUGGAUAAAAAACACCAGCGGUUGAUUGCGGUGGAUUCAACAAUGUGUUUAUAGAUAGUGGCAAUCUGUAUUACGUUAGAACCUAAGUAUAGGAAGGAUUGGAACAAUCUGUGGUUGAAUGCGCAUGGCAAACCACAGAUUCAUACUCAUUAGAGCAAAAUCAACACCUCAAUGUAUUCCUGCGAAGAUGAAGCCAGUAGAUGACCCCCCCCCCACACACACACACACACACGAGUAGCUGUGCUACAAAAUGUUUCCUCGCAAUUUUAUGUUUAUUGGAGACCUCUAAGUCGACAUGUCAACUUUCUUCAUUCUCUAGCCCUCCUGUAAUGUUUUGAAGAAAAGCAACUAGACCAGCCGCGGUCCUGCCAGUGUUGGAACCCCGUCUAGCCUCCCUUUGGUCUCGUUCAAGGCGGGCGCGAGGCUCUUAUAACCCGCAACGACAGCGAGAUUUCCAACGCGCGGAAUUCAAUAACUGUUUUGCAUCUAGAAUCCUAGAGUUGCACGACAUAACUUCUUGUCUCGAAAUAUGGUCUUGUCUAAACUGAAUCACUUCUCGAUCUGUUCUUUUGGUCACGUUUACCUGAUUGUUGUUUUGAAAUAGGUGAAUGAAGUAUCCAUGAGUGUUCGAUUUCUGUGUAAAUUCAAAUAGAUACUUCAACUGCGCCUUCUCAGUGUGUGUUUCUGUAUUAAAAAGUAAUUCUUUUUCUAAAUGGUUGGGCCCUGAGCCAUCACGAUAAUGUCUGUGAUGUUGGAAUUGCGAGUAUUAAGUGGUCUUGCUCCAUUGUGGUCCUGCCUAGUUGGUUGAAAGUGAUAUGAUCAAUUGCCAACAUCAAAUUUUCUUUCUCUAAAUAAAUCGUUCUCUGUUGUAUAACUUUGAUAAUCACAUAAUCUUGAAAUCAACACCCAUGUCACACAUUUUAGCACAAGAGUUGUGGAAGGAGUGUAAGGUCUGUCAAUUGACAUAGUAAUAAAUGCAAUGAAUACUUUGGAAGAGAACACCAACACACACUACAAUCGUUGCAAUUCAAUCAAAAGCCUCUCACCAUUUAAUUUAAUAGAGAAGUUUUGAGAGGCAAGUACUUAAACUUGUAGAUAUCUAAGAUAGACUCUUUAUUUCAAUGAUACCCAAAAAUCUUGUAAUAGAAUCAUAUCUAUUUUAUUUUUUUUAUUUUUUUUUAUUUUUUUUCUUAUAAUGAAAGCACUGAAAACAAAAGGAACACAGUAGCAACAUCUAGUCUCUUUUUUGAAAAUACAUUAUUUUUUUACCUAAACUUUUCUUUGAGAAGGCAAUAAGAAUUUUAUUAAUUUCAAAAUGACUUGAAUAGUACUUAAGAACUUCUAAAAGAAAUUAGUACUCAACUCGUUUUAACAAAACUCAGUCCCUUACAAGUUUUUCCACAAAAGAAGUACAAAUGACUCCACUUCACAACUAUGAUUUUAAUACAAGUAGAAAAAUUUUAUCUCCAAGUAGUCAUUUAAUCAAUUAAAGAAGAGAGAAAACACACAUCUUUUAAAAAAAUAUGAAAUCAAAAAGAAUAAGUUAGCAUCUUAAAAGACAAAAUAAGAUAAUUUUUAUUAAAUUAAAGUUUGAUGAAUUUUGUUUUAUAAAAUAUCUAUAAACACAUCACAUAAUAUGACAAAUAUAUUACUUUUGAACUUAUUUUAAUUACUAAAAAAUAUUUUUUGGAUAUAUAUUCUUUUUUGUAAAUAUAAAAUUAAACUUUUUAUUAUAUAAUACUAAUGAUUUAAUAAUCCUUCUAGGAUAUCUCAAUUUCAAAACUAUAUUAAGUAUAUAUAACCAUUAUAUAAUACCAUUUCAUUAGAAGAUUAUAAACAAAGUAUAAUAAAUGCAAUCAAUUUGUUUUUUAUAAUUUGUAGUAGAUAGUGGACGACUACAUACUUGAAUUUGUACCAAGUUGCAACCAUGUAGAAGAUAGCUAAAAAUAGAAAUAUAUGCAUAAUAUUGAGUCUUGCUAUCAAAGAUUUGAUUUUCUUUGUUGAUUCUUUGAUUGAUAAUAGGACCUUUGGAUUAUUUUAAAGAACACGUCUAUUGACAAAAUGGAAAUUCCAAAUAUCUACAUGCAAAAUCAAAUACAAGAUAUAAAUAUGCUAAAAAAUGAAUGAUACUUUGCAUAUAUUAAUUAUAUUAGAUAGGUAAUAGAAGGUAAUUAGAACAUAAAAAAAGAUAAAAAUAAAAUUAUUUAAAUGCAACAAAGCUAAAUUUAUAAUAUAAUCAAUAAAUUGAAAAUGAAUAGAUGGGCAACUUGAUUUACUAAAUAAUUUAUUAUCUUUUCUUUUAGUCAAUUUUACAAUAGAUAAUAAAAACCAAAAAAUAAAUAAUGAUAAGAAUGGAUAUAUUUUAUACCACAUUACAAACACUUUAUCAAUUUCAUAUUAUAAAAUAUUGCAUAGUAAAAGACUAGUAGAAAAGAACCAAAUAAAAAAAGAGACGACCAAAUUAGAGAGAAAGAGAGAUUUUUAAGCUAGCAAUGGAAAGAAGUGGCUUCCAACCAUCCAUCCAAGAGCACCGUUAUAAUUUUAGUUUAUAAUUGAUCUAUUCUACAUGGUUAAAAUAGGGCAUCUUAAAAACCAAAAAUUACAAUAAGUAUAAUUUUUAACUUAUUUUAAUUAUCAAAUAUAAUUUUAAAAUUUUAAAAAAAUCCUUCUUCUUUACAUCUAAUAUUUUAAAAAAUAAAGCCUUAAUUCUAGCUAUCAAUCCAAAAAAUCAUUGCUAAUUCUUUAUUUUUCUUAAACUGAUGUUUCUUGACUUAUUAGAAUGAUUAUAUAUAUGGCUUUAGUACUACAAAUAUUUGAAGUAAUCUAAUGAGUAAACAAUAAAAGCUAUUCUUCCAAAGUCAAGUAAUCCAAACUACUUAGGCAAUAGAUUGUUCUUCAAUUGAAUUCUUGACAAAAAAAUUAUUUUGAUUCCAAAUUUAAUAAUUCAUCAUCAAUUAUAAAGUUGUUUUUAAGAAGAUUCUACUUGAGAAUAUUUACCUUAAAAACCAAAAUGUCAAAAUAUUAAUAAAAGAGAUAUGUGGCCUUCCAACAAUGAAUUUUAAUCCAUACUCUUGCUCAAUUGAGUGUUAACAUUAGACCUAUAGCAUGGCCAUUGACAUCAAAAGUUUCAUCUUUCAUAAUCUAUUUGCAUCAAUUAAUUCUAGAAGCAUGUAAUAUAUUGUGAAAUCAAAUAGACCACCAUAAAAUCUAUUAAAUAUUCUUUAUUGUAAAUCCUUGUUUUCAUAUUAUUGUGAUAUUUUAGCCUUAUUUAAUAAAGAAAUCUUGAAAAUCUCCUAAGCCAAUAUAACUCCCUUAUAUAUGUCAUUAAAUUCUUUAAGCUUACAUUUAGAUAUAAAAAAUCUUUUUUUAGUACCUAAAUGAUUAUAUUCAAGACUAAAAAAUAAUAAAAAUAUGAUAAUAUUAAAAAAAAAAAGUUAGCAUAUUUAACUAAUAAACCUAUUUAAGUACUUACAAUUAUUUUUAGUAUAUAUUUUAUGAUAGAAUGCAUGGCAUUGAUAAAUAAAUAAAUAAAGCAUCUAUUUUAAAUACUAAAAAACUUAUGAAGUUGAAGAAAUUAAAAAUAGAAUAAUUUAUUUUUGCUCUUAUAAUUGUCAAGCUUUGUAACUUAUGCUACAUUUAUAACAUGAUUGUACUCAUGUCCAACCCACAUAAUCUUUUAUGUACUUGGUCUUUUAUGUACUUGGUGCUUAUAAUUGAAGAGAACAAUGUAAAUGAUUAAGAUUAGAGUAGAGAGUAUAUGGCAAUAUAGAAGUUUGAUACAAUACAAGUUUAAAGAAAUAUAAUAAAGAUGACAUGGAUUAAUAUAUUGACAAAAAUAUAAAAAAUGGCAACCAAAGAGUUAAAGUGGAAAAACUCUACUAUAGUCAAAUUCAAACAAGUUUUUUAAUAAAAAAACUAAAAAUUAGAAGAGAAGUUAAAAAAUAAAAACCUUAAGAUAUAGAGACAAUUAAGAAAUAAAAGAAUUCUCAAAUAAAAAUGUGAUAUUUAAAAAUAAAAUAAAUAUAAAAAUAAAUUUCUAAAAAAUCUUUGUAUUAAAAAAUUAUGAGUAAAAAUUAUAUAAUUAUAAUUUCAAAAAUUAAAUCAAGUUUUAUUUAAAUAUAUAUUAUACUUUCUAUAAUUUUAUGAAUCAAACUAAUGUAGGUAAAUAUAGUUAUUUUAAAAAUAAUAUUAACUUAAAAAACUUGAAUAUAAGUAAAUUUUCUUAUAUUCAUAAUAAAAUUAAAAUAAAAAAUUCAUGAUAUGCUUAGAGAAAAAAAUACAAACUAUCAUAAUGUCAUAAUAUCUUGUAUAAAACUAAAUUUAGUUAAAAUAGUAUAUUAAAUAUUUAAAAAAUCAAAAUCUCCUAUUCAUAUUAUAAUAUAUAUUUGUGUAAUUUAUUUAGCUUACUUUGUGAAUUAUGUUUUUUGUAAAUUGUGGAUCAUGUAUAAAAUUAUUUUUGGAUUUUUGUCAUUGCCACUUAAAUAGUAUACUAUGAAUAGUAUGUAAAUAAAAAAAGAAGAAGAUUUUAUUUAAUAAUUCAAGGAUCACAUAAGAAAAAAAAAAAGGUAUUAGACAUUGUAAAUUAUAAGUAAAGUAUUACUAAAUAGAACUUAUUUUAAAAUAUUUGAAAAUUCUUAUUUUAAAUCCAAUUUUCAUGGCACCAAUACUUAAUAUUUUCUAUCAAAAAAUUUGCUAUUGAUAAUUCAUGCACAUAAAAUAAACUUUUAUUAUUAUUUAAAUAAAACCUAAAAUUUAGUGUUUUAUAUAAAUAUAAAUGAUUUUAUAUUAUGUACUAUAUAUAUAUAUAUAUAUAUAUAUAUAUAUAUACAUACUAGCAAAAAUUCAUGUUGUUGGAUACAGAAAUCUGUAUUCUCUUGUUUCUAUAUUCCCAUAUGUCCCUCAUUCUUAUGUUUCUUUAUUCUCAUGUUUGGCUAAUGAAAAGGCUUCUUUGUCUCUUUGUGUUACAUCCAAGCUAUUUUAUUAUAUAUAUACAUUUUAAAUAAUAUUUUUUAAAUUUAAAUAUUUAAUUACUUAUAAAAAAUAAAAUAUAUUUUAUAUAAUAGUAUUUAUAACUUUUAGCAUACAAUAUGAUUCUAUAUUAGAAAGAAUCAAAUAAGCAAAAAAAUACAAAGUAAAGAAAUAAAAGAAUUAAAGUUAAGAACAAUAUAUUAUUGCUUGAUUUAAAAAUAGAUUGAUUGUAAUCACUAUUGUAUUUAUCUUGAAGUAUUACAUACAAAAAACUAAGGUAAAAUAUUUUUUUUCUCAAUAAUUUGAUUUAAGUUGUUAUGUUAAUAUUACUUUCUUUAAUUGAUUUAUAAAUAUAUAUUUUUUAAAAUAAUAAAUAAAAAAUAGCAUCUAACAAGAGAAAUAAAAAAAAAUUAUAGCACAAAAUAUAAAAGAAUAAAGAAAAGUAUAGUAAGAAAAUAUAAACAUCUACGAUCAAUAUUGCAUUUAUAGAAAUGACUCUUGUAUGAUUUUAUUUGUGAAACAUGCAAUGACAUCUACAUAUUAAGAUUGCUCAAGGAAACAAGUGGUCGCUUUCAUUCAUUAUAUAGAUGGAUCUUUGUUUUCAUCAAAAAAAUUCACCUUUCCUAGAGUUCAUAGGUCAUUUUAUAAUUCAUCAAUCUUUAUUUUCAUCAAAAAACUUAACAUUGUUUAGAGUCCAUUAGGUAUUUUACUAUUGAUCACAUGGCAUUUUACAUUAAAGUAGUAGGAAGUGCAUGCAUCAAGGAAUUUUGUAUAUAUCUACAUAAAUGGACUCUCUUUUGGUUUCAAUGAAGGUGAUAUUCUCACAACCUUUUGAUGGAUUGAGUAUGAGAGAGGAAAAAAAAAAAAAAAAAACAAAGAGAAUACUACUACUGACAGGCUGCGGCAUUGGGAGAAAGACAAUACUAUAGAAUAUCAGAUCUCCUACAUACAUUUAAGAUGCAAUAUCAAGAUUGCAUAGAAAAAUUGAGUUGGAUUAAAAAUCUCUAAAAACAUGGCCAUUUAUCUUAAAUUCUUUUACUUGCUCAAUAUAAAAGAUACCAAAGACUUCUAUAUUUCAAAUUUCUAUGUUAACAACUAAUUUGUAAGUUUUGAAUCUAUGAGGUAUUUUAAGAUUGAUCACAUGAGGUUCAUAAGGUAUUUUAAAUUGGAGUAGUAGAAAGGAUAUGCAUCUUGGUGAGUUGGUGCUCUUUCAGGUGUUUAGCCUUAAUUCAAAGGGCCAAGUCUUUCUUUAAUGUUAGAUCCUAAAUCUCUCUUCUCCAUCUCUCUCUCUUAUACUUUGGAUAUUUGAGGUCUUAGAGUCCUUCAAAUUUUUAUUCAAUGUUGAUGAUCAUGUUUCUAUACACAAUUUAAUUUUGUUGCAAUUAUAUCAGUUGGAGCAUUAUUUGUUGGGAUUUUGGUUGAAGGCGUAGUUGGUGUAAAAUUUAGAAAUUAAGGUAUUGAUAUUAUUAGUCUUGUUGUGAAAUGUUACCAUUGGAUAUGUCACGGCCAUAAUCAUGUAAGCUAAUAAUUACAUAUAGAAAUAGGUAGAAGUAAGUAAAAGUAGAUAAAAGUAAGUUAAUUCUAUAAUAUUUAAUAUAAAAGCUUCUAGAAACUUCCUAGACGCUGCUUUGACUUCAUAGGUGUCUUUAAUUGACUUUUUGGAUUAGAAACGUGGUCAACAAGUUGGCCAUGUGCCACACAUGUUGUUAGCUUGAAGAUCAAGCUAACUAUGUGGCCCACACGUAGAAAAACUUGCCUUGUAAGUCAAGGCAUGUGUCCUACAAAGUCAACACAUAUUGGAGGUCCUAUAGAACGUCGCCACGUAGCCCCUAGUUAGAUAGUAUAUAUAGAGACAAGAGUGAAGGCUUCUUCACUCUUGUCAACUCCUUUCUUGCUUCUAGUCUAGGUUCAAGAGUCUUUAGUUUCUUGUCUUGUGGCAAUAGCCAUUCCAGUUUCCUUUUAAUAUACCUACUUGUUUAUAUUUUGACUUAUUAUAUCGAGAUAGCCUUUUGGUGUAUAUUUUCUCUCAUCGAGUCUUUGUCCUUGACAGAUUGACAAGAAUACACUUACAAUAUCAGAGCUUUGUUUUUUCUUGAGUAAGAGUGGAUUACUCCUUUCUCUUGACAAGACAUAAGCGUAUUAGAAGUUUGCGGAUUACCCACUUCUAAACUGAUAUUGUUCUUAGUAUCUUCUUUAUUAUCAAGUCUUUCUUUUCUUUUGUCUUGAGUAAUAUCAAACAAAUUUUUCUUCUUAGUGUCAUUAUGGCAGAGCUUGUUGAAUUGAAGAGUGCAAUGGCACAAAUGCAAGAGCAAAUGAGGGAGUUAAUGCUUGCGAUGCAUCAACUCAAUUCACCAACACAAGAAAGAACAAGAAUAGCAGAAAGUGGAGAUAUAGAGAUGAUCGGAGCUGCUUCAACAUCUACAACAAAUCACGUUCCUUCUCCAAUUGUACAACACCCUAUAAGUACUAGAGAACCAAGAAUUGCCUUACCUGAGAAAUUUGAUGGUACGAGAUCAAAGUUUCGAGGGUUCAUCAAUCAAGUAUAAUUGGCAAUUGAACUUCAACCGCAAAGCUAUCCAACUCCAGGAUCACAAGUCAGGUAUAUUGGCACUCUACUUUCUGGUUCUGCAUUAUCGUGGUUUUCGUCUUUUCUUGAACAACGAAAUCCAAUAUUGGACAAUUUGGAAGCUUUUUUGGCGGAGUUUCGAUCUAUGUAUGGUGAACACGAUGCAACUCGUAUUGCAACAAAUAAGAUCCAAAUUUUGCGACAAAGAAAUCGCUCAGUAACAGUAUAUGCUUCACAAUUUCGACAACUUGCAAUUGACAUCAAGUGGGAUGAUGCUGCACUCAUCAGUCAUAUUCUUUAUGGAUUGCAAUACGAAGUAAAGAAAUUGAUGCUCAACUUACCUGAUCCUCAAACUUUGAGUCAAGCAAUCGAUUUUGCGGUAAAAUGUGAUAAUCGACUUUUCGAAUUUUGAUCCGAGAAUCAUUCACAGGAACCUCAACGUUAUUACUCAAUGGCAACAUCAACAUCUUUGCCAAACGUACAUUCAGAAGUAGAAGACAUGCAAAUUGACGCGGUACGUUUUAAACCCCUAACUGAGUGUCAAGGAUAAGAACUCGAUGAAAGCUAAAGAGUAAGUGAGACUUUUCUCAAAAAAGAAAUAGGACAAAAUAGAAAUAUGUAUAUUAAGAAAGAAACUGGAAUGGCUAUUGCCAAAAUACAAGAAAACUAGAGACCCUUGAAACUAGACUAGAAGCAAGAAAGGAGUUGACAAGAGUGAAGAAGCCUUCACUCUUGUCUCUAUAUAUACUAUCUAACUAGGGGCUACGUGGCGACGUUCUAUAGGACCUCCAAUAUGUGUUGACUUUGUAGGACACAUGCCUUGACUUACAAGGCAAGUUUUCCUACGUGUGGGCCACAUAGUUAGCUUGAUCUUCAAGCUAACAACAUGUGUGGCACAUGGCCAACUUGUUGACCACGUUUCUAAUCCAAAAAGUCAAUUAAAGACACCUAUGAAGUCAAAGCAGCGUCUAGGAAGUUUCUAGGAAGCUUCUAUAUUAAAUAUUAUACAAUUAACUUACUUUUAUCUACUUUUACUUACUUCUACCUAUUUCUAUAUGUAAUUAUUAGCUUAUAUGAUUAUGGCCGUGACAUUACCCCCCAUUCUAGAGACGAGUUCCACGAGGAGCGGUCAUCAUAUAUUGAAGAAAUCUAUGAUGCGACGAAUUGUAUUCGCCACAUACUCUGAUCUCUGUUCUCUUCGAAGAUGAUUGAUAGGGCCUCUCAACCAUCGGUAGUGUCCCAUACCAGGGCGGGAAGACCACCCAGUUAUUUGAUCAUUAUUGAGGCCUUCAUAACUUCCUUCGAAUAGAAUAUUCGGAACACCAUCAGGAGUUGUUCCUACCUCUAGCAAAAUCACCAAACAUCGAGAGUCCCUUCCCAAAUCGUGAUACCAAACGCGUUGUAUCUCACCAUCUGUUCGAGGAAGAACAUGUCGUUCUUGAAGAUCUUCAUCUCGAUUGCGUCGUCUUGAAGGUUGUGACAAUCGUAAUGUCUCGUCCGGCAGGUCAGCAAACGAAGGUUCUUGAGUUGAAUCCGCUGGUUGUUGGCUCUCCAUCUAAUUAGCGUCACAAAUGUAAAGAAGUUACAAACAAGGAUAGGAAAUUGAAUGUUAUCUUGCCUCAAUCUUGUCUCUUUUAUAAGAGAGGUUUUCAUCUUGGUUUUGAUGGAUGUCGUUAAUGAAAAACUUUGACUUUAGCUGAUGCAUUUCCUAGAUUCCUGGAUGGCUCCCAUGUGCGCUCACUAAUAUCAUAUCCGCGCCAAUGAACAAGAUAUUCCAGCUUAUUUCGGCGCCGCCUUGAGUCUAAUAUCUCUUCCACCUCAAAUUCUUCAUUAUUAUCUACUUCUAUAGGAGGCGGUGGCAUUUGUCUUCUUCCUUGUAUAUCCACUGUCUUAUAUGGUUCAAGAAGAGACAUGUGGAAUACAGGAUGGAUCUUCAUUGACUCCGGUAGAUGUAACCGAUAUGCAACUGGGUUGAUCUGUUCAGAAACAGAAAAGGGGCCAAGCCUACGAUAGUCCAAUUUGUCAUAAGGUCGAGUGGUCUUGAUAUUGCGACGAAGUAGCCAUACCUUAUCACCCACGUUGAGUUGUGGUUGCUCUUUACGAUAUACAUCUGCAUUUAUCUUUUGUCGUUCUUGAGCUUUCUUCAACUGCGCCUUCAUUAUUGCAUGUAACUCUGACAACCGAUUUGCCAUGUCUUCUGCUGCAGGAUUAUCAACUUUUGAAAAAUCAAAAGUAUCAAGUCGUGGAUGAUAGCCAUAAUUGGCAAAGAAAGGUGUUUGUUGCGUGGAAGAACGUACUGUAUUAUUAUAAGCAAACUCUGCCAAUGGCAGAAGGAUUGUCCAAUCAUCUUGUUGGUAGUCGAUGGUACACCUUAAAUACUGUUCCAAGACUUGGUUUACGCGCUCUGUUUGUCCAUCAGUUUGAGGAUGGAAAGCCGAAGAUAGCUUUAUGUCUACUUUUAAAAUCUUGAAAAGGGUCCUCCAGAAUCUUGAUACAAAUUGAGUUCCCCUAUCUGAUAUGAUAUCUUUAGGUAAUCCAUGAUAGCGAUAGAUAUUAUCAAUGAAAAGCUUAGCUGUUUCUUCACCUGUGAUAGAUUUUGUACAUGGCAUAAAAUGUGCCAUCUUGGUGAAACGAUCUACUAUCACAAAUAUAGAAUCAUAAGAUCUUGAGUUUGGAAGAUCUGUGAUGAAAUCCAUAGAAACAGAAGACCAUGGUUGUUCUGGUAUAGGUAAUGGCUGAAGAAGUCCGUAAGGUCGAUGUCGAGGAAUUUUUGAUCUUGAACAAAUAUCACAUGAUUGUACAAAGUCUUUGACUAACUUCCACAUUUGUGGCCACCAAAAAUCUCUUGAUAUGAGUUCCAGAGUCUUAUUAUAUCCAAAGUGACCUGCUGCUGGAAAGUCAUGACGUGCUUGAAGAACACGCAAACGUGCUUUUCCUUCUCGAACAUAUAGGCGUCCUUCAAAAUAUAAUAGAUUAUUCUUGAACUCGAACUUAGAAGAAUCAUGAGACUUGGAAGAAUUAUUCUCGAUAUCAUAAACAAGAGGGUCUGAGGACAUACUGGACUGGAUUUGCUUGAGAAAAGUUGAAUCAACAGUCAGUGUUGAUUUCAUUGCUCGGAGAUGAAAUUGCUCCGGUUUCAAGAGGACCGUUCUUUGUUGCUCAAAAGCUGCAUCUCCUUCUUUUGGUGCAAAAUAAGAACGUCUAGACAGGGCAUCGGACAAACCUUGUUGUUUUCCUGGCCGAUAAGUGAUAAUGAACUCAAAUCUUGACAAAGACAUACUCCAACGAGCUUGACGACGAUUCAACACGCGUGCUGACAUGAAAUACUCGAGGUUCUUGUGAUCUGUAUACACAGUGACUGGACUAGAAGCACCUUCUAGAUAAUGAUGCCAUUCUUGAAAGGAAUCCACGAUUGCAAGAAGUUCUUUAUCGUGGAUCUCAUAAUUGAUCUCGGCUGCUGAGAAUUUUCUUGAAUGAAAAGCUAUCGGAUGAAGUUUGUCAUAUGUUCCCAUUUGUGAUAAAACUGCACCCAAGGCAAAAUCCGAUGCGUCUGUUUCCAUAAAAAAUGCCUUGGAAAAGUCAACACGAUAUAAGACUGGUGCAGAGACAAACGAUGUCUUCAAGGCUUCAAAUGCUGCUUCCGCUUCUUGAUUCCAUUGGAAUUUAUCUUUACUAGUCAAGCGUGUAAGUGGAGCUGCAACUCGUGAGAAGUCUUUGAUGAAGAUCCGAUAGUAAUUGGCAAAUCCCAAGAAACAUUGGACAUCUCUUACAGUCUUUGGAAUCUUCCAAUCCAUGAUUGUUUGGACUUUCUUAGAAUCCAUCAUAAGACCAUCAUUUGAAAUGAUGUAUCCUAAAAAGUCAACUUGAGUAGUGUGAAAUACACACUUUUCCAUCUUGGCGUACAAUCCUGCAUCUCUAAGUUUUUGUAAUACUUGACGAACAUGUAUUUCAUGUUCUUCAACAUUCUUAGAAUAAAUCAGGAUAUUGUCUAGGUAGCAGACGACAAAAUUGUCUAAGAAUUCACGAAAUACAUCAUUCAUGAGAUAUUGAAAAGCAGCUGGUGCAUUCGUGAGUCCAAAAGGCAUGACAUUGUAUUCAAAGUGUCCGUACCUGGUUCGAAACGCAGUCUUCCAUUCAUCUCCUUCUUUGAUCCGUACUAGAUUAUAUGCUCCUCUUAGAUCUAUUUUUGUAUAGAUCUUAGCUUGAUUUAACUGGUCAAGGAGUCCUGAUAUCAAAGGUAAUGGAUACCUGUUCUUAAUUGUGAUCUUGUUGAGUCCUCGAUAGUCAACACACAUUCGUAAAGAUCCAUCUUUUUUCUUUACGAAUAAAAUUGGAGCUCCUGCUGGAGAUUUUGAAUGGCGUAUGAAAUUCUUCGCUAAAUUCUCGUCAAUAUAUGUCUUGAGUUCAGCCAACUCAUCUUGCGAUAAACUGUAAAUUGGUCCAAAUGGUGGCUGAGUUCCUUCCUUGAGAUCGAUUGAACAAUCGUAUGGGCGAUGCUCAGGAAGAAUAUCUGCAUUCUUUUUCUCAAAAACGUCUUGAUAAUCUUGAUAUUGACUUGGAAUGCCACUUGAAGUCUUUACGCUUUCAGAAAUAGGUGCAGCAUAAAUAGCAAAAGUUGAUCCUUCUUUUGCUGCGUGUAUAAAUGCUUUUGCACCUAUAAGUGCGGGUUUUACUAUACUAGACUCAUGGUUUUUUACUUGAUUAAUAGAACUGUUACUAAUGCUCCGAGGAAAAUCAAGUUUACGAGAAAUCCAAUCUAUUCGAGGAUUAUACUUUUCUAACCAUGAUAAGCCUAAAAUUAUUGGAUUAGAGGGAGAUCUAAUUAUAUUAAAAAUUAUGCAACUACUAUGACCAUUUAUUACUACAUCUACAGGAAGUGUUUCGUGAGUUACAUCUCCAGAAGACAACGGACGACCAUCUAUGACUUCUACGUGUACAGGUUUAGUUUUUUGUAUUAAUGAUAUUCUAUGACAUCUAGCAAAUUCUUCAUCUAAAAAACAAGCUGAGGCUCCUGAAUUUAUCAAGGCAGAGGCUUUGUAAUUAUUAGGUCCUAAACGCACAUCUAUUAUAAAACAAGGAGAUGGUUCUGAGGAGAGGAUAGGACCUUCAUUAGAAGUUGUACAAGAUUCCAGCCGCACGGUCCCUAUUGUAGCUGGACGUACUCGUUUUCCGACAUACUGUCUUCUUUGACAGCCGUACUCCUUAUUUUGUAGUUACGUCGCUUCUUUGGACAAUGUUGAGCAGUGUGCUUAGGUUCUCCACAAUAUAAGCACAAUCCUUCUUGUCGACGACGAGACUUUUCUUGCUCAGUAAGAGGUUUGAAACGUACCGCAUCAAUUUGCAUAUCCUCUACUUCUGAAGGUAUGUGUUGAGGAGACGUCGGUGUUGCCAUUGAAUUGUAGUAACGUUGAGGCCCACUUGUGCGACUCUCGGAUCGAAAUUCAAAAAGUCGAUUGUCGCACUUCACAGCAAAGUCAAUUGCUUGACUCAAUGUUUGAGGAUCAGGUAAAUUAAGCAUCAAUUUCUUUACCUCAUAUUGUAAUCCGUAGAGAAAUUGACUCACAAGUGCGGCAUCAUCCCACUUGAUAUCAGUUGCAAGUUGUCGAAAUUGCGAAGCAUAUAAUAUUACUGAUCGAUUGCCUUGUUGCAAAAUACGGAUCUUCUUGAUUGCAACACGAAUUGCAUCAUGUUCUCCAAACAUGGAUCGAAACUCCGCCAAAAAAGCCUCCAGAUUAUCCAAUAUUGGAUCUCGUCGUUCAAGAAAAGAUGAAAACCAUGACAAUGCUGAACCUGAAAGAAGUGUACCAAUGAAUCUAACUUGUGACCCUGGAGUUGGAUAGCUCUGGGGUUGAAGUUCAAUCACUAGUUGGACCUGAUUGAUGAAUCCUCGAAACUUGGAUCUGGUACCAUCAAACUUCUCGGGCAAGGCAACUCUCGGUUCUCUAACACUCGAAGGGUGUUCCAUUCUGGGAGAAGGGACAUGGUUUGGUGCAGAUGUUGAAGCAGCCCCAAUCAUCUCUAUAUCUUCACUUCCUACCAUUCUUGUUGCUCCUUGUGGUGGUAAAUUGAGUUGAUGCAUCGCAAGCAUUAACUCCCUCAAUUGUUCUUGCAUCUGUGCCAUUGUACUCUUCAUUUCAACAAGCUCUGCCAUAGUAGCACUUAGAAAAGAGAAGAUGUCUAAUAACGCUCAAAACAAAUAGAAGAGAGGAAUUGAUAACAAAGAAAAAUACUAAGAACAAUAUCAGUUUAAAAGAGGGUAAUCCGCAACUUCUAAUGCGCUUAUGUCUUAUCAAGAAAAAGGGGUAAUCCACUCUUAAUCAAGAAAAGACAAAGCUCUGAUAUUGUAAGUGUACUCUUGUCAAUCUGUCAAGGACAAGAACUCGAUGAAAGCUAAAGAGUAAGUGAGACUUUUCUCAAAAAAGAAAUAGGACAAAAUAGAAAUAUAUAUAUUAAGAAAGAAACUGGAAUGGCUAUUGCCAAAAUACAAGAAAACUAGAGACCCUUGAAACUAGACUAGAAGCAAGAAAGGAGUUGACAAGAGUGAAGAAGCCUUCACUCUUGUCUCUAUAUAUACUAUCUAACUAGGGGCUACGUGGCGACGUUCUAUAGGACCUCCAAUAUGUGUUGACUUUGUAGGACACAUGCCUUGACUUACAAGGCAAGUUUUCCUACGUGUGGGCUACAUAGUUAGCUUGAUCUUCAAGCUAACAACAUGUGUGGCACAUGGCCAACUUGUUGACCACGUUUCUAAUCCAAAAAGUCAAUUAAAGACACCUAUGAAGUCAAAGCAGCGUCUAGGAAGUUUCUAGGAAGCUUCUAUAUUAAAUAUUAUACAAUUAACUUACUUUUAUCUACUUUUACUUACUUCUACCUAUUUCUAUAUGUAAUUAUUAGCUUAUAUGAUUAUGGCCGUGACACUGAGCAAGAAAAGAUUCGUCGUCGUCAAGAAGGAUUAUGUUUAUAUUGCGGAAAACCUAAGCACACUGCUCAACAUUAUCCAAAGAAACGACGCAACUAUAAAAUGAGGGGUACGACGGUCAAAGAAGACAACAUGUCGGAAAACGGAUUCGUCUAGCUACAAUAGGGACCGUGCAGUUGGAACCUUGUACAAUUCCUAAUGAAGGUCCUAUCCUCUCCUCAGAACCCUCUCCUUGUUUUAUAAUAGACUUAUAUUUAGGACCUAAGAAUUACAAAGCCUCUGCUUUAUUAGAUUCGGGAGCCUCAGCAUGUUUUUUAGAUGAACAAUUUGUUAAAAGUCGUAAAAUACCCUUUGUACAGAAACCUAAACUAGUACAUGUAGAAGUCAUAGAUGGUCGUCCCUUGUCUUCUGGAGAUGUCACUCAUGAAACUCAUCCUAUAAAAGUAACAAUAGACGGUCAUGAUAGCUACAUAGCUUUUAACAUAAUUAAAUCCCCCUCCAAUCCAGUUAUUUUAGGUUUAUCCUGGCUAGAAAAAUAUAACCCUCGAAUAGAUUGGAAUUCGCAUAAACUUGACUUUUUCCAAAGCAUUAUUAAUAGUUCUACCAACCAAGUAAAAAAUUAUAAGUCUAGUAUAGUAAAACCCGUACUGAUAGGUGCAAAAGCAUUUAUACACGCAGCACAAGAAGGAUCAACUUUUGCUAUUUAUGCUGCACCUAUUUCUGAAAACGUAAAGACUUCAAUUGGCAUUCCAAGUCAAUAUCAAGAUUAUCAAGACGUUUUUGAGAAAAAGAAUGCAGAUAUUCUUCCUGAGCAUCGCCCAUAUGAUUGUUCAAUCGACCUCAAGGAAGGAACUCAGCCACCAUUUGGACCAAUUUACAGUUUAUCACAAGAUGAGAUGGCUGAACUCAAGACAUAUAUUGACGAGAAUUUAGCGAAGAAUUUCAUACGCCAUUCAAAAUCUCCAGCAGGAGCUCCAAUUCUAUUCGUAAAGAAAAAAGAUGGAUCUUUACGAAUGUGUGUUGAUUAUCAAGGACUCAACAAGAUCACAAUCAAGAACAGGUAUCCAUUACCUUUGAUAUCAGGACUCCUUGACCAGUUGAAUCAAGCUAAGAUCUAUACAAAAAUAGAUCUAAGAAGAGCAUAUAAUCUAGUACGGAUCAAAGGAGGAGAUGAAUGGAAGACUGCAUUUCGAACCAGGUACGGACACUUUGAAUACAAUGUCAUGCCUUUUGGACUCACGAAUGCACCAGCUGCUUUUCAACAUCUCAUGAAUGAUGUAUAUCGUGAAUUCUUAGACAAUUUUUUCGUCUGCUAUCUAGACGAUAUCCUGAUCUAUUCUAAGAACGUCGAAGAACAUGAAAUACAUGUUCGUCAAGUAUUACAAAAACUUAGAGAUGCAGGAUUGUACGCCAAGAUGGAAAAGUGUAUAUUUCACACUACUCAAGUUGACUUUUUAGGAUACAUCAUUUCAAAUGAUGGUCUCAUGAUGGAUUCUAAGAAAGUCCAAAAAAUCAUGGAUUGGAAGAUUCCAAGGACAGUAAGAGAUGUCCAAUGUUUCUUGGGAUUUGCCAAUUACUAUCGGAUCUUCAUCAAAGAUUUCUCACGAGUUGCAGCUCCACUUACACGCUUGACUAGUAAAGAUAAAUUCCAAUGGAAUCAAGAAGCGGAAGCAGCAUUUGAAGCCUUGAAGACAUCGUUUGUCUCUGCACCAGUCUUAUAUCGUGUUGAUUUUUCCAAGGCAUUUUUUAUGGAAACAGAUGCAUCAGAUUUUGCCUUGGGUGCAGUUUUAUCACAAAUAGGAACAUAUGACAAACUUCAUCCGAUAGCUUUUCAUUCAAGAAAAUUCUCAGCAGCCGAGAUCAAUUAUGAGAUCCACGAUAAAGAACUUCUUGCAAUCGUGGAUUCCUUUCAAGAAUGGCAUCAUUAUCUAGAAGGUGCUUCUAGUCCAGUCACUGUGUAUACAGAUCACAAGAACCUCGAGUAUUUCAUGUCAGCACGUGUGUUGAAUCGUCGUCAAGCUCAUUGGAGUAUGUCUUUGUCAAGAUUUGAGUUCAUUAUCACUUAUCGGCCAGGAAAACAACAAGGUUUGUCCGAUGCCCUGUCUAGACGUUCUUAUUUUGCACCAAAAGAAGGAGAUGCAGCUUUUGAGCAACAAAGAACGGUCCUCUUGAAACCGGAGCAAUUUCAUCUCCGAGCAAUAAAAUCAACAUUGACUGUUGAUUCAACUUUUCUCAAGCAAAUCCAGUCCAAUAUGUCCUCAGACCCUCUUGUUUAUGAUAUCGAGAAUAAUUCUUCCAAGUCUCAUGAUCCUUCUAAGUUCGAGUUCAAGAAUAAUCUAUUAUAUUUUGAAGGACGCCUAUAUGUUCCAGAAGGAGAAGCACGUUUGCGUGUUCUUCAAGCAUGUCAUGACUUUCCAGCAGUAGGGCACUUUGGAUAUAAUAAGACUUUGGAAUUCAUAUCAAGAGAUUUUUGGUGGCCACAAAUGUGAAAGUCAGUCAAAGUCUUUGUACAAUCAUGUGAUAUUUGUUCAAGAUCAAAAAUUCCUCGUCAUCGACCUUACGGACUUCUUCAGCCAUUACCUAUACCAGAACAACCAUGGUCUUCUGUUUCUAUGGAUUUCAUCACAGAUCUUCCAAGCUCAAGAUCUUAUGAUUCUAUAUUUGUGAUAGUAGAUCGUUUCACCAAGAUGGCACAUUUUGUGCCAUGUACAAAAUCUAUCACAGGUGAAGAAACAGCUAAGCUUUUCAUUGAUAAUAUCUAUCGCUAUCAUGGAUUACCUAAAGAUAUCAUAUCAGAUAGGGGAACUCAAUUUGUAUCAAGAUUCUGGAGGACCCUUUUCAAGAUUUUAAAAGUAGACAUAAAGCUAUCUUCGGCUUUCCAUCCUCAAACUGAUGGACAAACAGAGCGCGUAAACCAAGUCUUGGAGCAAUAUUUAAGGUGUACUAUCAACUACCAACAAGAUGAUUGGACAAUCCUUCUGCCAUUGGCAGAGUUUGCUUAUAAUAAUACGGUACAUUCUUCCACGCAACAAACACCUUUCUUUGCCAAUUAUGGCUAUCAUCCAUGACUUGAUACUUUUGAUUUUUCAAAAGUUGAUAAUCCUGCAGCAGAAGAUAUGGCAAAUCGGUUGUCAGAGUUACAUGCAAUAAUGAAGACGCAAUUGAAGGAAGCUCAAGAACGACAAAAGAUAAACGCAGAUCUAUAUCGUAAGGAGCAACCACAAAUCAACAUGGGUGAUAAGGUAUGGCUACUUCGUCGCAAUAUCAAGACUACUCGACCUUGUGACAAGUUGGACUAUCGUAGGCUUGGCCCCUUUUCUGUUUCUGAACAGAUCAACCCAAUUGCAUAUCGGUUACAUCUAUCGGAGUCAAUGAAGAUCCAUCCUGUAUUCCAUGUGUCUCUUCUUGAACCAUAUAAGACAGUGGAUAUACAAGGAAGAAGACAAAUGCCACCGCCUCCUAUAGAAGUAGAUAAUAAUGAAGAAUUUGAGGUGGAAGAGAUAUUAGACUCAAGGCGGCGCCGAAAUAAGCUGGAAUAUCUUGUUCAUUGGCACGGAUAUGAUAUUAGUGAACGCACAUGGGAGCCAUCCAGGAAUCUAGGAAAUGCAUCAGCUAAAGUCAAAUUUUUUCAUCAACGACAUCCAUCAAAACCAAGAUGAAAAUCUCUCUUAUAAAAGAGACAAGAUUGAGGCAAGAUAACAUUCAAUUUCCUAUCCUUGUUUGUAACUUCUUUGCAUUUGUGACGCUAAUUAGAUGGAGAGCCAACAACCAGCGGAUUCAACUCAAGAACCUUCGUUUGCUGACCUGCCGGAUGAGACAUUUCGAUUAUCACAACCUUCAAGACGACGCAAUCGAGAUGAAGAUCUUCAAGAACGACAUGUUCUUCCUCGAACAGAUGGUGAGAUACAACGCGUUUGGUAUCACGUUUUGGGAAGGGACUCUCGAUGUUUGGUGAUUUUGCUAGAGGUAGGAACAACUCCUGAUGGUGUUCCGAAUAUUCUAUUCGAAGGAAGUUAUGAAGGCCUCAACAAUGAUCAAAUAACUGGGUGGUCUUCCCGCCCUGGUAUGGGACACUACCGAUGGUUGAGAGGCCCUAUCAAUCAUCUUCGAAGAGAACAGAGAUCAGAGUAUGUGGCGAAUACAAUUCGUCGCAUCAUAGAUUUCUUCAAUAUAUGAUGACCGCUCCUCGUGGAACUCGUCUCUAGAAUGGGGGGUAAUGUCACGGCCAUAAUCAUAUAAGCUAAUAAUUACAUAUAGAAAUAGGUAGAAGUAAGUAAAAGUAGAUAAAAGUAAGUUAAUUGUAUAAUAUUUAAUAUAGAAGCUUCCUAGAAACUUCCUAGACGCUGCUUUGACUUCAUAGGUGUCUUUAAUUGACUUUUUGGAUUAGAAACGUGGUCAACAAGUUGGCCAUGUGCCACACAUGUUGUUAGCUUGAAGAUCAAGCUAACUAUGUGGCCCACACGUAGAAAAACUUGCCUUGUAAGUCAAGGCAUGUGUCCUACAAAGUCAACACAUAUUGGAGGUCCUAUAGAACGUCGCCACGUAGCCCCUAGUUAGAUAGUAUAUAUAAAGACAAGAGUGAAGGCUUCUUCACUCUUGUCAACUCCUUUCUUGCUUCUAGUCUAGGUUCAAGAGUCUUUAGUUUCUUGUCUUGUGGCAAUAGCCAUUCCAGUUUCCUUUUAAUAUACCUACUUGUUUAUAUUUUGACUUAUUAUAUCGAGAUAGCCUUUUGGUGUAUAUUUUCCGUCAUCGAGUCUUUGUCCUUGACAGGAUAUUACAUUUUGGAGAGAAAGAAUUUUAAAAUUGUAAAUUAUCAAUUCAUGAAUGAAAUCUCAGAGUUAAGGCAAGCAUACGAUGAUAAUCGAGAGUUGUGGCAUAGUAUGACUAUUACAAAAGAGAUUAACUGAACAUGAUCAAUAGAAUAUGUUAUGCUAGAGUUUAACUAAACGUGGAAAAAUUUAGCAAUGCAUUAUUUGUUGCAUGCAUGCAAUCCAAUUGAAGGUGAAGUUUGGUCCUUGAUGGAGAAGAAGACAUGACUGUAUUUUUUUUUGUGUUUUCUUGAAGUUGCAUUGUGUACUUAUAACAUCUACCAAAAGUUUUUAUUAUUUAUACUAUGGAUAUGUGUGUAUUGUGUUUGAGCUUCUGUCAAAGAAUUUGUGAGUGAAAGUACAAAAGGAAGGUAAGUUAUAAUUUAUAUUAAAAGAAAAAAUUGACAAAAUUCAAAGAUUUCAAAAACCAUGCUUUCCAUUCUUUUUAAAUUAUGUUACUAAGCUUUGCAUUGCAAAGUUAGAAUAUUUUUAGAUAUUUCAGAAUUUUCAAAAAUUUAUAUGUAUUUCAUUGCAUUACAUUUUAGAACUUUUAUUGUGCUUUACAUUAUAGAGUAUUAUACAAAAAAUUACAUAAGAAAAUUUUAUGUAAUUUUUGAAAUAUGUAAUCAUCAUUAUGUAAAACAACACUCAAAAUAGCAGUAUGUGCCUUGUUGUCAAGCAAUGAUUGUUCCAAAUAGAAAGGAUUAGCUUUUUUAAUUGAAACUUCUUGAGUGGAGUAUGAUUACAAGGAAAUUAAUUUUUAAAAGAAAAUUGAACAAGAUCUACUAAGACAAAGGAAUUUGUGUUGAAAGACCAUAUUUAAUUUAAUUUUGGUAGUGUUGGCUUCUAGAAAAUAAUUACAAUUCUAUCUGAAGAUGUCAAUAUUUUCUUUUUAAAAUUAGUUACAGCUUUGUUCUAAAGGAUAUAUGAUAGAUGAAGAAUGUGGUCACUAGUGAAAAAAUGGAUAGUGUUGUGUUUGAGCUCACAGAGAACCAACUCCAAUAUAUUUCAUGCAAUAUCAUUUUAUAAACAAAAUUCUUGAACAACAUAAUUUUAUUGGAAUUUUCCAAGUAUUAUCAAUUGCAACAAGAACUAUAUUGUAUUGUUAAUUGGGUUCAUCUAGUCUCUUAUAUAAAACUACUCAAAGAGAUAAACCAAUGGGAUAAACCACAAGAGACAAAAACCAUCUCUAAUUGAUUGCAUAUCUCAUUGUUUUUCAUCACAAGUGAAGCAAUAAUUCAACUUUUGAUGAAUUAUAGAUCAAAAUUUGCAUGUAGCUGAUGUAGAUUGCCAAGAAUAGCACUAUGAUAUCACUAGGAGCAGAGGUUAGAAGCUCCCACUUGUAAUUUAGUAAAUAUUUUCCAGUACAUAUUUUUUUGUGCCCAAUGGCACAUGUUUUCACUAGUUAUAAAUAAUAGACAAACAAAUGUGACUUCAAUUAUGAAAAUCUCCACACAAAAGCCAAAAUACCAGACAUCAAAGAAGAACAGAAACGAUGUCAGAGUAACGAACUGUGCGUGGACCUCGAAAAAGCAAAAAGCCCAAGUCGGGCAAAAGCCGAGGCAUAAUUGGCAGGACGGGCAGCAGGGCCAUGCUGGAGCAAGAUGAGAGUGAUAACGACGAGGAUGGGGAUGGAUGUCCACAUCGGCUAGGUCUUCCCACACAUCGCCCCCAACCCCCCCCCUCUCAACCACGCGCGCAACCACGCCCCUUGAGGAGUUCUGCCAGCACUGUGGCCGUUGGAUCGAGGAUCUGACGGCUGACCCAUGAGACGAAGCCCUUGAAGGCGCUGCGGCGAGAAUUGCCCAUUCCCUUUCGAUUUCAGAGCUCUCAGUGAGAGCUUCCUCUGCUGCCAUCACUGUUGGAGUUGCGCCAACUUGUUUUACGACUCUCAGGUACGUUCUGGCUUGGUGUGGUUCGAGCUUUCGUGUAUGAGUGUUUGUCUGUGUGUGAGAGAAAGGUCUGAGGGUGUUGUUUUGACAUUGAUGGACGAUGGGGGGAUUGGUGCUGUGUCUGAGAGUUGUACGUGAAUGCCGUGGCUUUUGAUGCGAGUGAAUGGUGGGGUGAGUAUCAGUUAGGCUGAAAUUCUUUCGUGAGAGGGUGGGAGUUUUUAUCGCUGUUUGAGUGAGGGAGAGAGAUCAGGUGGAGAGGAUUUCAGAGCGUGGAGUAAGGUUCUGUUUAGGGUUUGGAACGUGGUUGUGAGCAGAUGAUCCAUUGCACAUCAUCUGCUUCAUUCUCUGUUUAGUGAUGAAUUGGAAUUUGGUGCGGGGUAUUUUGGCAGACAGUUGAGCAAUCAUGGGUAAGGAGAAGGUGCACAUCAAUAUCGUGGUCAUCGGCCAUGUCGACUCUGGCAAGUCGACGACCACUGGGCACCUCAUCUACAAGUUGGGAGGUAUCGACAAGCGUGUGAUCGAGCGUUUCGAGAAGGAGGCGGCGGAGAUGAACAAGCGUUCGUUCAAGUAUGCGUGGGUGCUGGACAAGCUGAAGGCAGAGCGCGAGCGUGGUAUCACGAUUGAUAUUGCGCUGUGGAAGUUCGAGACCAUGAAGUACUACUGCACUGUGAUCGACGCGCCCGGACAUCGCGAUUUCAUCAAGAACAUGAUCACGGGAACGUCGCAGGCAGACUGCGCUGUGCUGAUCAUCGACUCGACGACGGGAGGGUUCGAGGCCGGUAUCUCGAAGGAUGGGCAGACGCGUGAGCACGCACUGCUGGCGUUCACUUUGGGAGUGAAGCAGAUGAUUUGCUGCUGCAACAAGGUGAGUUGAGAAGACACGGCACAGUGUAUAUUUGUAUGGGGUCAGUGAGACUGGAUUGGGUCUGAGCACGGUGUCUGUGAGAGCCGUGAGGUGUCACGGCACAAUGAGAUAAAGUGGUGAUUUUAGGAGUAGGGUGUAUGGGUAUUGGUGUAUUUGAGGGCUGAUGUUGGACUAUGUGUGGAUGGUAGAUGGACGCGACCACCCCGAAGUACAGCAAGGCCCGAUAUGAGGAGAUCGUGAAGGAGGUGUCGGCGUACCUGAAGAAGGUGGGGUACAACCCGGAGAAGGUUCCGUUCGUGCCGAUCUCAGGGUUCGAGGGCGACAACAUGAUCGAGAGGUCGACGAACCUGGACUGGUACAAGGGCCCGACUCUGUUGGAGGCGUUGGACAACGUGUCAGAGCCGAAGCGGCCAUCUGACAAGCCUCUGAGGCUGCCGCUUCAGGACGUGUACAAGAUUGGAGGCAUCGGAACUGUGCCAGUGGGACGGGUGGAGACAGGAAUCAUCAGGCCAGGUAUGUUGGUGUGCUUCGCACCGACGGGACUGACGACUGAGGUGAAGUCGGUGGAGAUGCAUCACGAGUCGAUGCCUGAGGCGCACCCAGGUGACAACGUCGGGUUCAACGUGAAGAACGUGGCGGUGAAGGACCUGAAGAGAGGGUACGUGGCCUCAGACUCGAAGAACGACCCUGCCAAGGAGGCAGCCAACUUCACGGCGCAGGUUAUCAUCAUGAACCACCCGGGACAGAUCGGGAACGGUUACGCACCAGUGCUGGAUUGCCACACGUCGCACAUUGCGGUGAAGUUCGCGGAGAUCUUGACGAAGGUGGACAGGCGAUCGGGUAAGGAGCUGGAGAAGGAGCCGAAGUUUUUGAAGAACGGGGACGCAGGGUUCGUGAAGAUGAUUCCGACGAAGCCGAUGACAGUGGAGACGUUCGCGGAGUACCCACCAUUGGGACGUUUCGCGGUGCGUGAUAUGAGGCAGACGGUGGCUGUGGGUGUUAUCAAGGCCGUAGAGAAGAAGGAACCCACCGGCGCCAAGGUGACGAAGGCCGCUGCGAAGAAGAAGUGAAUAGUGCGGGAAGGGGGUGAAGGCGAGGCGGAGAAGGGGGCGGAGUGGCGGUGGUGGGUGGAGAGGUGGAUGUGGAGCAUAGAGUUGCUGACUUUGAGUGGUUGGUCGAUAUAUUUGUUGCAAGCGCGACAGAGGCAGACUUGGGUACUUGACAGGAGAUGGCAGGGCAUAGUGGGUACGAGGGCAUGGGUGUAAGAGAGAGGGAAAUAAAAGAGUAUACUAUUUCUAAGUAAAAAUGCGUGGCGUUUUUUUGAUGUGGUUGGUGCUUGUGGAAUGCUGGAUGUGUGGGUAUUCAAAGAGAUGGUGUGAUUCCUUCUGGAUUGGGUACGUUGGCGUGAGUUUGGCUUUCAUGCGUGUGAUUGUGUCAUGCCCUAAAUUAUAGAGAAGCUUACUGAAACACUAAUUUUGUUGUCGGUGGUUUGUAUGGCCUGGCCGGUUUUGUCGUUUUGUUGUGUAGGGUUUUUUUUUGUGCCACUUUCUGGCUUAUGCAGUGUUUGGGUGUUCAAUUUCCGCCGAGGAUAAACAGCGGUCAAUCGAACAUUGUGGGAUGUCUAGAGAAAUGAUUAUGUGAUGGUCGUUGUGAAGCUAUGUCGCAUGAAAUAAGGUUGAGGUUUCGUGCUUAUUUGUGAGUAUUAAUCACACGUCUAUUUGAAUGAUGUGUACCUUGAUUCUGGAGUGAACUAUUUGUAGGCCUUCUUAUGACCAAUUUGUGAAAAGCUUAGGAACGUAGGGGACAGGAUGAAUCAUUCAACACUGAUACGCUGUGCAGCUUUGAAACAAUGCCAUUUCACAGUCAAAUUGCCUACCACUCUUAUGUCGAUGUGAAGGUCUUCAAUGAGCAUGUAUUGAUCACUUUUGUGACACAAUUUGACCUGGUUGAUUUGAAUGUUCCGAACAAUUCAACCAGUAAGCUUCUCUAUUAUUUCGGGCACGACACCAUAUAUGUCGCCGAGAGCUAUCUGUUCCAACCCCAUAUUCUAACUCUCUUUCUCCAGCACGCUUUGCUCAAUUCUGUGAGUGUAACCCAAAGAACUUUUUCUAUCUUGUCUUCUGCCUAUUUUAGCUAUCUAAAUCUUUUGUCAUUAUACUGUUUUAAAAUGGUCUACAAAUAAGAUCAAACAAUUAGAGGCUAAAAUACUUUUAUAUCUUAAAAGUUGAUGAAAAUGUCACCAAAUAUUGUUUGUUGUGAACUUGUUGUAUAUUUGUUUUACAAAGAUGGUGUAGAAAAAUUGUCCUCUAGUUCCAAGGUAUUUGGUGAGUAGGGAUUUUCCAAAAUUUGUAGAUGAUUGUUAUGGAAUAUUUGUAGUGCAAAGAAAAUAAACAUUGUGAAUUCCUUGACCUAGUUUUUUUCUCCAUGUAUUUUUUGUAGUGCCUUUGUAACAAACUAGCCAAAUCAAAAUUGAUUCAUGUUUUGGUCAUGUUUUAUUUUAAAUUUUGGUCCACUUUAUCUCUAAGGUUGGUUGAAACAUUUCACAAUAUUUUGUGAUUUGAAUUUGAACAAUAAUAAGAUGUUGCCUUAAAAGUUGUUUUUACUUUUUGGCAUUGUAUACAUCCAAAGAACAAUUGUCUCUAAAUGUGAAGUUAUUGAAAUCAAACUUUAGUAUUUGUACUUGAUCGAAGAAUAUUGAAGUUAAAUUGCAGCCUAGUUUUAUUCCUUGCUAGGCCUCCACUCUUCAAAGAUACAUUAAUAUUGCCUCCCAAUUAUCUAUGUCUAUUUAGGUAUGAAGUUCAUUUAUAAUAGUUACUCUUAUGUCUUUUUAUAAGAUAUAAUUGAAUUUAUUAAAUAUAAAUAAACAAAUAAAAUAUAUAUAUAUAUAUAUAUAUAUAUAUAUAUAUAUUGCAUCUUAUUAGAGCAUAAGAAGAAAGUUGUUCCUUUCUUGCCAAUCCUUUUUUUCUUUGAAAAUUUGGAAUAAGGAAUAAGACCAUGUUAAGUUAUCAUUGCUAUAAUCAAAUAUAACCUAUGUCUUAAUAAUUAUCUUAUUAAGCCAUCAAUAAUCUAUAUAUAUUUGCUACAACUUGUCUUUUUUCUAUACAAAAAAGAUUAAAGAUCUAAUAAAAAAAUUUGAAUGGUGUAUUACAUUCUUGGUCAAAUUUUCAUUAGUAUAUUCCUUGAGUGAAGUCAUUUCAUUUUGCAAUGAGCUAUAGAUUGAUCCAAUAUAGUGAUUGAGUCAUUUCUUGAAGAUCAAUUGAGCAGUCACAAGGACAAUGCUUUGUUAGAAUAUCUGCAUUUUUCUUUUCAAACAUGUCUAAAUAUUCUUAAUAUUAUUUUGGAAGUUUCUUGAUAUCUUUCUACCAUAAAAAAUUGGUGCCACAUAAAUAACAAAUGUUAAUCCUUCUUUUGUAGCUUACAUUAUUAUUUUUGUUUCUACAAAUAAUAACUUAGUUGUUCUAGUCUUAUAACAAAUUAUUUAGUUAGAGACAUCUUUAGAUAUAUUAUAAUAAAAAUAAAAAUUACAAGAGAUCUAAUCUAUUUAAAGGUUAUACUUUCUUAAUCAUAAUAGAUCUAAAAUAACUAUAAUAAUAGAAGAUCUAAUAAUAUUAAAUAUUACUAAGCUAUUAUCAUCUUUUGUUAUUAUGUCUAUAGAAAUGGUUUUAUGAAAAAACAUCUCCAAAAGACAAUAGUCAACCAUUUAUAACUUCUACAUAUAUUAGUUUAUUUUAUUUUUUCUUAUUAGUAUUCUAAAUUUUUUAAUCAAUAUUUUAUUUUUUAAAAAAAAAAUUAGACUUCUAAAUCUAAUAAGGUAGAAUAUUUUAUUUUAUUUUUAGAUCAUAAAUAAAUAUUUGCUAUAAUACAAGAAGAAGAUUUUGAAGAAAGAAUAGAAUUUUAUAAGAUGUUUUAGACAAAUCUAACAUGACAAUCCAUAUUGUAGUUAGGAAGACUUAUUUUCAAACAUAUUGUCUUUCAUAACAACCAUGCUCUUCAUUUUAAAGUUAUAACACUUCUUAGAACAAUGUUGAACAAUGUAUUUGUGUUUUCCACAAUAUAAACAUAAUUGUUUUUGAGAACAUCAAUAUUUUUUUUAUUUAGUAAGAAAAUUAAAGAAUAUUUUAUGAAUUUACAUAUCUUCUAUUUCAAAAUGCAUAGAUUAAGAAGGUAUUGGAAUAACAAUGAAAUUUUAAAGAUAUUGUGACAUAUUUGUAUAAUUUCUAGAUCAAAGUCCAAAAAAUUAAUUAUUAUAUUUUAUAGAAAAUUUAAUUAAUUGACUCAAUGUUUAAAGAUCAUAUAAGUUUAGCAUCAAUUUUUUUACUUUAUAUUUCAAUUUAUAGAAAAAUUAGUUAAUAAUUGUAUCAUCAUCCCACUUAAUAUUAAUUUUUAGUUGUUAAAAUUAAUAUAUAUAUAUAUAUAUAUAUAUAUAUAUAUAUAUAUAUAUUGAAUGAUUUUCUUGAUAUAAGAUAUGAAUUUUAUUGCUAUGAAUAAUAAAAAUUAUAACAUGACAAAAAAUAAAAGUAAUUUUUAAAUAAAUAUAACUUAUAAUCUUAUGAAUGGAUAGCUUUGGAAUCGAAGCUUAAUUGCUAGUUACACUUGAUUGAUAAAUCUUUGAAAUUUUGUUCUUGUACCACCAAACUUCUAAAGUAAGCAAAUUUUUAUUUUUUUAACAAUAAUAAUAAUGCUUGUAGGAUGCUUUAUCAUAAGAUUUUUUUAUAGUAUAGACCUAGAUGUUUGUGUAGCUCGAAUAGCUCUUUAUCUUUAUUUUCAACCAAUCUUAAUAUUGCUUGUGGCAAUGAAGUAAGUUGAUGCAUAAAAAAUGUUAACUCUUUAAUUUAUUCUUGCAUUUGUAUCAUUACAUCUUUUAUCGUUGUAAAAUAUAUUAUUAUUAUAUAAUAGGAAAAAAUGACAUCUAUUACUUAUGAUAAGAAGUUAAAAAGGAUUAUGAAUAAAAUAGAAAUAUUCUAAAAAUAAAAUAGAAAUAGAAGUAGAUAAUCUACAACCUCUAAUAUACUUAUAUCUAAUGAAGAAAAAUAGAUAAUCUAUUUUAAAUUAAGAAAAAUAAAACUCUAAUCUUAUAAGUGUAUUCUUAUCAAUAUAUUAAGGAUAAGAACUUAAAGAAUGUAAAUAAAUAAGUGAUAUAUAUAUAUAUAUAUAUAUAUAUAUAUAUAUAUAUAUAUAUUUUAUAUUUUCAAGAAGAAAUUAGAAUGGCCAUUAUCAAAAAUAAAAAAAACUAAAGACUCUUGAAACUAGACUAGAAGCAAUGACAGAGUUGAUAAGACUGAAGAAGAUCUCACUUUUAACUCUGUAUAUAAUAUCUACUAAAGAAUUACUUAAUAACACCUUAUAAGCUACCUGACAUAUUUUUAAUUUACAAGGCAUGUGUUAUAGAUAUAUAAAGAAUAUUCUAAAAUCUUAAAAAAUAUUCUAUAUUAUAAAAUAUUUUUCUAAAAUAUUAUAAAAACUUGUUAGAAGUAUAUAGUGUACAAAUUAGAAACUAAACUAUAUUAAAUGGCAUCUUAAAAAAAAAAAAAAAUCUAAAAUAGCUUAAAAAUUAAGCUAUGUAAUUUAACUUGGACGGCAAGUCAUUUUAAGAAGCUCCUUGAGAGGCUUCUUGAAACUUGGCCAAUAUGUCAUCUACUAGCUUACAUAAAAGACAUGAGAGGCUUGGACUUCAAGCCUUAAGUCUCACAAGUAGUAUAAAUAGAGACAUGAUCGAGGCCUUCCUUAGUCUUAUCAAUUCAUCUUUUGAAUUUGUUCUUCUAAUGGCCUUUAGGCUCUUUUUUAUAUUAAUCAUUGGUUGUUGUCUUUUUAGUUAUUUUUUAUUUUUAUUUAUUUAUAUAUAUAUAUAUAUAUAUAUAUAUAUAUAUAUAUAUAUAUAUAUAUAUAUAUAUAUAUCUCUUAGACUUUAGUGCUUGAAACUAAUUCUUUUUUUUAUUGAAGUUUUAGAUGUGUCUCUAACAAUUUGAUUAGACUAUUGUUUUUGUUUCUAGAAUUAUUUUGUGUUGAAAACUAAGUAGAUUAUCCCACUUCUUAAGUGUUAUUUUGUAUUAAGAAUUCAAUGAAUUAUUCUAUUUCUUUGGUAUUAUUUUGUAUUAAUAAGUGAGUGGACUAUCUUGCUUCUUAGGUAUGGUUUUGUAUUGAGAAGUGAGUGGACUAUUCCACUUCUUAUGUAUUAUUUUGUAAUAAAAAGUAAGUGGAUUACUCUACUUUUUAAAUAUUUUUUUAUUAAGAAUAUUAUUACAAAUGAAAAAAAUUAAAUAUGCAUAAAAGAAGUGAUAAUAUAUUUGUUACAAUUGUACAAUUUAAUGAUCUUUUUAAUACUCUUUGAGCUAAAAUACCACAUACAAGUACCUCUAAUUAUAGGAGUCUUGUUUUAAUACCUAUAAAAGAAGUUAAUAACAAAAUUUAAAGUUUGUGCUAAAUUUUUUUAUAAUUAUAAGAAGUAAGUAUAAGUAGGUAAGCAUCACAAUUCGAUCCUAGAAUUGUUUCUAUAAAAAGUUUAAAGGAAUGAAAGACAAGUAAGUUAGAGAAAUUUAAUGGUAUUAUAUCAAAUUUUCAAGAAUUUUUGUUACAAGAGCCAAUUUGAUUCUUCAUCAUCUAUUCCUAUUAUUUGGGGCUUCUAAUUCAUCUUUCAUUUAUUUUUUGAAAUCUUUUCUUUUUAGUAUUUGGUACCUCAUCUCUAACCAUUUUUAAUCAAGUAUUAUAUAUUUAUUUUUAAUAUUUAAUGUGCUUUGUUUGAUAUUUAAGUUUUUUCUGAAUAGAUGUCAAGAAUAUGAACUAAAAGAUGAUGCAUAAAUCAAUGAAAUUUUUAUAAAAAAAAGUAAAAAAAUAGAAAUAAAAAAGUACGUAUAUUAAAAAAAAACUAGAAUAGCUUAUUGCCAAAAGACAAGAAAAUUUAAGACUCUUGAAACUAGACUAGAAGCAAGAAAAGAAUUGACAAGAGUGAAGAGGGCUUCACUCUUGUCUCUAUAUAUACUAUCUAAUUAGGGGCUAUGUAGCGAUGUUCUAUAAGACCUUUAAUAUGUGUUGACUUUGUAGGACACAUGCCUUGACUUAUAAGACAAAUUUUUCUAUAUGUUUGCCACAUAGUUAGCUUGUUCUUCAAGCUACCAAUAUGUAUGGCACAUGAUUGACUUGUUGACCAAGUUUCUAACCUAGAAUUCAAUAAUGGACACUUAUAAAGUCAAAGCAAUGUCUAUGAAGCUUCUAAGAUGCUAUUUUAGAAGAUAUUAUAGAAUUAACUUACUUUUAUAUACUUCUAUCUAUUUCUACUUAUUCAUAUAGAUAAUUAUUGGCUUACAUGUGUAUGUAUGUGACAUUAUCUUCCUUUCUAGGGAUGAAUUCUACAAGGAAUGGUCAUCAUAUGUUGAAAAAAUCUAUGAUUUGACAAAUUAUAUUUGCCACAUACUUAGAUCUUUGUUUUCUUUAAAGAUGGUUGAUAGGGCCUCUCAACUAUUGAUAGUGUCACAUAUCAAGGUGGAAAGACCACCAUGUUAUUUAGUCAUUAUUGAGGCCUUUAUAACUUUGUUCAAAUAAAACAAUUGGAACACCGUCAAGAGUUGUUUCUACCUCUAAUAAAAUUACCAAACAUCAAAAGUCUCUUCCAAGGUUGUGAUACCAAAUACAUUGUAUCUCGCCACCUAUUCGAGGAAAAAUAUGUCAUUCUUGAAGAUCUUCAUCUCAAUUGUAUCAUCUUGAAGUUUGUGACAAUCAUAAUGUCUCAUCCUGUAGGUUAGAAAAUGAAUGCUCUUUAGCCAAAUCCAUUAGUUGUUGGUUUUUCAUCUCUUUAGCAUCACAAAUACAAAGAAGUCACAAACAAGGAUUGAAAGUAGAAUAUUAUCUUGCAUAGAUCUUGUUUUCUUUAUAUAAAAGAUCUUCAUGUUAAAUUUGAUGGAUGUCAUCGAUGAAAAGCCUCCACCUUCUUUACUGCAUUUGCAAGAUUCUUUGCUAACUUCCAUGUGUAUUCACUAAUAUUGUAUUUGUAGCAUUGAAUAAGAUAUUUUAACUUAUUUUGGUGCCACUUUAAGUCUAAGACUUCUUCCACUUCAAAUUCUUCAUUAUUAUCUACUCUUAUAAGAAGAAGUAACACUUGUCUUCUUCUUCAUAUGUCCAUUAUCUUGUAUGAUUCAAAAGGAAACAUGUAGAAUACUAGAUGAAUUUUUAUUAAUUUCAAUAGGUAUAAAUGAUAUGCAAUUGGAUUGAUUUGUACAGAAAUAGGAAAUGGUCUAAGCUUACGAUAGUCCAACUUGUCACAAUGAUGAGUAGUCUUGAUAUUAUGAUAAAAUAAUCAUACCUUGUUACCCAUGUCAAAUGAUGGUUGUUUCUUUCGAUAGACAUGUCUAUUGAGCUUUUGUUGUUCUUGAACUUCUUUUAACUACUCCUUUAUUAUUGUAUGUAGCUCUGACAAAUAAUUUGCUAAAUCUUUCGUUAUAGGAUUAUCAGCUUUUAAAAAGUCAAAAGUGUCAAAUCAUGGAUAAUAACCAUAAUUGAAAAAAAAAAAUGUUUGUUUUGUAGAAAAAUAUAUUGUGUUAUUAUAAAAAAACUUUGCCAAUGGCAAAAGAGUUGUCCAAUCAUCUUAUUGGUAGUUGAUACUAUAUCUUAAAUACUGCUCAAAAACUUGAUUAAUAUGCUUUAUUUGUCCAUUAGUUUGAAGAUGGAAUACCAAAGAUAGUUUUAUAUCUAAUUUUAGAAACUUAAAAAGAAUGUAUCAAAAUCUUAAUACAAAUUGAGUUCUCCUAUUUAAUAUAAUAUCCUUGGAUAAUCCAUGAUAGUAAUAGAUGUUAUUAAGAAAAAAUUUAGUUGUUUCUUCACUUGUGAUAAAUUUUGUACACGGUACAAAAUGUGCCAUCUUGGUAAAACGAUCUACUAUCACAAAUAUAGAGUCAUAAGAACCUAAGAUUGGAAGAUCGAUGAUGAAAUCCAUUGAAACAGAAGUCUAUGGUUGUUUUGGAAUGGAUAAUGGUUAAAGAAGUCUGUAAGGUUGAUGACAAGGAGUUUUUUAUCUUGAACAAAUGUUGCAUGAUUGAACAAAGUCUUUUAUACCCUUUCACAUUUGUGGCCACCAAAAAUCUCUAGAUAUAAGCUCCAAAGUCUUGUUGUAUCCAAAAUGUCAUGCUGCUAAAAAGUUGUGACGUGCUUGAAGAAUACGUAAUCGUGCUUCUUCUUUUGGAACAUAUAAUUGACCUUCAAAAUAGAAUAAGUUGUUUUUGAACUCAAACUUAGAAUUAUUUUGGAACUUAAAAGAAAGAUUCUUGAUAUUGUGAAUAAGAGGAUCAGAAGAUAUACUUGAUUGGAUUUAUUUUGUAAAGAUUGAAUCAACAAUUAAUGUUGAUUUCAUUACUCAAAGAUGAAAAUACUCUGGCUUUAAGAAAAUCAUUCUUUGUUGAUUAAAAGAUGCAUCUCUUUCUUUUGGUGAAAGAUAAGAACGCUUAAAAAGGAAGUCUGACAAAUCUUGUUAUUUUUCAAGUCGAUAUGUGAUCUUGAAAUCAAAUCUUAAUAAAGACAUGCUCCAACGGGCUUGGCGACAAUUCAAAAUACAUGCUGACAUGAAAUACUCGAGAUUCUUAUAAUUUGUAUACAUGGUGACUAGAUUGGAAGCGCCUUCUAGAUGAUGACACAAUUCUUCAAAUGAAUCCACAAUUAGAAGAAGCUUUUUUUCAUGGAUUUCAUAGUUAAUCUCGGUUGCUAAAAAAUUUCUGGAAUGAAAAGCUACUAGGUGAAGUUUAUCAUCUAUUCUCAUUUGUGAUAAUACGGCAUCCAAAGCAAAGUCUAAUACGUCUGUUUCUAUAAAAAAUGCCUUAAAAAAGUUGACACAAUACAAGGUUGGUGCAAAAAUAAAGGUUGACUUCAAAGCUUCAAAAGAUGCUUCAACUUCUUUGCUCCAUUUGAAUUUGUCUUGGCAAGUCAAAUGUGCAAGUGGAAGUGUAACUUAAGAUAAGUCUUUGAUGAAGAUCCAAUAAUAAUUGGCAUAGCCCAAAAAAUAUUAGAUAUCUCUUAUCGUUUUUAGAAUCUUUCAAUCUAUAAUAAUUUGAACUUUUAAAGAUCCAUCAUAAGUCCAUCAUUUGAAAUGAUAUAUCUUAAGAAGUCGACUUGAGUAGUGUGAAAUAUACACUUUUCUAUCUUGGUAUAGAGUCUUGCAUGUCUUAAUUUUUGUAACACAUGAUGAACAUAAAGUUUAUAUUCAUCUAUGUUCUUAGAAUAGAUCAAGAUGUCUUCUAGAUAAGAGACAAAAAAAUCGUCCAAAAAUUCUCAAAAAAUAUCAUUCAUUAGAUGUUGAAAAGCUAUCGAUGCAUUUGUAAGUCUAAAAGGCAUGACAUCGUAUUCAAAAUGUCCAUAUUUACUUCAAAAUAUAAUCUUCCAUUCAUCUCCUUCUUUAAUACAUACUAAAUUGUAUACUCUCCAUAGAUCUAUUUUUGUAUAGAUCUUAGCUUGAUUCAAUUGAUUGAGAAGUCUAGAUAUCAAAGAUAGAAGGUAUCUAUUCUUGAUGGUGAUCUUAUUGAGUCCUCGAUAAUCAACACAUAUCCACAAUGAUUCAUCUUUUUUCUUCACAAAUAAGAUUGGAGCUCUUACUGGCAAUUUGGAAGGAAAUAUGAAAUUCUUGGCUAGAUUUUCUUCAAUAUAUUCCUUGAGUUCACCUAAUUCAUUUUGUGAUAAACUAUAGAUUGGUCCAAAUGGCAGUCGUGCUCCUUCUUAAAGAUCAAUUGAGUAGUCAUAGGAAUGAUGUUUUUGAAGAGUAUCUAAUUUCUUCUUCUCGAAUAUAUCUUGAAAUUCUGGAUAUUGGCUUGGAAUGCCACUUGAAGUCUUUGCAUCAUUAGAAAUAGGUGUGGUAUAAAUGACAUAAGGUGAACUUUCUUUUACAGCAUGCAAGAAGGCUCUCGUACCUACAAAUAUAAGUUUUAUUGUGCUAGACUUAUGACUUUUUACUAGAUUAAUUUCACUCUUAAUUAUACUUUUAGAAGAGUCAAGAAUAUAAGAAAUCCAAUCUAUGCAAAGAUUAUACUUUUUUAACCAUAAUAAACCUAAAAUGACUAGAUUAGGAAGAAAUUUAAUUAUAUUAAAGCUUACGCAACUACUAUGAUUAUUUAUUGCUACAUUUGUAGGAAGUAUUUCAUGACUAACAUCUCCAAAAGACAAUGGAUAAUCAUCUAUGACUUUUACAUGAACACGUUUAGUUUUUUGUAUUAACAGUAUUUUGUGACUUUUAACAAAUUCUACGUCUAAAAAGUAAGUUGAGACUCGUAAAUCUAUUAAGGUGGAGGCUUUAUAAUUAUUAGAUCGUGAAUGCAUAUCUAUUAUAAAACAAGGAGAAGGUUCUAAUGAGAGGAUAGGACCUUUAUUAGAAAUUGUAAAAGAUUUUAGUCACCCAGUUCCUACUAUAACUGGAUAAUUUUGUUUUUUCAUACAUUCUCUUCUUAUAUAGUUGUGCUCUUCAUUUUGUGGUUUCAUUGCUUCUUUGGACAAUGUCGAGUAGUGAGUUUAGGUUCUUCAAAAUAUAAGGACAAUCCUUCUUGAUGGCGACAAGUCUUUUCUUGCUCGGUAAGAAGUUUAAAACGUACCACAUCAAUUUGUAUAUCCUCUACUUUUGAAUGUAUGUAUUGAAGACAUAUUGGCAUUGUCAUCAAAUUGUAGUAACGUUGAGGCCCACUUGUACAACUCUCAGAUUGAAAUUCAAAAAGCCAAUUGUUGCACUUCACAACAAAGUCAAUUGCUUGACUCAAUGUUUGAGGAUCAAGUAAGUUGAGCAUCAAUUUCUUUACUUCAUAUUGUAAUCUAUAGAGAAAUUGGCUAAUAAGUGCAACAUCAUCCUACUUGAUAUCAGUUGUAAGUUAUGGAAAUUGUGAAGCAUAUAAUAUUACAAAUCAAUUACCUUAUCGCAAUAUACGGAUCUUAUUGGUUGCAACAUAUAUUACAUUAUGUUCUCUAUAUAUGGACCAAAAUUUUACUAAAAAUAUCUUCAAAUUAUACAAUAUUGAAGCUUGUCAUUCAACAAAAGAUGAAAACUAUAAUAGUGUUGAAUUUGAAAGAAGUAUAUCAAUGAACCAAACUUGUGAUCCUAGAGAUGGAUAGCUUUGAGGUUGAAGUUCAAUUACAAGUUGUACUUGAUUGAUAAAUCUUCAAAAUUUAGAUCUUGUACCAUUAAACUUAUCGAGUAGGGCAACUCUUGGUUCUUUAACACUUGAAAGAUAUUCCACUAUAGGUAGAGGGAUAUGAUUUGGUGCAGAUAUUGAGGUAGCUCUAAUCAUCUAUACAUCGUCACUUCCUACCAUUCUUAUUGAUCCUUAUGGUGGUAAGCUAAAUUGAUGCAUUGUAAGCAUCAACUCCUUUAAUUUUUCUUGCAUUUGUGCCAUAGCUUUUAUGAUUUCAACAAGCUCUACCAUAAUAACACUCAGAAAAAUAUCUAAUACUACUCAAGACAAGUAAAAAAAAGGACUUGAGGACAAAGAAAAUGUUAAGAACAAUAUAAGUUUAGAAGAGGAUAAUCCGCAAAUUUUAAUAUGCUUAUGUCUUAUCAUGAGAAAGAGGUAAUCCACUCUUAAUCAAGACAAGACAAAGCUUUGAUAUUGUAAAAGUACUCUUGUCAAUCUGUCAAGGAUAUGAACUAGAAGAUGAUGAAUAAACCAAUGAAAUUUGUAUCAAAGAAAAAGUGACCAAAUAGAAAUAAAAAAAUACGUAUAUUAAAAAAAAACUUGAAUGGCUUAUUGCCAAAAGACAAGAAAACCUAAGACUCUUGAAACUAUACUAGAAGCAAGAAAAGAGUUGACAAGAGUGAAGAGGGCUUCACUCUUAUCUCUAUAUAUACUAUUUAAUUAAGAACUAUGUGGUGAUGUUCUAUAGGACCUCCAAUAUGUGUUGACUUUGUAGGACACAUGCCUUGACUUAUAAGACAAGUUUUUCUAUAUGUUUGCCACAUAAUUAGCUUGUUCUUCAAGCUACCAACAUGUAUGGUUUUAUGAUUAACUUGUUGAUCAAGUUUUUAACCUAAAAGGUAAUAAUGGACACAUAUAAAGUCAAAGCAGUGUCUAAUAAGCUUUUAGGAAGUUUUUUUUAGAAGAUAUUAUAGAAUUAACUUAUUUUUACCUACUUCUAUCUAUUUCUAUUUAUUUAUAUAGGUAAUUAUUUGCCUACAUGUGUAUAUAUGUAACAAUAGAUUAUUAAGAUAUUAGAGCUAAUUUUUAAAGUUAAGUUAGAAUUUUUAUGAGAAUGUGACUUCCUCCUAUAAUAAUUAUAGCUUUAGAAGAGAAAUAUAAAGGUUUUUUAAUACUUACUAUAUUUUUUUUAUUUUAUUAUUGUAUAUUCAAUAAAUUUAAGAAAAAUACAAUGAUGAACCAAAAAACACAAUCAAGUCAUGCAAAUCAAUCUGAUAGGGUCAAUAUAUGGUCUAGGGCUAAAAAAAGAGAUAUGAUUGUUGGUUCUUUCAGCAUAGCAUCAAUACCAAAAUAGUCAAAGAAUUGCUCAAUUCCUUGAGCAAUAUCACUUGAAAGGCACCUACAAUUACAGAAUUUAGGCAUAUCAAAGAAAGCAUAUGCUCUAAUAAGAUAGACUUUACAUCUAUUUUAUUAUACUAAUAUUAAUAUAAUAUUAGAUACAAAAUAAUUAAGAUAGAAGAGUGCUUAUAUAAUGAUCAAUAAUAAUUCUAGAAAUGUCAUGCUUUUUAUAUUGAAGAGAUAUAAAAAACCAUAUUGAUAUUGGAUAAAAUUCAAAAAAAAGAUUGAAGCUUUUAAUGGACCAUAUAAAACCAUGCUCAUUGAAAAAUGUUUUAGCCUAAAAAAACUAGAGAAUAUAAGUAUAGAUAUAUUUUUAAAUGAUGUAAAAGAAGUUGUUGACUUACUAUUAGGAGUUAAUAUUGACUUGUCCAAAGAUGUGGUAGUCUAUUAUGAUGUAAAGAAUUUCCAUCACCAAUAUAAAAUUUUCAAAAGGAUGAUACUAAAUGCAAAUUAAUUUCUUAUGUAUAAAGCACUAGAAUCUAAGCUUAUUAUUAUUGAGAUAUCUUUAAGACUAGAUUCAAGAUUAGAAAGAAUAAAUGAGACUCAUUUAUUCUUUCUAAUCUUAUCUUUUUUAAAUAAUUAGAUAUUUCUAAGAUUAUUAUAUCUUAGAAUCACCAAGAUUUUAGAGUCAAUUUUAGAAAGGCUCUCAAAUUCAAUACUUUGAUAUAUAUAUAUAUAUAUAUAUAUAUAUACAUAUAUAUUAAUAAUAUAAAUAGUAGUAAUAUCAAUGUAGACCAAUUUAAUAAUAAAGAUUGCCUACUUACUAGCUUCAAAAAAUUUACAUCAACUAAUAAAGCUCAAAUUAUCAAUUAAGAUGCAAAGCUCAAAAAUCAAAGAAAUUAAGAUCCAAAGUAUACAACUUUUGUAAAAAAUCUAGUUACUUUAAAAGAGACAAAUGAUUGUGAUGGAUGAUAAGACCUAUCAAUUAUUUCAAAGGGAAUGAAGAUUAGAGUUUGUAGCAAAUACAAUUUAUUGUAUCUUAGAUUUUUUCAACAUAUGAUCAAUGGUCUUUGUAGAACUCGUCCCUAAAAAGUGGAAUAAUUUCAUAGACAAAUAUAUUUAUUAUAAUAAUUAUCUAAAUAAUAUGAGUUGAUAGAAGUAAGUAAAAAUAAAUAAAUUUAAUAUAUGGCAUACAUAUGGCAUACAUAUAAAAAGCUUGUCUUGCUUAUUAGACACAUGUAAGAGAUUCUAUUAAACUUCGCAAUGUAGCUCCUAGUUACGUAGUUUAUAUAGAUGCAAGAGUGAUGUCCUAUUUAUUCUUAUCAAUUUCUUUUUUAGUUUCAAUAGUCUCUAGUUUUCUUGUCUUUUGACAAUAUUUAUUCCAAUUUCAUCUUGAAUAUAUAUAUAAAGAAGUAAGAUAUUUUUCAAAGAAAUAUUACAAUAUAUAUAUAUAUAUAUAUAUCGUAAUAUUCCUUUGAAAAAUAUCUUACUUCUUUACUUAAAUUUUUCAAGCUCUUAUCUUUGAUAUUUAUACAUACUAUGAUAAAAUAUAUAAUAAAUUCCUAAAUAAUAUAUUUGAUAAUAAAAUAUAGCAUAUUAGAUUUUUUAUUUUUAUAUACUAAUAUUUAAAUUAUAUUUAUAUUUAUUGAAUGGAAAAAUUUUAUUAAAGAAGAUUUUAGCUAUAAUAAAAUAGUAUCUUUAAUAUGAAGAUAAUUUAUUUUAAGCCUAUUUCAAAUUAUAUUUAUUACUUUUUUGAAAAAAAUAGAGUUGUAACUAUUAUAAUAUUAAGGAAUUUAUAUUGUUGAUAUCAAAUCUAAACUCUAGAAAUAAUGAAUUUAGUAAAUUUAUUGUAACACCAAUAUUGGAUUUAAAUUCUUUUAAAUAAAUUACAUGAUUAUAAGCAUUUUAAUUGACAAUUAAUUUGGCUUCUUGUUUUAAGAAUUAUAGAUCUUUAUUCUUGCCUUUUAAAGAAGCCAACUUAAGUUUGAAGUUGAAUAUUUUUCCUUCUAAGAAGAAAAAAUAUGGUACCAAAAGGCAACAUUGUCUAAUUUGUUCCUCAUUGAAAAAAAUAGAAAUUUUUUUUUAAUCUUCUUGACAUGUAUUUUUAAUAUUAAAAAGAAUAAUUUUAUUGUUUGAAUAAAUUUUAGACCAAAGCUAAAAACAUCUAUUCCUUAAAUAAUAAAAUUUCUAUUAAUAUUAUUUUAUAUUUUUAUAAAAUAUAAUUUAAACAUAAUGAGAUUUUAUUCAAGCAUAGAUCUAGUAUGUAGUCUUAUAUAUGAAUAGAAUAUUUUUUAAGAUAUAUUAUAAAAAAAUAGUAUUCGAUUUGGAUAUAUUGAAUAUAACAAUAUAGAUUGGAUUCAUAAUUGUAGUAUUUUUGUAAAAGUUUUAUAAUUUGAAUUAAAUAGAAUAAUACAUUAGUAAUUAAUUAGAAGGUUUCUAUCACCUUUCUUGAAGAUAAGGGUAAUAAGUCCUUAUAAAAUUGCUAUAAAAAAUGCUUAUCUAUUCAAUGAAUCUUCAAUUAGUUGUAGAUAGACAUAUUUGAUGGUGCCUAAAAGAUUUCAAAAAAUUCAGUUCCUACACCAUUUAAUUUAAGAGCUUUGUUAUAAGUUAAUGGCUUAAUUGAAUUUAUGUAGUUUUUUCAAUGUAAGGACUUGCUCAAGAAAAGUUCUAACUUUUUCUUAUAGUUUUAAUAUGUAGAGGUUCUUGAUGGAGUCUUUAGUUGGCAUAAGAUCUCAUUCAUUUUUAAAUUUUUUAUGGAAUUGAGAAUUUUUUUAACUCAAUCUUGAUAUUUUUUUAAAGAAUUUUUUAUAUUUAUUAAAUUAUAUUUUUGAGAAUAAAUUUUUUAAUACAAGAAUUUUUCUCUUUAAGUGUUUUUUUUUCUUUAUUAAUAAUAAUCUUUAUAAUUAAUCCAACUAAUUCAACAUAUGAUUCUUUGACUAUUUUCUUCAUUUAAAAAAAAAUAUGCUAUGUUAUCUUAAUGUUCUUUUAACAUACUUUAGAUAGUGACAUUGUUUGAAUGUGUAUGUAGCUUAAUAUAAAUUUCUUCAAAAAAAAUCUUCUCUACUUGCUCUUACUUCUUAUAGUCAUUGAUCCUCACCAUAUAAUAAUUUCUAUAGUAUUUUACUUCAUAUUAUUUCGGUCUAUCAAAUAUAUUAUUUUGAAAGUAUCUUAAGGUUAUUUUUUUAUGUUUUAGUUUCCACCUAAUAUCUAUUUACUAUUAUUUAGUAAGAAGAGAUAAAAAUAUUUUUACGGCAUACUUCUAUCUUAGUAGUAAUUUGGAGUAUGUGUAUAUAUAUAUAUAUAUAUAUGUAUAUUUGCUAUACCAAUCUUUUUCUAUUUAAAAAUAAUUGACAAUAAGUAAUAAGAUCCUUGUAUCAAAGACAAAAUCAAUAUAUAAUAUUAAAUACUUUAAAUGAUGAUAGAUUAUGUUACAUAAACUUUCUUUUUCAAUUCUAUCUUUGAUUUAAAUAUUUUAGAAUUGCUUUUAGUAUGUGGCACUUUCUUCCUUUUACAACUUGCAACCAAAUUCUCUUGUAUUGAAAUUGCUUAGUUUGUGCUCUUAAAAAAUAUUGUUACACAUCAAUUUUUUGUAUCUAAUAAUUUCUAAUUUAUAAUAAAUUUGAAGAAAAAAUAAGAUUUAUUAUAUUAUAUGAUAAAAUAUUGAAUCAGUUUUAUGAUUCUUUACAAAAAAAAGAAAAAAAGAAAAAAAGAAAAAAUUUCAACAUCUAAAUAAUAUUUUAGUAUUGAUUCGUGUCUAAAGGAAUUCAUCUUGGAUUUACCUAUUCUUCAUAAAAUAUUCUUUUUAUGCUUUGCUACUAUAUAAAUAAUUGAUAUUUCAUAAUCUUUUUAGGAAUAGAUUUUUCUUUAUAAUUUAUAAUUUAUUUCUAUUUUAUCUUGUAUGUAAUUGAUAUUUUAUAGUACCAUAAGUCCAUAAUAUAUGCUUCCUAUUUUUGUUUUCAUAAAUAAUAGACUUCUAUUUUUUUUGUUAAAAUAAAAUAAAAAAUCAUCUCAAUUGCAUUUUAAUAAAGUGGCAAGUAUUGGAAUAAAUAUCUUUAGUGUCAUUUAUAUUAUCUCUAGAAGAAAUCUACUUUAUUUGCCUUGAUUUGGAUUGAAAUCAAGUGAAACUUCUAAAUAUGUAUUGAUGGUAUUUAAUUUAAAGCAUUUAUCUUUGAAUACCUUGUUGUAGAUUUCUAUUAAAAUUUCUAUUAUAUGUUCUAAAUUUAAUCUAAAUAAAGAGGUAUCCUUUUUAAUGCUAUCAUAUCAAUUAUCAUUUAUUGUUUGCCAUAUCUUUCUAGCAAUUAGUGGUUCUCUGUAUACACCUUUGAAUUUAACAUAUAUAUAUAUAUAUAUAUAUAUUUUCAUAGGCUUAGUAUGGUAUUUCUUCAUUAUAUUAGAUAUUACUAUCUGAACUCUAUCAUAGUGUGUAUUAGAUUGUUAGCUAAUAGAUUUUUUUAUUGAUAUUGCUUGAGAGCUUAUUAUUGAUGUUGCUUAUAAAAAUUCUACAUAUGGCAUUGCCCGCUAUAGUGUUUUUUUUUUUUAAUUUUUAGUUCAAGAAAACCUUAGAAUAAUUUUAGUGAUUAUUAUUAUAAAAUUUAUUGCUAUUAUUAACUUAUUUUUAAAAGAAAAAAAGAUUACUAAAACUACAACCUUUGUAUUAAUUAUUAUAUAGUCUUGCUUCUAGCUAGACCUUUAUAAAUAAAACUUGUUAUUGUUUAAGAAUAGAUAUUGAUUCAAUCAUCUUAAUUAUAAAAAAUUUAAAAUUUAAUAUCAUCUAUUUUUUAUUAUAAUUAUUUUUUUCCAUGUAUCUCUUAUUAUAUUACUUUUAUCAUUGUUAUCUUUUAUGAUCACUACAAAUGUUGAUCUUUAGAAAUAUAAUUAAUCUAAGACUAAAAUUUUAUUUAUUAUUAAGAAUUUGAACUUUUGUUGUGUAAAAGGACAUAUGAAAAAAAAUUAAGAUUGGUAAUUGAAAUUUUGUGUCUUUAGAAGAUGGGCCUAAAUAUGUAAGUCAAAAUGGGUUGGCUUUGGACUAUUUGGUAGAGACUAUUAAGAUUUUCCUUGAUCUUUUUCCUUGAUUCAGUAUAUAUUUUUGAUCCAAUUGCAAAUCUUCUAGAGAAUCAUGUUAGUUGCGUAUAGUGUUAUCUCAAGAUUAUAUUAUAAUAAAUUUAUAUAAUUCAAAAUUUGAAAAUAUUUUAUUAAUUGUUGUUGGAACUUGAAGAGAAAUUCUUGAUAUUUUUUAAAGUGAUUUUAAGUUUUUUUUUUUUUUUUUUUUUUUUUUUUUUUUAAUUUAUUUUCAAAGUGUAGAAAUUUUUAUUUUUAUUUUAUAUAAUAAUUUAAUAUUUAUUUCUAAGAAAUAAGUAACUUUAGUCUAUAUAUAUAUAUAUAUAUAUAUAUAUGUGUGUGUGUAUGUAUAUAAGAUUAAUGAAUAUAAAAGAAGGCUCCUGUAAAACAAUUUAAUAGAUUAUUAAUUAAUUUGAAGCUAAUUUUUAUUUUUUAUUAUAUUUUUUUAUUUUUAGUAAUUCUUAAGUAUAAUUAUGUUAAGAAGGAUGUAAAAUAAAAAUUAAAAGUAAGUUAGAAGUUAUUUAGGAAUAAAUUAUAUUCAAAUAUAUUUUAUUGUAUUUUUAAAUUUUAUAAGUAUUAAAAUAUUUUAUAAAAUAAACCAUAUGAAUAGUCAAUUCUUACUAAAAGAUGUAUUUUAAAUACAAUAAUUAAGUCAUUUUGGCCAAAAAAGUACUUCUAAGGCUUAUUUGAUGGCUAUUAGCCUUGAUCCUUUGAUCAAUGAAGGAAGUAGAUUUUUAGAUAUAUAAUUUUUUAUCUUUUUAAUAAUAUAAAAAAUAUUUAAAUUUUAAAUGGUCAUAAGUAAGUUUGAGCCUCACUAAGGCUCACAAGUAGUAUAUAUGAGUGUCCUAGAUAGGCGACAAUGCCUUAGUCUUAGUCUCCUACCUACAUCCAAGGUGCUACAUUCCAUAUGGAACUUGUGCACCUCCCUUCCUACAAGUACUAUAGUAGCUAUUGGUCCUCUUAUUUUUUUUUUACUAGUAAUUGUUUUUUUUCUUUCUUUCUUUCUUUUAUUUUUUUUUAUUUUUAUUUAUUUUUUGUUUUCACAAUGGUCUUCAAAAAUAUCCAAUCAGCCUAUAAAUCUCUUAAGGCUUCCAAAUCUUGUUCCAUUUCUUUGUAAUAACCUCUCAAGGUUGAUAAAAUAAUUUUUAUCAAAGUCUUAAAAAUUUCUCAAUUUUUUAAUUUUUUUUUAAAAAAAUUAUAAUUUUAUUUUAAUUUAUUUUCUAAUACUAAUAUUAAUUUAAAAUAUUUUUUUUUUACCUUGAUAAUUUAUUUUAAUAUUAAAAUUAAUUUAAAUCAUUCAACAAUGUUAUUUCUUAUAUAAAUAAUUAAAAAGAUAUGAAGUUCUUUUUCAUGCUUUUUUUACCUACUAAAUAAAAUUUAUUAUUGCUUCAAUAAUUAAUAAAUAUGAUUAAAAGAUCAAUAUAAAUAUUGGUCUCAAUUACUAAAUACUAAUUCCUGCAAUUAAAAGAAAUACUAUUUGAAUUAAGAUAUUUAUCUCUAAGACUUACUAAGAUUCCAAUUGCAUAAUUUUUUUUCUAAUAAGACUCUUAUAACUUAUAAACACUUUUAAAUUAUAAUAAAUACUUAAUAAAUAAAAAAUAUUCUAUAAUAUUUAUAUUUUUUUAAUUAAAUAACUUAAAACUAUACUUUUAAUAAUUAUGCCAAUUAAGAUCUAUUUGUAAGACUUACACUUUGGAAUAGCUUUUAUAUUAUUAUGGUCUUCCAUUCAUGUCUUUGCCUUUCUAUACUCUUUUGGUAUUUGAGCAUCUAAUAUUAACAUGUUAUUUUUAAAAAAUUUAGUAAUCACGUGAAACAUUAUGUUAUUAUUAAUAUGAUACUAAUGAUUUAUUCUAUCUAGGAUUAAUGAACUUGUUAUGCUAAAUACUUUAACAACCUCAAUUUGGAAUAUUUUUAGAAUCCUAAUGCUUCAAACAUUACUUUAACAUCUGUUUUUCAAUUUAAGUUUCUAAAUAUUUGCAUAUAGACAACAAAAAUGAAUGAUUGAGUAUUACAAACUAUUAAUUAGCAUUUUAAAGAGUCAAUAAAGACUAAUAUGUUGAAAGUACAAUUUGUAGUAGCUAUGGAUGUUUCAACUCUAUUUCCAAGCUUCAUUCACACAAAAAAAAGAAAAAAGAAAAAGAAAAAUAAAAUAAUAACAUAAAAUAACUAAUAAAAUGAAUAUUAUUAUUUUUUUUAGCUAUUAUAGCAUUGCUAAUUAUUAAGAUACAUAUAAUUAUUUUUGACUAAUUCUAUUAAAUAAUAUUAUAUUUAAAAAUAUUAUAUUAAAUAGUAAGAAAAAAAUUACAUCUAAUUUUGUUGUAGAUAAAAAAUGUAUAUGAGUUUUUAAAUCACAUCAAAAUACUUAGAUUUUCUUAUAACAUUUAAGCUAGAUAAGUCCAUAAUUUUUAUGAUUCUUGAUAAGUGAUUUUUUGGCCUUGUGCAUACAUUAUGAUAGUAUUGAUAGUUUUUUUCAAUUGAUUUAACAAAUGAGAUAAUUUCGAAUACUAUAAUAUAAGAUAUUUCAACAAUGGACAUAAUUGAGUAUUUGAGUAAGCAUAUCUUCAAAUAUUAUGAUAAUCUGCAAUAAUAUUUCAUGUCAUAUAAUUUUAAAUUUUUAUAUAUAAAAAAAUAAUUACUAUUUUAUAUUUUUUAAAGAUUAUUUUUUAUUAAUAUAAAUAAAAUAAGUAAAAAAUAUAUAAUUAAAAUAAUAAAAAAUGAAUCAAAUAGAUAUUAAUUUUGAAUAGAAGUUGUUUGUAUAUGAAUAUAUUUCACUUUGUAUGGAUAUAUACCUCGUUGCUUAAAUUUAGAUAUAAUAAUAAUAGAAAUGAUUAUAUUGGCCAUUUUCCACCUCAAAACAUGCAAUAUAUAAAGUUUUAGGAAAUAUUUAGAAAGAAAUAGUAAUGGAAAAGAAUAAUAAAUAUAUUUGUAACAAAUAAAAAAUAAAAAUCAAAAAGCAUUGCAAUGUAUAAAAUGUGUGAAUAAUUUUGUGAAUAAUUGUGUGAAACAUGAUUUCUUUGGCGUAUCCAAAAAAAAAUAUAAUAUUAUUCAAGCAUUAAAUUAAAAAUAAAAUGGCAAGUUUAAAAUUUAAAAUUUGAUUUCAACAGUGGAUUCAUAAACCUAGAAUAUUAUAUUUGAAUUAUAAGAAAAACAUUUACUACUAAAUAAAUAUGGAGGUUGUCAGUAACAACAAGGUUGUAAAGAAACAAACUUAGAUAAAACUAACCAAAAAGGUUGUGGAGUGGAAUAUUUUCAAGAUAGUGGAACAAUUUAAAAAUUCAUUUCAAAAAUAUGUAGGAUUAAAAUAAAUAGUAUGACAUUAAAUAUAUAUGAUUAAAAUUAAAGUUAAAAAAAUGAUAAGGAAAUAUAUAUAUAUAUAUAUAUAUAUAUAUAUAUUGAAAUCAACAAUAAUAGUGUUUCAACAUUAAAUCAAGUGCCAAAAACCCGAUUAUUUUAUUGAAAUAUCCAGAAAUUCCUUUUAAAAGAAAAGAAAUACUGUGACUUCUUUUUUAAACUACUGAAUAAUAUUACUAUAUCUAUUCAGAUUUAACUAAAAUAAACAUCAAAAUUUUAAACAAUACUAAAAAUUUUAUGUUCUUAUAUUGAAUCAAUAGCUCACUUGAAGUAAGAAUUAUAAAAUUUACAGAAAUAUUAUAAAGAAAACUCUCAAUAUAGCUAAUAUUUCUUUUUAAAAGAAAAAAAUUACGAAAUUUUCUUUUUAAAUAACCAGAAUAUUAGAAUCACAGCACCAAUUAGCUUUGAAGCUAUUCUAAAAUUAUACAGUACUAUUAUAUUCAUACUAUAAAUCCUAAUUCCUUUUUAAAUACACUAAUUCAUAAGGAAUAUGUAUAUGUGCAUCUAUAUAUAUAGAAAGAGAGAUAUGAAGUUAUAAGAAAAUAAGAAUAUAGUUAGUUUUAUGUCUCUUUCAAAGAGAAAAUAAGAAUAUAAUUAGUUUUAUGUCUCUUUCAAAGAGAAAAUAAAUUUCUUAGUAUUAAAUAUUUCUUAUAAAAAAAUGUAACAUAAAUUAAAAUUAUUCUAAAAAUUAAUUUUUGUCUUGUGUGUAUAUAUAUAUAUAUAUAUAUAUAUAUACAUAUAUAUAUAUUUAUGAGUAAAAUAUUUUUUGAUAAUUUUUAAAUAAUAUAUAUAAUAAUAAAAUUAUUUUUAAAUAUUAGAAGUAUCUUUAUAUAAAUUAAAAAAUACAAUCAUAUAAAACUAGCAUUACUACAUUGGCAAGGAUACAAAACAAUAUUCACUUAAGACAACUAAAACACAAAUUAGUAACUAUGUUUCAGUAAAUAUUUUAUUAUAAAACUAUUACUGCAAUUGCUUUUAAAGAAUUUUAAAAAUAAUCUUUAACAAGUCACAAUUAUAUUAUAAUUUAUUUAUUUAAUAAUUAAAAAAAACUAACUUAUUUUACAAGUAAUUGAGAUUGGGCACUUUCAUUAAUACCAUUUUUAUGUUAGUGUAGACUAAAAGUAUAUUUCAUGACAUCUAAAAAUAUAAUGUGUUACUAUCAAAUUAAAUUUAUACUUAUAUUACUAAAUUUUAAAAAAUUAAAAUCAUAAAAAUAGAUUAAACUUAUAGGUAUCUUUUGAUGUGCAAUGUUGCUAUUGAAACUUGAUUUAAUUAUUUUGUUAAUAUAGAAAGAUACAAUAGAAGCAACUAACAACCAAGACACUUAUUCUGCAAGUUGUGUGAUUUUUGUAGAGGUUCUACAUGACUUUUUAUUAAACUAGUAUAUAUAGGGGUUAGUCUAAAGCCAUAUUUUGUCAUAUCAAUGCAUUUAUUGUAUUCUAGUUUGUAAUCAAGAUUCUUUGGUUUUUGUAUUUAGUAAGCUUUCCCAAAAUAUAUCUUUAAAAAAUAUCAUAUUUUUAGUUGUUUAUGUAUUAAAUAUUCUUUAAUAAUUAUUUAUUUUUUAUAUAUAUUUGGUACAUAACCAUAUCUUUAUUUUUUCUUUUUAUUACAAGAAUAUAGAGAAAAAAUCAUAAAAUUUAUGUUUACAAUUUUUUAGAAUUUCAAUAUAUUAUAACUAAAAACAAUAAAUGGUUAAAAAAAUACUAGCUAUUUGUAUAUUUAAAUUUUUUAAAUAUUGACCCAGAUUCUAAUUUUUCUAUGUCUAUUAGAUUUUAGAAUCAAUCAAAUAAUAUAAGUAAUUAAUUUUAAAAAAUUUAUGUAAUUGUGUAUAAAAGAAUAAUUCUUAAAGAGAUCAAUUUUUUCAAUGCUUGUAUAUUUUUUAUUCAAUAAUGUUAUUUAGAUUUUAUAAUUUAAGUUGAUUAUUAAGUUUGAUAAUUAAACUUUAAGGUAUUAAUAUAAAAUAAUAUAUAAUUUUUUUUUAGAUAAUUUAUAUUCUUAGUAUAAGUUUAUUUAAGUAAAAUAAUAUUCUAAGUACUUACUAACACAUAAAUUAAUUUGGAGUGAAGAAAAAACCAAAAUUAGUAAUUAUUGUAAGAAUAAUAAUAGUAUUUAUUUACAUAUUCUUAUUAAUGACAUAUGAAAAUAUUAUUAAAUAAAUUGCAACUGUUACUUAUAUUCUAUUUUUUUUGAGUUGAGAUUUCAUCACUGAAAAAGACUAGUUGGUUAGUUGAUUGGAUUGACUAUGUUUGAAAUAAAAUUAAUUUGUAAAUAUAGAGAUAAUAUUUAAGUAGAUUAAAUGUUAUAUUCUAAAGUUGAAUUUUAGUUCAAAUUCUAAUAUCUAAAACUUAGAAUCCAAGUUUUAAAAGAAACAAAUUAUAAGAAUAGUAAGAAUAAAGUAAUAAUUGUAAAGAGAUAGGUGCUCAAAAAAUGACACUUAGAUGGCUUAGAUUUAUACUAAACCAGAAUGUAGAGUUGUACAAGAAUAUAAAAUUAACUUUUAUAGGAUUAAAAAAAAAUAUUCUAAAUGAGUAGAAGCAAUUGUAAUGUAGGCCUUAGGCUUUCAACAAAAGCAAAAAAAUAAAAAAUUGCAGAUUGUAGUAAUACUAGUCAAGAAGAUGGUUCUUACAUAAUUCAUAUAUUCUACUUAAAAAAUGAUGUACAAAGAAACUAUCCUUGGAAUUGGAUUGAUAAUAUAUUGUAUUAUUUUCAAUAUAGAAUAAACCAAGUGAAAAAUUGAAAGAAAAGAAACAACUUCUCUAGAACAAUAAUAUGUUUUCUAGUUUGGGUAGGAUUGUACAUUUAAAUUAGAUUAGCCUAAUGACAAAUCACAGCCAAGAAAAGAUGCAGGAUACAAACAUUAUCAUCCCAUUGGAUUAAAGUGUAACAUAGUAAUGAAACAAAUAGAUUGCAGCAGUAAAUGUUAACUUAUUUUGAUUGUAAUAACUAACUUGUAGUAGUAAAAAAAAGGUGAAACACAGCCAGCAAUCUAUUAUUUUAUUUUAAUAUAACAUUCUGAACUCUUAUAUUAAUUAACAUUUUUUUUGUAAAGUACAAUAUCUUCAAUAUGUAUAUAUAUAUAUAUAUAUAUUUAUUUAUUUAUUUUUAUUACAAUUGCUUUAAAAUUGGCAUGGUUUAUCAUAAAAAAUUUAUAAACAAUAAUUCCAUAUUAGAAAUAGUACCCAAUCUUUAAAAAUACAUCAGGAGAUGCAAAUGUACAAUAAUAUUUCUCAAACUGAUUUAAGAUAUUUAGUAUUGUGGACAACAUAUAGAAUUGAGUUUUAAAUCAUUUCUUUGUACAUAAGUGGAAGGUUAAAAAAGGGUUGAAUAGUAUUAAAAUAAAAUAAUAAUGAAAGUAAUUACAAAAUUGCAUUUGAUCAAUAGGGAUUUUUGAAAAAUUAAUUAAGAAAAUACUAAACAAGUAAAAUGAAAUUGAGGUGUGUGUCAAUUUGAAAAUAAUACUUCGUGAUGAUAUAUGUUGCUGGAUAUUAAAUAAGAAUACACACGCAGUUUUUACUUUAAUGGUUUGACUUUCAUGAGCUUCUGAAGUUUUUUUUAUUUUUUUAUUAUUAUUUUUUUUUAACUGAUUGUGGAUGACUGUGCAUAACGUAUGGUCUAAAGACAAUAUGAAUCAACAAAAAUGAAACAGUAUUUUAUAAAUUUGGUACAAAUAGUUGAAAAUGUGUUUUAAGAUUGACAUGGAUUAAAAAUUGUUUAUCAUUUUUUUAAAAACAAAAAAAAGUUGAUUUAGAAUUAAAAUUAAAAGAGGCUCAAGUACCAAUGUUAGAAAAAGUCAAGGUAUAAAUAAUACUUUGUAUGAAUAUUAUAAAUAUAAUUUUUUGUAAUGAUUGUUGAAAAAACCAAAAUAAAAAUUCAGUAAAAAACUCUUUUAAAAUGUAACAUUAUAACAAUAAGAAGUAAAGGCCCUUGAAUGACUACUAAAUUAAUAUUUUAUAGAUUUUUGACUAAUUUGAGGGAUUUAGACUAUAGUGUUCUUUGAGGUUGUAAUACAACAAAAAUGUGAAAGGAUUUGUAUAUGACAUGUGCAAGCUUUCAUUAGUUUAUAGUUUUAAGUUCUCCUCAUUUUUCCUAAAUUGGUUUUGAAUUAUUUAAUUGAAUUUUGUAUCAAUAAUAAGAAAUACGAUAAAAAAAAUUCUCGUUAUUAAUAAGCCAUAUAAAGUACUAAACAAUGUUGUUUUUCUAUUCAUAUGAUUUGUUCCUCCACAUUCUAUUAUAGGGGGGCAUUCAAUAAGGAGAAACGGGCCAAAGAAAUUUUCUCCAAAUAACACACACCGCCCACUCUCCUUCCAAAAGAUUGGCCUUUUGUUGUGUUUUUGUUUUGUUUUGUUUUUUUUUUUUUUUUGAAUCUUUUCAAAAUUGUGGAAAAAAAAGUGACCAAUGAUUGAAAAUGGUCCAAAAUAAUUAGUUUAAUAAAUUUCCAAAAGUGGUUUAAAUGAUAAUCAAUUCUAAAUAAUUUCAAAAAAAUAAUAACUUCCUCCUUCUCUACUAGGAAGAGCUUUUUGUAUUAUCCAAUUAUUGUCCAAAUAUCAUGCUAACCUUAUUGAAAAACCCUCCUAAUGCCUAAAAAGGAGUGCUUGAAUAAUAAUUCUCCAAAGUGGAAAGAAUGGCUGUUGAAGAUGGAUCCUUUUUACCAUAUAACACACCCGAAAAAAGGAAUAAAAAUAAAAUAAAAUCAAAACAAUGCACCACGGUCAUGGGAGCCCACACAAUCCCAAACAAUGGACGGCCAAGGGACCACCGGGCGCCCCAACCGAGGUACCGACAGCCCGAAUUCCUAUAAUAGAGCCACGCAUCACCGUGGAGCCCGCCGUUGACCCAGAAAGAGGGAUGGAUGUGAGAUAAUGUCAUCCAACGAAAUGGAUUAUUCAUCCAAUGAUGCACGCAGCACACAAUUCCGCGCACUCACUUAUUGCCGAGCACCGCAACCGGGUCCGCCUGAGCUCGCAGAUCGCUGAAGCUUCCGCUUCAAAUCAUCGGGGCGCUUCGGCACAUCGCCCCAUGAUCUCAACAGGAAAAAAAUUAAUCAGCCUGUGGGUAUCUCGUGUUGCGCUGCUGUUGCUGCUGGUGCUCCGAUUCCUUCCCCCAGCUUGCUUUGUUCAUACUUUUUCUUCUCGCAUUGGAAACCUGACAGCCUGUUUUGUCUGUUGCAUUGGCAGAGGAGACUCUGACCUCGCCCCUCACGCUGAUCGUGUGGUGGUGUCCUGCCAUAAUUUGGGUGUGUUUGAAUCAUCACUCUGUUGGGUUCAGUGAGUGAUUGCUGAGGUCGCUCGGGGUCGCAUUUGAGGUUCUUUACUUGCUGCAUAGGAGGAAUUGGGAGCCCCGGUUCUGGAUCUUCCGGUGAUUUGUAGUUUACGCGCACAGUGGGCGUGUGCGUGUGCGUGUGCUCGUGUUUUUUCAUGAAUGUGGUGAGGGACUUGCCGUUUAUGGUAUUGUGUUUAACCUUUGGCAGCGGUAGAGGGAGCUGGUAAAAAUCAGCGACUUUCUUCGACGUUUGGUUAGUUUGAUGACCGAGUUUUAGAUGGCCAGCAGAGGUCUCCAGUUAUCUCUUUGGACUAAGUGAUGUACUUUGCCAACACCCAAUUUUUUUUCUUUUUUUUGAAGGAUAUCGAAACUAGUUUUACACGGUCUUCUCUAGCUCUGAAUACUUGGAAUUAGAGAUCCGCUAAUCGAUUCAAUCUUGAAGCCUUAGAUCCGAAUUUUAGGUUUAUCUAGGGUUAAAUUCAAGAUGUCGAGGCGACAUCGAUAAUCCUCUAUCGCCGUCCAGCACUGGAUAAAAUCAGCAAUCUCUCGGUUCGUCUCCCCCACACUUUCACUAUGACUACAUUCGAUUUCAUGAAGCAGCGGUUUGCAGAUGCCUCGGAGCACCAUGCGGUGAAGAAAGUCGGCUCAGCGUUGUUCUACAUGCUCCUGGCAGUGUUAGCCCUUAUUAUGACGGUCAUGAUCUGCGGGUACAUCAUCUACACUAUUAGCUUCAUCGUGCCCCCCUACUUCCAUUUCAUGUACGUCCAUGGCCCUUACUCUUUCUUGGUGCUGCUGGGCUUGUGGACCGCCGCAGUCGUGAGGUUUUUGUCUCUGUCUCCUGAGGAUCCCUUGUCUUUCAAAUGGGAGAUAUCCAUGUACGCUCUCUCCACAUUCGUCAUGUUUACAGGAGUGGGUGCCUUUGUGGUUUUGCCCUUCGUUCACCACACAAAUUGAGACCUGCACAACAAUUCAUGAAUUACUGGUCAGAUCUCGAUUGACUAAUCGUACUUUAUGCAAUUGAUUGCACCCAAUUUGCGGCCAUUGGAUUCAAAUAUGAAUUCAGCUGCGGUAUAUAACGAAGAGGAUGUACACCUCCAAUCUAUAGACGAUGAAGACGAAAUUGAGUUGGAAAUGAGCACGAUUGUUCCUUCCGACUUCGUGUGCAGAACACUUGCCACACUAGUUCUAGUCCCAUUUUGAACUGCAUUAGAAUACUGGCAAUAGCUAUGUCCGAGAAUAGUUACUUUCAGCUCAGCUUGCCAUGGCUUGUUGAAGGAGCUUCAAGUAGUGUAGCAUUGAUAACAAAGUAACAGCUUCUGAGGUCAUUUCGAUUGUAGUUGAUAUCCAGCUUGUAAUUAUUUGGGAUGAUUUGGCAAGAAGCAUGUGCUGGAAUUUACAUGACCUCGACAGCACAUGCUUAGGCUGAGACUAGAAGCUGUUGACAUACUAUCUGAUCAGAGCAGAGCAGAGCGGCUUAUCUUACGCCUGUUUUUUCAUCCAAUUCUACUUUCCACCGCCCAUGACCAGCAAGAAAGUCUAUGAAAUUUAGGCCACUCUUCAAGUUUUCAUCGGCCACUACUUUCUACUUAAGUUGAGGGCAACUUCUCGCUCAAAGACAGAUGCAAUGCCUCACCUGCUCCUCCGAAUCUUUGAUCUCAACUUACGUGGCGAGGUUUACGAAGUAUUGCUACUUUUCUGCUUUUUGCAUCAUUUCCAGAGUCACCUACAGCCUUCAGCAGGCAUAUCUUGUGGGUCCUUCGAUGUCGAUCUUACCUCUUGGACAUGUCUCCUCAACUUGGUGUCUCUAGAGGUUUGUCUAUGGCCCCACUGGCCUCACGAAUUCAAGCACCGUCACUUCUUUACCUCCUUAAUUGUUGUCCUGAAUCGCUCUAAGUCUCUGUCGUGAUUGCCAUGAAUCCUUGUAUACCCCAUGAAGUAUAUUCAAUCAAUCUCAUUCUGACUUAAUCAAAAAAACAAAUGGAAGCCCAAUAAGCACUUGGAUACGUGUGCAACCUCUCCCAACAAAAUUUUGAAUCAGCCCUCAUCCCAAAAGCAAGCCUUGCAGUAUUCCAAAAUGCGCCCCCUCUUAUCAUUGGUUCAACAAAGACAAAUCACCUGCAUGUGAUAUUGCAACGCUGAAUCGUCCUCUUGUUACCCUACUCGAAUUUAUUUUAACAAGAUCCACUCACUUUUCUCACUUUCCUCACUUUCCUCACCUUCGGUGUCUUCCAUGUGAUGCCAAUUUACGCUUCCUGAAGAGGAAAAAAGUGCCUUCACACUGCAAAGUUGACUGAAAUAGUUGGUCAGCUACUUUUGCAUCUUAGCUUAAGAAAAGCGAGAGAAAACAUGCACAACGUACCUGCGUGUGUUCAAAGAUAACAAAUAUGGGCCGUGCUCAUUUCCCGGUUCGGAAAACCAGGUUCAGGGGCUGCAAUUCCUACCGUUCCAGAACUGCUUCAGAAGCCACACAUGUAAGUCCAUUCUUAGCUACGUACUGUUGAGAAGCCACUGUGCCUGAUGGUGGAGGCUUGUAGCUUCAUGUACACUCAAAAUGAUCGUCAGUUCAUUUAGUUUGGAUUUUAGCCAAAAAAGAGAAGGCACGGAAGCCUAAACACAUCACAUUAUUGUUCACUCCUGUUCAUCAGCUUGCAGAUGAACAACAGUGAUGCAUUCGCAAUGUUUAACUUAACUUAUUGCGAGUUCAUGUGACACUUCUAGUGUUGCCGAACCAGUUCUACACAGUUAAUAUUUCUCCAGCUACAUAAUUCUCUACAUCUGAUUAUGCCUCACAACAGUCACAAUUGUUCUCAGGAUUCUUCACAUUAAUUGGACUUGACAUCUCUCUAUCAGUAUAUCUGAGCAGAAUGUCGCCGAACACAAACCUGCCAGGAUCUUCUACAUGCAUCAACACUUGCAGGUUUUUGGUUCAUUAAUGUAUUGUUGUCCUGUCGCAAUGUCUGAAUAUCCCAGGAAUAAGCCUGUGAAGCCCUCUGUUUAAGAUUCUUCGCUCUCAAUGAACUAAAAUCAGCUUUGUUUGUGAAUCAAAAGGUUCAAUCGUUUGUAAAUAUCUCAUGCGGUAUCUAACUGUUAAAUAACUUAGCUUUUUAUGUUAAAUUUGAUCUAUGUGAUGAUUGGUGGGUAGUUUUUUAAUCUCAAUUUUGUUGAAUACCUAAGUUCGAUAGAUUGUGAUGUGCGAAUGAUCUUUUAUCUUUUUCUUUUUCUUGGAUGAUUUUGGUAUAAUUAUUUAAAGUCUAUCCAGAUGAAUUUAAAGUUAUUGUUGAAACUUACGAUUUUUUUAUAAACAUAUUUUUUAGUUUGUAAUUCUUUUGCCAAAAGAAAGUGGGUGCAUUAGUUCCAAUUUAGUUAUAUUCUUUAUUUUAUAGUUUUCUUUCUUUAUUUUAUAUACUUCACAUGUUUUAUAUUGCAUUAUCAUAUUGAGUAAUGAAUAAUAUUUUCUUCUUUCAUUAAAUCCAUCAAUAAAACCUCAAAGCUCAAUAAUUUUACACAGUUCGCAAUUGCAAAUUUAAAGUACAUGUACAAAUCAAUAUAUUUCUUUUUGAAUACUUUCACAAUCAAAACUAUUAUUUGAAUUUAAAAUCUCCAUUUUUUUUUUUUAGUACACCAUAAAAAACACUAGAUCAUUGAACAUCUUGUACAUCAAUGUUUUUUGUAUUAUCCAUGGAUGCUCAUUAGAAAAAUACAACUAUUGACCAUCAUGAACUUAUUAGUCUUUUUCUUUUAUAAUAUUUUUCUUCAGGAGUAUAAAUUGUUGAUGUCAAUGUAUUUUUUAUUCAUAAACUCUUGAAAAUUUAGACCAUUACUCCCCCCCCCCCCAAAAAAAAAAGAAAAAGGGCAUAAUAAUCUUGAAUUACAGUUUUGUAAUUGUUGUAAUGGACAUUGCUGCCAAAGUUUAUUUUUAUUUGAAUCCACCAUAUGUAAUCCCAAAAUCUUGUGUACCACGAACAUAUGUAUUGAAAAGUUUUCAAACAUUACAAUCUUUAUGGUGGACAUCAAACUGAAAGUCGUCAACAUUAUUGGUUACAAAUGCAACAAUAGACCUUGUAAAACGACCAACAACGGGAAAACUUCCCAGGAGUUCCGUGUGAGUAAAAUGAGCUUCCUUGAACAAGGCACACUGUUAAAACCUGAACUGAAUUUCGUUGCAACGAGCAGAAUGGGAAAAAAAUAAAAUAAAAUAAAAAUCAUGUGGCCAAUACCUCUUGAGGAAUGAAGCCAGUUGUCAAGUUUUCAACAACCAGUGCUCCUGAAAGAAACGUGGGAGCAUCGGAGAGAGAAGACAAGUUCAUAAUACAACAGUCAGUCACAAUGCCAGUACAUGGAUGAUUGAAGGUUCUUCAGUGUGAUGGAUUGCGGUGGUUAUGCUUUAGAUCUGUUUCUGCAGACUUGCUGCAGAUGGAAUAUCUUGAAUCGUAUCAGUUCAUGUGCAUAGGCUGGUGAUGGUCCAGAUUCAUUCAAGCUUUGCAUCACGAUUCCACCAGAUGGUUUCGCCGUAAACGGUUACAUUCAGUCAAUUCUUUCACAUGCUUGCACAAGUCGUAUGUGAACGUGGGUUAGCACAGCAGUUCACAACUUUGCCAAGUUAGCAAUGUUGAUGAUGCCAGAGAUGAUGGACAGAUUGAUGAAAAGCGUCGUCGUGCCGUAGACUUUGAUUGUCACUAGGAUUGGAGGAUAUGGUUACGGAGUAGAAGCCAUGCAGGUGUUCGAACAAUGUAGGCUGGAAGAGUAAGAUGACAAUUUUGGGCGUUUGCGAGUGUCCUGGCAUGCUGGUUUCGUCGAUUAAGGAUUGCAUGAUUUCUAGUUGAUAUUUUCAUAGAUGAGGUCUUAAGUUGACUAUAAUACGCUUUCGGUCAGGUGGACCGAUUGGAAGAAGCAGUGAACCUUUCCAGGGCGUGCCACUCAGCUGAUGCACCAACCUCGAAAGUUGUUUUGUCAAGGUGCAGUGGAAUAAUGCAGAUAAUUUAAUAACGGCUCGGUAACGUUUACAAACUCCCGAAGGCCCCACCAAACACAACUUUCAAUCACCUCAGAGUUCAAAUCUAAGGUGAUUGAGAGAGAAACGUCCAGCGAUUCACGUCAUUUCAGUCACUUUAAAGAAGGCAUGUUUUCUCAUGGUUUGUGUACUGGAAAUAAUAAAAAGCUGGCCAUACGAGUUCGCAAGGGAUUUUCAGUAGAUGAGGGUCAAGCAGCACAAAGCAACAUCACUCUGACUGCUCUUUACUGGAAACAGUACUAACAUAGAAAAGGUUUCUAGUCACAUAAAUAAAAAGACAUUUUUAUGUUGUUCAGUGUCAUUUAUAACUUAUGCUGCAGCUGACAGGGUAGUUGAAUCAUCUCUCUACCCUUGAAAUGUUCUCCCCGGUGGCGGAACUUCCAAAUUCUUUUAGAAUUUUGUUGCCAACACUAUCCUCUCAAAGAGCUCUAUGGCGCCUAUGUAGGCACCAGUUGGUUGAAACAAGUUCAAAUGUGUUCAGAUGGGUGUGGUUAGGCAACCUGUGAGCAUGUAGUUCAGUGUCAGUUUUCGAUUUUGAGAAAAGAAAAAUUGAAACCCCACCGCACAUUGUAAGAACCGCCCCUGUGAAACUCUGCGCUUUCUCAUUCCUGGUCUGUAAAAUCACCUUGAAUGAAGCAAUCACAAACCACAGAAAAUGCGCCAUUCUUAGUCAUGGUUUCCCGACAAAUUAAGGAGGCAAAAAACCUAUGCUCCACUAUUUCACGGACUCAACUACCACUCGUGUUCACUUGCGCACAUGAUCCGCGCUGUAGUCGUUUGCAGAUACGAUAACCUCGUAGGUAACAACCUACACAGCAAGAGUGCGACAUAUGAUGAAUGUUAGACCGAUAGUACCUCAUAGCAGACGCAGGUUUCAGUCUACGAAGGACCAAUCCUCAUGCUACAGUAACGUUUAAUACAUUGAUAAUUACGUUGUAAUCCAGCAUCAAGCACGUUGGACUCACAAAGCGUGGAGAGGAGUGUUCAGAAUUCAUGAAAUGUGGAAGCGGGAACGGACACUUCCUCCUCCCAAUUCAAGCCUUCACCAGCUUUGACCGACUCCGCUUGGGGUGCAAUGAGCACGACUGGAGUUUCCAACGGCGGCGGCUUCAUAUGGCGGAGGAGCGACCAGUUGAUGCCACUAAAGAAUGGAUGGUUCUUCACAUCGUUGGCGCCGUUGCGGGAGCCAAGCCGUUUGUUUGGGUUACGUUGCAGAAGGUCCCGCAUUAACUGUCGCACAAGUAUGCUUACCGGAAUGCUUGUCGGGAAGAUGAGGUCUCUUUGGAGCACAUUGGUGAAUGUCUUUUGUCGAUUUUUCCCUCGGAAUGGUGUUCGACCAUACAGCAUUUCGUAGAUUAGGAUCCCUGCCAGUGCAAAAGUCUCGACAAGAUGUGAGAUUGGAGUGGUUAGGGAACUGCAAGAGAGAAAGUGAAUGACCGUGGAAGAAAUGCUUACCGAGCGCCCACCAAUCCACGGCGCUGCUGUGACCAAGUCCAGUGAUAAUUUCCUGUACAGCAAUUCCGAGAGGCGAUAUUACACACUUUCCAUAGAAGCGAUGUGCAAAAGACGCAACUAACAUAGAGAACUAAUGCAGAGACUUACAGGCGCAAUGUAUUCUUCAGUACCCACAAAGGAGUUCGAACAAGUCGCGGGUUCUAUGAAGAAUAUCGGAGGAGGGAAAUGUUUUGGCUUUCUGCGGCGGCCUGGAGGCAGAGCUUGUUCGACGAGCUGCACGAUUGCCAACAAUUCGUUACGCUCGCAGAAGGCACAAUAACAAUACAGCUUUGAGAAAGACGAAGAAUGGAGGCAAAUUGGUUUCGAGUAUCUAGUCUUCACAUAAACAAAUUGGCGGAACGCACCCUAGGCUUCGCCGAUGUCAAGAAUGACAAGUCAAAGUCCGUUAGCUGUAUAUGCCCGUCCGCUUGGAGCAAGACGUUUUCUGGCUUCAGGCCCCGGUACACGACGCCUGUGUUCCACGCGAGCCACAAGUCAAACACAAAUGUACACAAAUUGCCGGUCCCUCGUGACUAAAUCAUGCUCAAUCCUAAUUUUUAGUGAAGAAUUCUGCAUCUGAAUGUGAUGACAGUCCUUACCAACGCAAUGCAGAUACUCAAGAGCGAUGACGACUUCGGCCGCGAAGAAACGGACCACGUCUUCGGUGAACACUUUUCGCGGUUGCUGCUCGAGGAGCAAGAAGAGUUCACUACCAGGGCAGAAGUCGGUGAUCAAGCAAAUGUGCGUCUUCGUCUGCACAAUGUCGCAACCUCCGCACUCAAGCGUGAGAUGUGUUUAACCUUAAGAUCAAUUGUUUCAACCCCAGUAUGAGGAAAUUUACUCAAAAACUGAUACAUCGAAACAGAGGUAGAGAACAAGGGAUCUGGAAGGUUGUGUAUAGAGUAGGCAGAAACGGAUGAUCCACCAAAUCCAGAAUGUCCCGCUCUGCGCGUGCUCGGUGCACCUUGUUCCGCAGCAUCAUCAAACUUUUGUCCAUCGCUUUCAUGGCGAACACCAACCCCGUCUCACGAAGCUCCACCAAAUGCACACUGCACAGCAGAGCAAUCCGUUAUCAAAACCAUACUAACGACCAACAUCCAAACCCAAAUAGCAUGGAAAAGUAUUGCACAAUGGAGAAGAUAACUGCACACCCAAAGUACCUUCCCGUGUCACCGGACCCCAGAGGCUUGAUUGGGCGAAAGUCUUUCAAUCCUAGACUUCGCCCAUCAUUCGUUAUUUUUCGAAUUACAUCCCAAGCUGGUGAGUCUUUCCUGUGCGGCUUCGGGUGCACAAGCAGUGAAUGCGUGAACCACAAAUCAGCGGGAUUCUUGCGCACGCAACCCAACAAACUCGUGAGUAAUCUGCUUAUUGAAAGCAAGGAGGUAAUGAAGAUCCAAGGAUCUGAUGCGUGAAUGAACCAGAAGUAGUACCAUAUUAGCAUCGGGAAGCUCCCGCAGGGCGCCAUCGAUGUUACCAGCCGUCUCUUGCACUUCUUUAGUCCCCUCUUUCUCAGUUUUCUUGGGCAACCCACGUCUCUCCGGUUCAAGAUACUCGCUGCCAUCGAGCUGAACUCCAAUAAAGUAUUGCAACUCUCCCUGCAACUAACCGGAAGUACAUGAGAAAUUCAUCUCUUGCUAUUCAUCAAGGUACUGCUGCAAUUACUUAGGGUUGCAGAUAGAAUGCGAAUAACUCACAUUAUGAUCUCGCAUACUCUGCAAGUGGAACAGAUUCCAAAACGGCUUCCCUGCAGCACCACGACUUCGACAGUUAGUCAAGAUUCCAUCGUCUGAUUCAACUUUCACAAUUUACCACAAGCCGGAAUAGCCUGUAGAAUCUUUGUGUUAUCAGAAACAGAACUCCUGCAUGAAGCGUCCAACACUUACCACUCUUGGUGUAAUUGAGAAGCUGCACUGUGAUGUCGCGACGGGCGGCAAUGGCAUCGCGGAUUUGAUCAACGACAGCGCGGUCUGUGUCUGGUCCUUGUAAGAACCGGCAAUUUCUGCCGAGAAUCUCCUCUCGACUGUACUCUGUCAACUCCAGAAACUCGUCGGAUGCAAAUAUCUGCCAUUUGUGUGGCAUGAAACAAGCUUAAUUGCAGGGUCUGAUUGCUGGAGGACAGAUGGUGCAAAAACUUUCGAGAGAAUAAACGUGGCUGUACUUACAAUUGGAUUGUCUGGAAGGCGAGGAUCAGUAAUCACGAAAUUUUUCGGAAUACGUUCUAAAGUAGUUGCCAGAUCAAUACCACGUCGAGUCUUCUUACUCCUCUCAACAUCAACUUCAAAACUCUCCGGCCGGUCUUCGUCGUCCAGCAUUCUCAGCUCAGGAUCCAAUUCGGGGUCCGGUAAUGCAGGCUCCGAUUUCCCCAACCUGCACAGAGUCGCAUCUCUAAUCAGAAAACCACUGUUACCACCAAUUUUAAUAAUGUAACAUGGGCCAUACAGCAGACGUACCCAAGGAGGGACAAAAACCCAGACGAUCGCCGAUUUCGCCGUAGAGAGUGCGCGAGCUGAUCAUUCUCGGGGGUAUUCGAAAAAUGAGAAUCACUUCGCAUCAUGACGUUUGUGCUGGUCGACCGUCGUCGUGAGGAAUCAAUCUGACGACCUUGGAAUGUGGGCUUUGUAUUCGUCACAGAAUGGGCCAUGUCAUUCUCUGUCAGCAUCGAUGGCGUUGGUUUCAGGCUAGAAGUUGGUCUUUUUGUGGUCAAUGUUAACGCUCCCGAGUUCUUCAACGCCAUAACUAGGUCGCCAACAGCUUCCGCUGCCUUGUCUUGCAGUCUUACGUCGUAACGGAUCAGUGAUUCGGGCAGGCCGUUAGGACGCAACGCCUUCUCCUUCAAGCCAUCCGUGUGCUUACUCACCUCAACCUGCAUUCUGGUCUCCAAUUAUCAAAUCCUCAUCAACGUUAAAUUAAUCGGCAGUGUGAGCUCGAAUCGAGUCUGUGGAGACUGAAUGGAUUCUCUACGCUGCAGAACAACUAACCCGAUAUAUUUCAGAACUUUGCCGGCAUCGUCCUUGAUCGGGGUCAUGGUAAGCAGGUUCCAAAACGCGGAACGAUCCUUCUUGUAGUUGAGCAAGCGGCCGCAGAAGUUCUUGCCCUGCUGGAGUGCCUCUCUGAUACUCGCAAUGUCCGCCUUGUCAGUUUCAGGGCCCUGCAAGAAACGGCUGCUCCAAAGCGUACACAAUUAGCUAAGUGUGCAUCAAUAAUAGGCCGAGCACAGAAGGAAUUACAGCACUUCAAGAAACUGCGAACUUACCAGCUACGGCCGAUGAUCUCCUUCGGCGUAUACCCCGUCAUGGUAAAGAAGCCUGCACUUGCAUACAAGAUGGGAAAGUCGGGUUGUACAGCAUCACACACCACGAAGGUCUGCUGGAAAGUGGACAGAGCAUCCCUGACUUCGCGUGAGACCCUUGGCACGUUAGAUGCAUGACUUACGUCGCUGCCUGCAUCUGACCUUCCUGCGUCUGACGCCUCCGAAGUUCUCAUCGAUGCUGGGAGUUUUCCGAUGCAGAUCAAUCUGUGGGGAUAGCGCAGCUUCAGAUUCUUGCUCUCCUUCUGCUACCGAAUUGCCUCCGAACAAAGUUCCUGCCGCUCGAAGAUAGCAGGUACUCGUGGGCGCGCCUCCGAAUACCUCCAAGGAUUUUCGCUCUGAACGUGGGGCAGCAUUGUACCUGCCGCGUCCCCACGAACGCCCUGAGGCGGCAGCCGCCAUCCCAACCUUGGCGCUUGAGGAUGAUGGAUCCUGGUCCUCCAUCGUGCUCUUCUAACAGCAGCCUUAUCCCAACACCUGCACAACCAUUGCCAAGUCAGCAAUUAUCACCAAGACAUGCCACCUUCACAGAUUCUGCCCUGCAUAAUUUGCAACAUAUGAACUAAUCUCCUUAGUGGUCGAAAUGGCUUGUCAUACAUAUCGAUGACUUCACAUGAAAAUCUAGCAAAUGGAUACUACGCUCGUCUUACGCCCUCGGGAAAUGAAUACUAACAAAUUAACCAAUGAGAAAAACAAUGUCGCUGCGGCGAUUACUCCAAGAGUGAAAUACCUGAUAAAACAUUUUGUAACUCACUCCUACCUGAAGCUCGCAGCGGAAGGGAUGCAGAACACAAUCUGAAAUAUGGGAGUCGACACCCCCGGAUUCAACACGCAUCGCCGUUUGGAGAAAUUCUGGUCAUGCACUUUAUAAUCCCAACGGUCACAUAAAUCCAAGUAGAGCGUCCAAAAAAUGGUUCAACGUCGUUGACUAUACUGCGAACACACUGCACCCACUCUCUCACCAUGGAUUCUUGAAAAGCCAACAACACGACUAGCUCCUCACAAUGUCCCAGCUCCCCGAUGCACCCCGGCGGCAGAAGACACCAAAGUGGCCACCUGCCCAGCUCGCCUUCCCACGCGCACAGCAGGAAGGCAACAGAAGGUGGUGAAAAUGCUAUAUUUUAGAGGAAACGGCCAUGCACCACGUGAAGCCGACAGGACACCAUGCGCCUCCACUUGAGAAAAUCGCCAACGCCUUCACAACGCAAAUUUCGAUGCGAUUUGCGCACUGUUGACAUUGAACCUGACUGGUGGCCUCCUCUCUGUCUUUGUCAGAGAAUAUAAGCUAGCCUGCGCGGUAGGCUCUUCAUCGCUGCCCAGUUGGAUUCACGUUUUGCAGCUAAGCAGCCAUGAUGACUGCAAUUUUACCAAACACUUGGAUCAUCUCUUGAAUGCGCUUGCAGCAACCGCCAUGUGGAGAUCUCUCGUUUGCUCAUUCAAGGAUUGAGCCCGUUGCUCAGUUGCACGUAGAUGGCUUUCUGGUGAUUGCCUAUUGGCUUUCUUAGGUCCAUAGACUAGCAACAGCAGCAGGAUUUUCUUACAGGGUGGGAGAGGGGUUUGUGGUGGCGGCGGCAGCGGCGGCUGAUAUGUUGGAUCGAACACCUUCGCUAUGUUUCCUCCCCUUCGACAUAUCGCCCAUCAUCCAACAAGCAUAUCGUAAUUCAUCGUUAGUAAACAAAAGAAUACCAAUGUGUAAUUUAUAAUUUUCAGUUAUUAUUAUUGUUCAUAAGUCAUGCAUAAUUGCAUCACCUAAUCACUUCACUCUGUCAUUUAACAAGCUAGAGUUUACUUGUUGAUAAAAUUUGAGGUGAAAUACUCUACUUGCCAGUGUAUUUGCAAAGUAAAUUCAUGAUGUAUUGUAGAACGUUUAAUUGUGUGGAUAAUAGCUGCAUUUGCCGCAGCAACUCUUUGUUGUGCUAUGAAUCAUCAAUUUUUAUUAAGGUUUCCUCAUCUUUAUUUUUUCCAUGUACACACUCCUUCAAAAAUCCAUGAUUUCUGACCACAUUCUGGAUGGAUUCGUUCAAAUCUCUACCUGGCUAAAACACAAUUUUCACCUGUUUUUGUUGUGUUUUGAAUUUAAUUUGGAAACUUUCCUAGGCAAAGCUGGCUCUGGAUUGUGGAUUGUGGAGCGUGCAGUGCGAGGUCUCGUGGGAUGAAGCGGACAUCAUGUGGAAAAUAGUUCACAUGCAGAUGCAAGAGGCGAACAGGCUCGGUGUGGACGUCACUACGGAGGCAGAGACGCUUCGAGUAACUCCAAAACCCAAAACCAAACCCGCAGGCAGGCUCCACACGGGCGUCAGCCGGCAGCUUCUGACGCUUUGCGAAGGUAGUCAUAGCUCUCGGUCUACCUACAGGGGCUGAGCUCACUCAUUGCAGUUUCUGUGGGACCCUCCGAUGCCAGAAUUUCUUACCUCGAAGCAGCUGCAGUAACCAAAGCGCUUGCCCAUAGACCUUCGAUUUGCUCCUGCCAACUGAAUCUUGCUGAUCGCAGCUGCCGGAUCUCAUGCAAGGUAUAGCAUGAAACGCCGUUUGCAAAAAAAUACCCCCCACGCAGAUUCAUCUCGUACUAUGCAUUUGAAAUGGAAACAGUGGCAAGUCGGUUUAGCAGCUUGGAAGGAUGAUGCUCUCGCUCAACCCAGUCAAUCAAAACUCAAUAUCUAUGAACGCAUGGCAUGCUCACCCUUGCUUCGUAUCGCUCUUCCCUGUCAGCCCAUGAUGUGGGUACGAGAAGAUCCUCCACGAGGCACGUCAAAGCCACGCACUGUGGCUGGACUGCGAAGCUCUGCGAUCUCGCACGGGCUGGCUGGAUCCAUGCACCCAGCUCCUUUAACACCAGACUGUCAGGGUGGGUGCGGUGCGGCGAGGGUAGUCCAGGGUGAAUGUCAGGCCUGGGGGACGAGGGUGGCGAUGGAGCAUGGAUUCUGCACUUCCUCUGCUCUGCUGCAUUUCUCUGCUGUGUUUUUAGGAUUGUGGAUUCUCUCGCAGGAAUUUUGUGAUGGAGCAGGAAGAUCAUGCCCUCGUGGUUUCACGGGACGUAAGCUCUUGCAACUCUGCCGCUUGUCGGGGAUUGCAUCGGACCAACUCCAUUCACUUUAAGAGAUGGUUUCCCACUUUACGAAUGAAACAUAACAAACAAACUGUAAAGAAGUUGAAGCAAAUAGAAAGAAAAUAAAUAAAUAAAUAAAAGUUAAAUAUUAACAACAACAAAAAGAGAGCAGUAGUAGGAGAGGUGGAAUAGAAAGUGGGGAUAUUUAAGUUGUCCUUAGUGGGUAACUUUGAGUUAACAUUUUCAUUGAUUGAUACAAUGAUUCACUGUAAAAUGCAUACAUGUUGAAUAAGAACUAGCAGUAAGAAUUUAAUAUGUUAAAGAAAAUAUCAUCAUGUCAGCUCAGACGGCUCUGGGGGACAAGUCAGCUCGGCAUCUUUGCUGCCAGCAAGGACAACGGACCACUUGGCUGCCAUGUCAGCAAAUUUGACUCCCACUUGUACCUGGGGAUUACCAAACUUGCCCUUGGAAAGGGAUUGUGGAGCAACUUCCAAACCCAAUGCCACAAAUGGGCACUUUAAGAGUGUUGAUAUUUGUGGUACAUUCAUCUCUUUUGAUCAAGAAAGUAAAAGGUACACAUCAUGCAUAUUUGUACAAUUGUAGACAAAAUCGCCCCAGUUCUUAUACUUUUACUUAAUGUAAUGAACACUAAUUCUAUUUUUAAUUUUAGGGGGUGGAACAAUAGUUUAUUUAUUUAUUUUGGUAAAUUAUAGAUGUGUAAAAGCAUGUAGUCUUCACCACUUGGAUAAACUUGUUACUUGUAGAGUGGAUGUGAGAGAAGAUGAUUAAAACCUAUCUACAUGGUAAAACUUUCAACAAAUAACUUUAAACUUUGCAAAAUAAACUAAAAGCUGGAUAUUUAUGGAAAUCUAAUUAAAAUAAAAAAUAAAAAAAUAAAAAUCUUAAUGUUUAUAUUUUAAGAUGUAUUUUUUAUUAUUAUUGAAUUAAUUUUAAUAUGUAAAGUAAUAUUAUUUUGUUUCAAAUAAAGUCUUUUCCAAAUAACAUGUGAUGAUUUGAAGAUUGCUUCAUAUCAUAUUUAUCACAUCAUAAUGAAUCAGAAUUUAACAUUAAAUAUAAUAAUUACAUUUAAUGGUAUUCUACGACUCUUAACAAAUGAAAUCAUAAAUGAAAAUAAAGAAAAAUGUAAGAAAAGAAAAGAAAAAAUAAAUCAAAAAAUCAAAAAAUCAAGCAAUGAGGGAUUAAGCAGUCUAACAAUUUUGUAUAUGCAAUGACUUAGUUGCAUAUUUUGCAUAUUUUAUCUUUUGUUUUAUUAUUUUCACAGAAAAAUUAUUACAUAUUUUUAAUUUUUUAAUUAUACAUAAUAUUGUAAUUUUUAGAAUGUAUGUUAAAUUGAAUUUUAUUAUUGUAAUAAAAUUUUAUAUUAUACAGUGUUUCCCAUUUUAAUUAAUAUCAUCCACUGCAAGAAAAAGUAUUAAUUACUAGAGGUUAAUAAUCUUUAAAGAUGGCUUGGUGAAGGUAGGAUAGAAAUCAUGCUUGCUAAGGCCUUACAAUCUAGGUUGUGUACUUUUAGCAUGGCAACCAUGUGGCCCUGCCAAUUCUUUGGUCUUGCCUUGCCUAAUCAAGUAUAGCCAUGUAGCCCUACUAGCCGCAUGGUCUUUGUUAAUUGAUGAAAAUUAAUUAAUUAUUAGAAAUUAGAACGUAUUAAUUAUACACCAUUAAACAGUCAAUUUUCAAAAUUUUAAUUAAUUAUUAGUGGUUAUUAGUUUUUGGGAGAUUAGUUACUGGAAAAAAUAUUGUAGUUAUUACUCUCUUGACUACAAAAUAUAACAUACAUCAAUAAAACUAUACUAUAUUAUUUAAAAUAUUUUUUCUAAAUCUCAUGCAUUCAAUUUAAAUACUACAUAAAAUAAUAACAACAAUGAAAUCACUUUGAUAAAAACUAAAACAAUAUAUUGUGCACUAAGACUACUUUUGUAGAUUUUGUAAUACAAUAUUUGUUUGAAUUAAAAUCAAAAAUCAAAAAUCAAUAAGAUUUAAAACUAGAUGUAUGUGUGUGUAUAUAUAUAAUUGAUAUUAAUAUUAAAAUUAUAUUUUAUCUAUAUACAAAAUUACAAUCUUAAGCACCCUCUAAAUAUUUUGACAUAUUUGUACCACUUUUUAAAGGUCUUUAUAAGUCUUAAAAAAUCUUCUAAGUUAUGUUGUAAUUGUCUAAAAGUUUCUUAGAACAUUUUGUAAUCUUUUUAAGGAUACUUUAAACUUUAUAUUUAUCUUAGCUUUUUAUAGUUUGUCAGAAGUUUCCAAAAAACUUAUUUAGAUAUUAACAAACAUAGCUUACUAUUUUGGAGUAGCGAGUCGGCUGCAAAUAGGCAGCAGGUGGAACAAGACUCUUUUUAAAAAACAUUGGUUUUAUUUUGGAACUUAAACAACUUCAGCAAGAAAUGGUUUAUUUUGGAGAGAACAUUCCCUCAAUAUUGAGAGAUAUGGGGGUUGAUCCCAAGUGGCAGCAUAGAGGGCAUAGGUUUUCACUGUUCAAAGUUGAGAUGUUUGUUUCGCACUAUGUCUUUUCUUUGUAGAAUUCUUUAGAUUGGACUUUGUUGUUCUCCUCUCCCUUGGCCUAUGGGUGAAUAUUGGAUCUUUAAGUUCUCUUCUAUUGAGGUGCUCCCAAAAUGGACAGGCAUGCAUGCACGUAGGAAUUUUGUUUUUUGUUUUUUGUUUUUUUUUUUUGUUCUUUUUAAAAAGGGCAUCCAACUUCCAAUUGAAAGACGGUUUUUAAUGUAUAUGUAUGUGCAUUUACAGAUAAAACCAUCGGAUUUUACAAUAUGAUGACAUAAACUUGAAACUAAAUAAUUCUACGAACAUGAAAAAGAGAUCCUGAGGGAUAUUACAUGGAGAGUUUGUUUCGUAGUCAAACUACAACGUUUGACGAAGAAUUCACAAGCUUGAACGUUUCAGUAUGGCAGUGAUUUCAAACUGGUAAUCUCCGGAAGUGAGUGAGGACAGAAAAGACAGAUAAUGGAUACAAAACAUCAGAGUAACCUGUAGCAAUCGGAUUCAAAAAAGACUAGCAUGAUUUGUCAACAUUUGACGCUGACGAAAACCACACCUUUUAUUAAAACCACCCUAUUGCAGGCAUCCCUAGUUCGUACUACUAAGUUGGAUAUUUUAGUGACAACCUCACUAGCCUGAUUACCAGAGACGACAAAGGACACUAAAGAAAAUUGUGCAACUACGGUGAGGCAUUAUGGGCCAACAAAACUAUGUGUUAUGAAUCAUUGUGGAAUUUGUUAAUAGUUAAGGGUUACAUAUUUUACAAUCACUAUGUCAAUACAUAGGACCACAGCAAAACCAGCGGGCACUAAGAAACACACAUAACAGCAAGAAACCCAGUGGUGAUACCCACAUGGACCUCAAGUACGCCUCUAUUACAAUGUCGAUGAUAUCUCGUCUAUAUCUUGUAAAUGAGAUGUUAGCGACGAAAAUUUAGGUCUUUUGAGACUUGACCUUGCCACCUGCACUAAGAAAAAUUGUAUUAGGACAGAGAUGAUAUUAAAGGCGCGCGCCAUAAGCUAGAAUACCCGUGGAUUGAGUACAUCCUUGAGGAAUAAAAGUACGUGACACCAAAUGACACUAGUAGUGCUUCCCGUCAACUGCCCUCAUUCCAGUGUAACAAUAGAAUCAGUUAUAAAUAAAAGAUCAUGAUGAAGAGGAAGCAAGAGGAAACUAUCUCACAAUGUGAAACUCAUAUAGUUCUGAAAAGAUGAGAGAACCAACGGGAGGAAGCACACCUGUGAAGUAAGAAUGCGGCCACUGGACUCAAACCCGAAUCGUAACUUUUGUCCCUUUGAGAUCUAAGUCUAGCAGUCCCAGAACGAAUGUGCGAAGAUGGGACAUGUCCAUCUUUUUCACCGCCAUUAUCUGAGAGUAACCGGCGUGCUAGGCUCUGCAGACCUUUCACAGGAGCUUCGUCUUUUCUGAAAAACAGGAUUAAACCAAUCAGAGCACUAAGUGAUUCCAAAGUAUCGACUAGAAGUAUACCAGAAGCUUACAUAAUUCACAUUAAAAUUAUCCCAUGAGUUCCUAUAUCAUAACUACAGAAAAAAUUCAGUAAGUUAUAAAACAGUCAGAGAUUAAAAGUUUUCGAUCCAAAACUAAUAUGUUCCUAAUAACAUCACUACAACACAGUAUACGGAUGCAUGUAAAUAACUAUGUCUUCUCAUAUGAAAAAGCAACUGAUCCAUUGACGUGAUGUUGUGAUUUGACGUAACGUUAACGUUUGUCAGCUGGCAUCCCUCCGCGGAAGUUACUGCAUGCCUGAUGGGCAUAAAAGUUUCUGAUUAAUCCAGUACCUGAUUAGUUGUCUUAGAAGUUUGCUAACAAGAACUUCACAAGCACCUGGCGCCAGCCGCUCCAGAUCCAUCAAAGCGUCCGCUGCAUCAGCUGCAGCUCUUAAAGCAGGCCCUUCCGACUGCUCAGCUGCAGUCUGCAUGAAACGCUGCAAUCAAUUAAAGGUAGGUUUGAUGGACUGUAAAGGCACUGCCCGGCAAGGAAAGCCAUUAAUUGCCACUAGGUUUUAAGAGAUUACUCGCCAUUUGUUGCUUUAUCAUGCUUGACGCUACCUGGACUUUAAUUGGACAAGUUUAUGUAGUACAUGUUCAAAACUGUUCCAGCCUAACUAAAAUGUCGAUGAUCCAAAAUGAAAUGAUUCACUUAAUAUGAUUAGAGUUGACGUAAACUGUUUCCUCCGAAUUAUCCUUUCAAAACUAGGGUGGGUUUCAAUCUCAACUAUACCCACAGACACUCAUUACAGCGAUCUCUCUGUAUCUGACACAUAAUUUAAUUAGAUUUGACGUUCAUAAAGAAAAGAAGAAAAAGCUGUUUGCAAAGUGAGACUUAGUAGCACUUUCCUAUCCUUUCUAUUAAGCUCCAUCGUCUACUAUCAGUAUGGGGUGAAAUGACAAAAUAGUUACCUCUUUAAGAGCAGGUAUUAGAAGAAGGGUCAAGGCAGCCGAUGCACCAGCUGCAGCGGCUCGGGCAACGUCCUCCUCACUGGCCCGUCUACUCUGCCUAGAAGCUGCCUUUGGGGUCUCUCGAGGAUCACUGUAGCCAAAAAAUCAGAAAGGUUGGACAAGUACAUCUAAACCUAAUGAAUAGAAGUCCAACCAUGAAAAUAGAAGUAGAAGAUCCUUGUGACAUGAGAAACUAAAAUCCACCCAUUUGGAUAACUACCCAUGCAAGGUGCAAAAGAAAAAGACAUGAAGGCAAGAGCAGUCCAAACUUCAUGGGUGCACAUAAUCAUUAACCAACCUUAAAUGCUCGUGAGCAUCUUUCCGUAAUUUCACUGGUGUAGGACCUUUUGGACCUCCUUUCCUCAUUCCAGCUUGAAGGGCAGCUUUGGCCUGAAGGAAAAAAAAAGUUACAGUAACCCACAUAACUCUAAAUUUCUACUUUAGGCACAUAGAGGCAUACACUCAAGGUUGUAAAAUUCGUGAACAUAAAGAGAAUACGUCAAAUGCUAAAUCAAAGAUGUGGACCACCCCUCAGAUGAAGAUAAUAACAUCGAGAUUGUAAGACUCCUUCAUGUUAAUAUAGAAUUGCUCGGAACCAAAGAAGAUUAAUCAAAAACCUCGGCAAGAUUUGUUGCACUAUCUUCUCGAGCUUCUAGAUUAAUUUUUGGAGUUCCUGGGAUUGAGCCUCCCUCGUCUGGUGUACUGCUUCGCACUAUAGUCCCACUUGAAAAACCUUCCGAAGCUUCUUCAUUUCUUGAUCCUCCAGUGGUGUUAACCUGCGGGUGAAGACAUAAGUUCCUGAUCCCAGACUGAGAAAGGACAACACAAACAAGCUCGGGACGCGUGCCUACGCGUACAAGGAAGUCACGUUAUGGAAUGGCAAAAAGUACGAAGGGUAUAAGAGUGUCAGGUCAAGGAGUACACUCACAAGUAAUCGAGAAAGAAGAAUUUACCGUAGUAGCUGACAGUGACCCUAGAAAUGGUCGUGCUUGAGAUCUUCCCUCCAUACUGCUAUCACCACUUGCAUGGGGCCCCUGCAAAAAAAUAAGUUACUUUGGGUUAGUGAAUCAGCUCCUGGUUUCACCUAAAUUCGUUAAAAGCAGCACGGCCAUACCACUUUCAGUUGCGUUUCCCAAGACGUUAGCUAUUUAGAUCGUAUCCCUCACAUGCAAGACCGAGUAGUGGACCUCAUAAUACAGUGAUGAAAGUUGACACUCCAAGCUGUGAGCCAAAUUAUUUACGAUCUAAACUCAAAAAUUAGCGGCGAAACGAAGUCAGCAAAAUAAAGUAAUUCAAUUUUUUACAAAUCCCAACGAAAGGCAUUUGGACGCUCCCCGAAUUAAAACUUACAGGAUCUCUCGAAAAGUACGGUUCUGCAUCUAAUCUUUUUUGCGUGCCGAAACUAUUUCUACGAAGCGCAUUUAUAUCCACACUGGCAUCCCUCAGUCCUGCAUCAAUUUGAUAAUCAAGUUCUGCCUUGCUCAAAAGAGUGGGCAAUACGUCGCUUCCUUGAUGUAAGGAAUUAUCAGUCCCUCGAGGCCUGUCUUGAUCUAUUUGCCCAAACGUCUUUGAGCUGCUUCGGAGAGUACCAGUAGUAUGUAUACUGCCAGUCCCAAAGUCCCAACUUGCAUCCCUACGUCGAGAGCUGAUACAUAAUAUUACGAGGCAUCACAGAAUGAGGACGUAUUCAAAGGAAACAGGUUCACAAGUCCACAAGUCAUAAAUUUACGCACAGCAGGUUUUUAUCAACACCACUUGGAAAUUGAGCACAUUAAAAAAUUAAAUACUUAACAAACUAACCUCAAGGGAGGAUAGACACCAUUGUCGCUCCUCAUCCUCACUCCCUUACUGUCAGACUCAUUCUUAAAGGCUUCGGAUGGUCUGGGUGUAUCCUUGGCCUUGCUAACAUGUGAUUUUGGUCGUUCUCUGGAUAGACAAUUGCAUUUCUCAAAAUGGAUGAGGGAGAUGGAUUGAUUUACAAGAAAGAAGAAUGCGACAUGAUAUCAAAAAGCGAGCACGUGAUGACAGAGACAACAAACUGCUAUGCAUUAUCCCUAACCUUAUCCUGUCAACAAGUCUGGAGCUCUUUCGGGCAUUCUUGACGAAUCGGUGUCUGAGAAGCUCCUUCGCACUUGGCCUCUGUGGAAUGCACUUGGGUAUUAAGUCCACGAUAUCUAAUAAAAGAAAAUCGACUUCGACAAGAGGAUAACUCACAACCUUGCAACUUAAGAUCGCAUUCGUGAAACGUCAUAAACUGCUGUCGACAUCAAUAUUAUCGUAGGAAAUACAACUUGCUUUGGGACAAGAUGAUUCCUUCCUCAUUCUUUAUUUCAAUGAUAUGCGACUUAACCGUAUAUACUGCCAAGUCAAAUAAUAAAAUAACUUCUCAACACUGUGCACAACUCUGCAUUUUAUUGUCUACAUCAUCAUCUUCCCCCCCAAAAGCAAAAUAUUUGGAAUCUGAUGUCCUCCAGUUUUCCAUACCUCAGAAGGGUUUUUCUUAAGGCAGAAAGAUACGAACUCCUUGAAGGGUCGAGAAUAAUGAUCAUCCAGCUGCAACAAGUAAAAUUACAUUUUUAUGUUAAUCACCAAUAGACUACAUAAAUUUAGAGUAGACGAGUAAGUGGACAAUGGAGUGCAAAUCCUUAAACCAAAUUUGGUAGUACUGGCAGCUAAUAGACUCUAAAGUCUAAGCAGACUGGAUGAAUCAUCAAACAUAAUUUAUCGAAAAUAUGAGAUUAAUUCCCAUCCCUCCACAGCAUUUUAUCCUGUAAUUAGCAGCGCCACAAGACUCUCACCUGCGGCGGGUUGUUCUUAGGAAUAAGAAAAAGAACACGCAUAGGAUGCAGAUCUGCGUAAGGUGGCUCCCCUUUUGCCAUCUCAAUAGCGGUGAUCCCCAAUGACCAUAUAUCUGCCUGCAAUGAAAAUCACCUGCUCUCAGCUAUUGAAUGAAUGAGAAUGAUCUUUCCAUCACAAGCAUAACCCCCUUCAACACGAAUGAGCAAAAAGUAGCAUCAACUAGGGCACUCCACAGAGCUCUGAGCCAACAAAAAAAUGGCGUACACCAUUUAAUAAGAAAUAUACAUUAGCUACGAUUUCCGAGUAGUUUCCGAUUACCUUCUCAUUGUAGCCAUCUCCAGAGUUCUGUAUGACCUCUGGCGCCAUCCAGAAUGGAGUUCCAACAAAUGUCUGCAGCGACAUGUCAGACUUCCAAUUAAAUCGGUUCAUUCUUAGACAAAAUCACCAAUUUUAAGACCACGUAACAAACCGCUCACAUGGUUCAUCCGCAUACAGACUCGGUUCCAAUAUGCUGGAUAAGGCUACUCUUUCAAAAAAAGCCACAUACAGUUGAGAAGUCAACUGACCUUGCGUUUGGACAUUGUACGAGUCAGCUGAGCAGAAACUCCAAAAUCUGCAACCUGCACCACUUCCCAUCAGAGCCGAUAUUUAUUUCAUCACGUAUCACAAAAACACGAAUUAUAAAACCAACAGACUAGCUGUAUUUUUUAGGAUACCAAUAUACACUGCAAAGAUAUACCACAGUACAUUGUAACCGUUAGCCACAGAGCGAUUAAACAUUCGUAACAAAUCUACACUGUAAGCUUCAAUAAGAAAAAUAGUCAGCUAAGACAUUUUGAUCUGAUCUUAUAGUUGUAGUAUCAUUCUGAAAUUUACAGUCUAAGUGGCGAGGUAAACUUACCUUAACAUCUCCAUUUGCAGUGAGCAGUAUAUUAGCCGCUGCAACAAACAAUACCAUGGAUACAUUAUCGAUAACUAUAAAUGGAGAUUUGUAAGCCUUGAAACUACCAGCAGGCGAAGAUGCAACAUACUCCAACGAAUGCUCAAAACCUCAUGCUCCUGAUAAGCUAUGACCUAAAACGUCAUCCAAAAAUAAAAUGCUAAAUGAAUUAAGUCUAGCAUAAAAUCUGCCAUUACUUGCAUGAUGAACUACGUACACUGGCUCAGAACAAAAAGUAGGUAAAACUUGACGCAAAAGACACCCCUGCACCUUUAAUAUCACGAUGUAUUUUUCCUUCUGAAUGUAGGUAGUCCAGUGACAGCAACAGCUCUCGUAAGAUGGACGCUAUAGAAACUUCAUCAAGUGGUGGUCCAGUCUCAAGCUGCGUCAACACAAAAAUCAAAGUCUUUGUGAAACUUACGUGAAGCAACCUACAUCACAGCUACUCCACACAACUAGUCCAGUCAAUUUGAUGCCCCAAAACUUAAUUAAAAAUUCGUUUCAGUGAGUUGUUGUCAGAGGUAAAUUAUCAACUGAUUCAAUAACGCAAAAGCACAAAAACAGUUUCAUACCCCAACUGGAAAACAAAGUCAAAGUGUGCUGUUAGAUUUACCAAGUCUGAUACAGAGCCACCAGCCAUGUACUCCAUGACAAUCCAUAAUUUUGUCGUGUGUAAGUACGACCCAUAAUACUCUGUGAUAUGAGGUGAUCGACACUGACCUAGUACAGAAAUCUCCUGAGAAACAAAGAUAAAGAACCAAUCAGCUGUCUCCGUAAAGUCCUUGUAACCAUAGAGCACUUAAGAUCUAAUGAGGAACAAACAUCUUGAAGACAUCUAUCCAUCAGGGCAGUACCAAAUUUAGACUGGAGCUAGAAUAAGAAAUUUAAUAUUAAAAUUAUUUACAUUAAUAAAGAAAAACCAAACAAACCUACCUUCUGAAUGUCCUCAACUUCAUCCUCUCUGAUAACAAGGAAAAUUGCGCACCACAUCGAGAAAGUCAGCCUCAGUGAUCUUACAUACACCUUUCCUGCAACUCUUCAGGGUUUUACAGACAUCUAGUAACCCGUGUAAACUUUCACAGAAGUACCUCGUAAAUUUACGAACUGACUCCGGUUACGUCUCAAGGAGGCAAAGACAAUCAAAGUUAACUUUGGAUGAAAUGUGUCACUUACGCUUCCUCCAGGUCGAUGACUUUGAUUGCCACCUCUUUGUUCAACUCCUUAUCAAAUCUGCUCAAGUACAAUUCAAGCAGCAUGAACAACUAUCAGAACGUAGUCUAGAGUGAUCGAAAACUCAAAAUUCCAUAUUUUCUAUGAAUUUAAUCAACCUAAGCUUCAUAUUGUCUUCACUACCCACUUGCAGCCCUCCAGAAGCUCGCCUGGCAUGGAAAUGGAAUAAUACACAGCAUGGCGUGAUCGAUAAUGUGACGCGAAAGACAGCUUAGUUUGUGGUCGGUAGUGCAACUAGAGAAGACUCAAGGAUCUUUACGUGUCAAUUAUUGGUCCGAUUGAGUGAAGGAGUAACUAUAACCAAGGGCAUCAGAGUUUUUGAUGAAAAGCUAUAUCCCAUUUCUAAACAAAGAUCGAAAAAAGAGAAUUUGAAAGAAAAGAAGGACAUCUUGGCUUUCAAAGCUGGACAGAGAAUAUACGCUACAUCAGAUCCAAUGGUCGAACUCAAUUGCAAAAAUAAGACAAAAAAUUUGUUAGAAAAUUGGAGCCGAGCCAUGUCAGUCUCUCCGCGCCAGUUUUGGGAAAUGCUGAUCAACAAAUAAACUCAAUGCAAAACUGUAACCUCCAGUAAGUCUACAGUCGUGAGAGUGCAUAAAAUGUAAGGCAAAACUAAAUUAAGUUAAAAGAUCAGUAGUUGAGUUGAUCGAACCAUCUGCAACUUACCCUCUGAAAACAUCGCCAAAAGAUCCUUUGCCGAUUAGUUCCAAAUUCUCAAACCGAGCUUCCAUGGCACCAUCGAUAAGUCCAUGGACCUCCUCGUCUACAUAUACGUAAUACUCCAUUGCUUGAAUUACUCAACCCUACUGUCCAAAUCCUCGAUCCCUUGCAAGUUUCCUUCAAUUCCACAUUCUCAUCCUUCCCUCCACUUUAAACUAUCACAUUACUCGAAAGAUUCAUCGAGACUGCACCAGGAACAUCGUGACCUCCAAGCAUUGUGAACUCGUGAUGCCACAUACAGAGGCCUCGUUCCUCUUGAUUAAAAUUCUCCCGCAAUCCCAUCUAGGAGUGAUGUGAUACCCCCCCCCCUUCCCCCUCAACUUCACCGCAACCACAAUGCAUCCACAAUCCUCUCGAUCUCCAAACCUGCCAUCUCCCCUGCUUCGAUUCACCUUAAAACCCUGCAACAAACCCUAGAGUAGAACACGAGCAAGCUUGCUCCAUUGCUAAUGAGCUGCCACAAUCGUGAACUGAAAAACGGAUCACGUACUCAACCAUUAUCCACUAUUAACAAACUACAAGAAGGACCACGGCGAGCUGGCUAAGCCACUUGGUAUGCUGCAACAGCAGCACCAAAUCAUAACGCGAACCAUUCACGUCGAAUCAGUGCAGAAUCAUGACGCGAGCUCUAUCGCCAUCGCUCGAGUUCCUGUCUCAGUGCUCAAAAGGCCAGCCUGUAUACAAUGACUAUGCCGUCCGAGAUUAGAUGGAUGAGAAACGCCUCAUGAUUUCAACAGAACGACAUUUUUCAUUCAUUAGAUGUAAAGCAAACGAUUUAUGGUUGGUUACGGGUGGAUGUCUCUGUUCGUUCAUCGACUGCUUGGUUUGGAGAGCUUUUCAUUUCGUGGAUUAGGGUUUCGAUGCUUUUUGUUGAAAUGCUGCAUGUAAAUUGCUCAGAUCGGCAAUGCUGUCAUGGAUGUAAGCUGACUGUUCUUUCAUCUUUCGAGUAAAUCCUACGGUGGAUGAGUAGUCGCAUUCAAGGUAAUGUUUGUGAUUUGGUGAAGUGAAAUUCGACUUGGUUCAACCUGAAGCUUGUCUCUGGAGAUUUGGAGCAGCAAUGUGUGUACAGUAGUUGGUCGGGAUAGAUUUAGCCCUUACCAAAUAGCGGAAUGUAAUGUGUGGAUUUAUAGUGCGAGGCACACCAGCUUCGUAGCAUCAAUUGCACGAGUAAAACAGCUGUUUCUUGUGUCUUUUUUGAAUUCGUAACCAUGUGCUGCUAUUGUCUACAAAAACUCGGGGAUGGUGAUAUUAUUGGUUUGAAACAAUUAAAGAAAUUUACCAAGUCAUCCGACAGAGCAUUGUCUAAGGUCGAUAGGAUCAUAUCCUGACGCCUGUGAGCACUUUCAAGUUUAUAGAGAUAUUUAGCUUGGUGGCUUCUUUGAAUGCGGAGGUAGUUAGGAGACAACAUGAAGGCAGGUGUGUUCAUGUUGAAGUUGAAGCAGAGUCAGAGGCAGUUUUCAAAAUACAGAAGAAGCGACUAGUAUUGAAGAUUGAGCUGCUGAUAGCAGCAAGUUACAUAUUCCUUCACGGGCCUGCUGGUGACUUUUUCAGUGUUGUAUUCGGACUAUUUACUUACAUUUAUAUUUUCUGAUUGCAAGAAUGUGAAAAAGAGAAAGGUUUAAUGUGCUACCUUAUGCUCGAAAGCUACGGGAGGAGGGAAGUCUGGGAGGCCUAACAUCGAGGUGCAGAACCUAAUAAAUUUUACCAUUUAACCUCUUCUAUGAGGUGGUCAUUGAUAUCGGCUAGCUAAUUUUCUUUUGUGACAAUGCUGAAAUUCAGUUGCAGCUGGGCCAAACUACUUAGUCUGUUGAUCAACAUAGCAUUUUCUCAGGUUCUUUUCAAUACUGAAUCCUCAUUUCUCUCCCGAAGAAUAACACAGGUUUUUGUAUUAUGAAGCCAUGAUGCUUACCUCUGUAGCUUUCUAAACACACCUAAUCGUACUGCGAGAUGAUUUUGGUCAUCGAAUGAACCUCGGAGAUCCCAGCUUGCUGUGCAUGGUUGUUUCAAAGAGAACCAUGACAACCCACACAACUGUACAUCACCUCAAAGCAGCUCAAAACAUUCUUUUGUAUUUUAGGGGAAGAAGACUUCCUUGCCUCUCAUCCUUGGAGUGUCAUGAUUUUCAUGUUUUAUGCUCCAUCAGCAUGUCCCUCAAUACAUUUUCGGAGGAGUCUGAGAACCAAACACACAAAAUCAUUUUUACUGCGGCUACAGAUUUAGCAUUCUCAAUCACAAUGCCUUAGUUAUUUAGGAUGACCACUAAGAUCAGAGAGUUGGGAAAGGGAAGUUGGCUGACCCUGAGGGCGAGUGAGCAGGCGAGGAACAUCAUGACUGGGCCGAAAACUCCAACGGGUUCAUUAAUUGUCGGUCGCAAAGCUGUAGUGCCCUGCUCCCCUCCACUCCCCGCACGAAAUUCUUCACUGACAUGAAUCCGGCAUUGAGACGCCAUUUCCUCCCACCCCAUUCUCACAUGAAACUUUGCGUUUGUAAGUACCCAAUGAAAUAGGAUUCUAGAACUCUUGAUGGUACUCAGUUUAUUCCUGGCACUUCUGAGAUCGAAGUUGUGACUGCUCGACGGAACAUUGGACUUAACUGUGGUGAAGAAACUAGUGCAACUACGGCAGUUUCUAAGAAUGAGAGGUCUUCCAGACAAUUUGUGCUGAUCUACUUUUCGGGACAGUUGUCAAAGUCUUCAUCAUUUCUAAUUAUUUCAGCAAAUACUAUCUGGUUAAUAAGAGUAUGGUGUGACACAGCUCCUCGAAGCAAACGUAUUAAUUUCAAUUCUACAUGUGUGCUGUUUAUUGGGAGAAAAUAAGAGUGUACCUUCCUCAAAUUUGCGUUUCUGGUAGCACCAAACGAGUUUUCUUCUUUUGGUGGUGAGCUCACAGCUACUUCACUUUCCGAAGUGUCAGGGCUUUUAGAUAAUCGUGCAUUUUUGAACUGCAAAAGCGUAUUUACAUUACAUAUAUAGUAUACCAUGUUCAUAAACCUCGUAAGUUUAGAACCAAUUAAAAUCAUAUCUUGAUGGUUGAAAUCAAUUGAAAAACUUGGCAACUCAGAUGGUGGGCUCCUCGAUCCGGCAGGAUACUGCUCAUGGAGUACAUUGACCACAUAGUAUGUUGCUUAUUAUAUCAAGAGGUGCAGAUAUGUAUGAGCAUGUAUAUAUUAGGCACAUGCAGAAUGGGAAACCAUGUCACAAACACCAAUUAGUUCAUAAGAUUAUGGGGGCACUUUUUUGCCACGGAUGCUGUUUACAUAGUUACCGAGUAACUCAGACAACAAGAACCGACAAGAACUGAAAAAAAUAUGGCAACUCAGUCUCGUAGACGCCUCAUUACAGUUCUAUGUAAGCUGAUAAUGCUGCUGUGCGAUGUAAGAUUCGUCUGAAUAUGAGAUCUUCUGACUCUAGCAGUUGCAACGUUAUUGUGAAUUGAGAUUGCAUGUCGUUUGAUGCAGAUUCUGUGCCUAGCAGAUUUUUCAAGCUGCAGUUAUAAGGUUGCUGUAAUGCAGGCAGCCAUCAUGUGUUUCUUUUCACCCAGUUCCCACCGGUUGAACAAAUCUGCUUGGUUUCGCCCCAAUAUACCAUUUCAGACUGUUAAAGUUCGGAUUCCAAGUCGUGUCUCUUGGAUGGACUAUGUAAGACUUUGCGUCCAAUACCUUUGGUCAAAGCCCAACGAGAGAGCCGGAAGCGUUUUAAAUUAGCGUAAUGCUGCUACGUAAUGCAAUAUGUUAUAUGAGCAUGGCCUGAGGUACCUUUUCCGACUUAGGGGAGGCCCCGUAGCUAGUAUGUACAGAUACACCAUCUUCUCCAGAGGUCCCAUUCGAAGUAUACAUUGAUUGCUUGGAAUUGGUCAUAUUCAUUUCAACCGUCCCGAUGGAGCCUCGUGAGCAUGUCUCUCCUGCUUUAUUUUCUCUUGCAGGUGAUGUACCUGAGCUCUUGGACGAAGGACCAGCUACAGAUGCAGUUGAGGAAACGCCGCUACCAAGACGACCCUCAUCAACAGGUAUCUGUUUAGACACAAUAAAGAAAGAAACCCUACAUUACUCAGUUUUGAGAGGCAGUUUCAUAGAUUAUUUUUAUAUAUGAUCACCUUGCAUGUGUCGAAGGCCUAUUUCAAGUCAUACCUCUCGGUUAUUUGGCAAUUCGCAUCCUCCUUUAACAACGGAGUUCCUUGACGAGCCCCUUGACGAGUGGGAUUGAGGACGUGUAGGCUGGAUGUUGUGACAUGGCUUCAAGGAGCGUCGGUUGGAGGAAUUCUCUGUAUGACAGACAAGAUCUUCUAAACCUGCGUAAUGAUGACUUAAUGUCCUGAAUUUAUCCUGCCAAUCCUCCACUUCAGCCCGCAAAUUGUGGUUGCUACGCCGCAAUGAAGCCUGUUGCAGGUAUGGGAAGGAUAAUUUAUUAUCUCUUAUUCGAAAUAGAAAAUAUGGAAUAAUUCCUCAGUCAAGAUAUUGCCACUAUUGAGCUAACGUAAAUCCCAAUGCGACAUAGCGCUGCGACGGAUGAAACAUUUAAGCAGGGUUGCAGAUUGUCGAAGUUGAUACCAAACUAUCUCUUGACAGUUCAUCAUGUAAUAGAAAUCCCAUGACCGCAGAAAAUGGGUUUUAGUAAGAUCACGUAUUUUCAGCUCUUGGACGUGGCCAUAUAGGAGCCGAUUUUCUUAAAUUAAAAGUAGACUUUCUUAUCAUGUAAUUGUACCAAUUCCACCAGAAGCUGAGCCUUCUCCCCUCCAAGAGAGGCUCGAACCUGCGCAUAGUUGAACCUUACGUGAGGAUUUUAGCAGCGUUUCUUUCAACUGACUCUGCUUCUGAAGUUUAGCUAUGUAACAAAGAUUUUUCUCUGUCUCCAAAGCAAGAAGUACGAUGCAAGUUAAAAGUCUCACGGAGCUUGAGAAAAAUUGACACAGAAAUGGAUACCAAACCUUGCGCAGUUCAUGAUCAUAGUGUGCAAUGGUCGAUGACAUUUCUUGACCCUGCAGGUUCUUCACCUGUGAAACGUAGGCAGCAAACGAAACCCUUAGUUCAUGGACAGAAUUAAUUGUGACGUUGAUUCAGGUGUUACGGCCAUUGUUAGGUCUAAGAGAUCAGGUCUAGCACGAACACAAGUAAACUUCAACACAAAAAAAGGGUUUUCAAAAUGUGAACUAUUGGACAACCUGUUGCUCUAAGAUCUCAUUUUGGAGAAUCAAUUCCUUGUGAUCGGUUCGCAGAUCAUCGUAAUUCUUCUGUAAGGAAUGAGCAGUUAUUCGUCUCUUCUCCAGGGCCUUCUUCAGCUCCGAGUUGUGUGUGCGGUACUCACAAGCUGUAGACUGCAAAGAUAUUCUCCAGGGUCAGUCAUCAUAGCAGUGACAAACUGCCUCCCAUCCAACUAUCACACUCGUAAUCCUGUGGGACAAGCUGGAAAAUGUAUUUAUAAUAAUUCUAUACUCAAAAAUAUGAUAUUAAAUAACCUUCAACGUCAGUGGAACAGAAGAAUCUAAAUGUUGACCUUGAGCGUUUCGUACUUCUUCUGCAAAGCUGAAUGCUCAGCCUUAUGGGUUGCUUGCAGCUCCUCAAGCCUGGCAUUCAUGUCCUCCCAUCGCCUUUCCUGCAACAAAUUACCAAAUUGGGCCCUUGUGCGUCUGGUUCUCCAAUAAACUUUGCAAUAUAUGACUUAUAAUCCACAGGUUACACACAUCCGCUAGUGCAUAUGAUCUGAUCAGGCAUGCCGAAGUUUUGUUUCAAUGCUAAGAAUUGAGGAGUUUCGGUUGUGUAGGGCGUGUGUACUGUUUUAGCAACAAGCAAUUAUUAGGGAAUGUACCAGCUUCCCAUUCUGAUCCAGUAAAUCCUGGUUCUGCAAUGCCCUUGCCUGCUUGUAUAUCAACAAUCAGAUCGUUAGCAAGUAUCUAAAUAAACAUGCAACUUGGGAUGUUCCUCCAUCGACAAAGUUGCAUAACAUGAAAUUAAUACCUAAAAUGAAACUAGUUAUUUGACUGAGUACCACCAGGAAAUUAUGCAUAUUUGGUGUUUAUGGUCGUAAUUGGUUUUCUUUAAGCUUGAAAUAAAAAUCAAGUGAUAAAAAAAUAAUUCACUACUUUCGCAACUACCUGCCGGCUUUUUUUUCUUAAGGAUUAUUUUAAUGAUGCAUGUUUGGAAAAUGUUUUCAUAUUUAGAUUUAACAAAUACAUGUUGUCCCGUAUGAUAACAUUAUGAAUUAAAAGUCAAAUAACUAGUUAAUUUUGAUAUAUAAUUAAAAAAUGGGACUCAAUAAAUGUAAUUUUUGGAUACAUUUUCUUCAAACAUACUUUUGCAACAUUUGUAUUUGGAAUGUUGUAUUAGAUUGUUCAAAUCACAGAAAUAUAAUUUUUUAAAGUAUAUCUGAAGACGACUUAUUUUCAGAAUCGAUGUAUUCAAAAAGUUACCCUAAUUCCAAUUAAAAUAGAAAUAAUCACAUUACAAUAAAAUGCUCCUAAGAUUAUUUUGCAGUCAUCAGUACGUAUUUGGCAAAAGAAUUCAGCUCAAAAGUAUAAGAUCAGUUCUUUGUUUUCUAUCUAUGAAAAGUAGAAGUGUAGACCAGGGUUGGUAUUUUGUUCAGUUUGCCAUCCCUCAACUCUAUGUCCAAUACGUACCUCGUGAAGUAUGCGGGCUUCAGUGGCCUCCACAUUUAUCCUCUCAAUCUCUUGCUGUUGCGCCUUCGUGAGGGCGUGUGUCUCACGUCGCACCUGAAAAUACAUUCGAGAGUAAUUACAUCAAUCAAAUUGUCAAAUUGGAAUUUCGGACACAUCAUGUGUGGUGCAUCAUGCUUAGAAGGACGUAGCACGGUCCUUAAACCUACACUGAAUUUCUUACCUUGUCAAGCUCCAUGGUUGCUUCACGGGCUGCUGCAACAGCUUCAGCAGCGGCAGCUGCGUGCUUUCGAACCUCAUGAGUCGCAGCUGUGGCCACCUUACCCCUUAGUUGAUCAAGGUCGAGACCUUGCUUAACAACUGAAGCUGUACUUUCACAACCAAACCACGACAUAGUGAACGUUACAAUUCCAUCCAGCGACCAUAUGCUUACCACAUGCCCAUGCCAUUCAGAGAGGCUUUCGCAGAACGACAGCAUUACUUGCACCCGAAAAACUCAAGAUGCAAAGAACAGUACAGGGAGUACUCAACACAAAGCCAGCAAAUGCUCAAGUUCCUGAACACGCGAAAGGAGGCCGGAUGCAGCAGCUUCUACACUGCCCACAUAAACUCGCAAUGAAUCGGUCUCCCUUUGCCCUUCCUCUCUUGCCCUGAAAUAAUCAAUGACAAGACACAUCACCUUCUAACAACAUGCCGAGAAUAAUUUGAAUCUUGUUGCUGCAGCAAACUACAAAUCAAGGAAGCCUGUGGUACUUCUUUUGAGUCUUUUACAGUCUCAAAAUUGUGAUCCCAGAAUCUAAGCUCCAAGCAUUCAAAAUAUUCAAUCGAAUUGCGAGAGCCAAAACCCCUAAAAAGUUUCAAAAUAACGAAUGUUGUGUUUAGUGCUCACUCGAAAUCUGCUAAUCGUGCUAGCAAUUGGUCAAGGUAGAAAGAUGGAUGAAACAAUUCAAGAAUUGACAUAAAGACCUUUCUGAGGCGCGCAACGCUACUUGAAAUUCUGAAAAUCUUUGAUGGAGGUUGACAGAGGCUGGAUGAUCGUACUGCGGGGACACGCAACCAAUCCCUCAGUUAUUGUCCAACUCCAGUAGUAUUCAAGUCACCCAAAAACAUGUUCUUACUGACAAACUGGAAGAUUAGAACAUUCAGUGGAUUGCAAUUAGGUUUGGAUAGACGUACAUUGUCUACACUGGACAUGGAGGAGCCUUCACCAGAGCUGGGCCAAAAUGGGUGACUGCCAGAGGGUGGCAACACGGAAGGGGGAGACUCCUGUGGGCGACCAUUCUGUUUCUUCUUAUUUGUGUGCACCUCGUAAUGCGGCAAAAAUUCGCAAUCAUUGUCAAGUGAUUUCCCUAUUUCUUCAUAGACGCAUUCAGUCUUUGCGUUUUUGCUCUUUCCUGUCAUUUUUAGAGUCUGAUCUACUACGACGCUGUGUACGUCUGUAACACCAGGACCUGAACAAUUCUGCAUCGAAGAAAAACUCGCUUCUCGGGAGGACCACUGCUCUAUGGCAGACUUGAUGCUGAGAAGCACCCAACAGUAGGGUGGGCAAAACUGCAAGCAUAGAAGUUGCACCUUUCAUCUCCCAUAUCAUCUUCACUUGUGAUGCCCUCAAACAAACUUGCUUCCUCGAUACGAUCUGAAUAACUCACCUUAAUGUAAUUGGUAUCCGAAGACUGUGAUUGAAUGCAUUAUCUUUAAAAAAUAGUUUGUCUCUUGAGGGAUGGAAUUAGACCCUCUCAAGUUACAAGCAAACCCUGAAGGAGAAUUUGUACCCACAAGCAUAUGAAACUAAGAAUCACUGAUUUUUAUUCUAUUCAGAAAAAAUAAGACGACACCAAAUCUGACGAUAUCACUUACAAUGAGAGGUUCGGGAAUCCAAUCGAUGACAGAAUGCUACUAUUUCUUUGCACAAUAUGUUACCCCCGGCAUCCUUUCUGCCUGUUGCAAGCUUUGCAUCAAUGCAGGAAUUACGGUCGCAAACGCCCUCAAGUAAUUAUCAGAGGAACUCCACGUCACUUCAUCACAAACAUGAAGUUUAACUUUGUCGAGUUAUCUACAGUAGCAAGCCUGCACUCAGCAGCAGCAGCAUCACAAUCAGAUCGCAGCAAGCUAUUACAGUCACCAGCUCUGGGACAAACGAGAAGGUCAUGACUUACUUGAAAAACCUAAUCUUCUGACCAGAAUAAUCUGUCAGAAGCCCGAAACUGUGCUGGAAGCCAAGUCCGUAAAUUUUUUAGGAAAACACCCACUUCAGAAGAUGGUCUGUGCAGCAGCUACGCAACCCAAGUGGGAGGAUGCAGAUGCAGAGGUCUUGUGAAGCUGGAAGGUGAGGGCGGAGGAGGGCAUUGACACCGAUGAUUCAAAGAAGCGAUGAUGGGGUUGGAUUCGAGGCUUCUUCGACUCCUGCAGCUGCCUGACACGCUUAACUACCUGCAUUGCGUAGUCCCCGUUCGGGCGGUUACAUCGAAACGCAGCCCAAACCAAAGCGAUGAGACGGAUUCAUGAAAUGGCAGACACUCUCCUCCUCCUCCUCCUCGUCGUCGAACAUGGAUGCAUCCGUCGAUCGAGAUUCUUCUUCGGCUGCAUUCCCCCGCCCCCUUGCGCCUCCAGCCCAUUGCUGCUCUCGACAUCCAACGGCGGAGACCCCGAGGAGGCGCAGUUGAAUUUCGGGAACGCUGCACUUGUGCCUUGAAUGUUGAGGACUCAAAGGGAAGACCCCAAUGCAUUCAAACCCAUUUGAUACGAAACAUUUAUAUGAUAAAAUUUAACAGUAAUUUUACAACCAGAAAACUAGGAAAAUAAAAAGAAAAUGCACUCGUGAGAAGGAAGCAUGAGUCUCAACUUCUGUGGUUUUAAAGGAUCAACAAAAAAAUUGUUUAUACAUCGAUGGGAAUCCCUUCAAAGAAUUUUGAGUGUAUUUUUCUUUUUCCUAAGCUUAUUUUUGGACGUUUUGCAACACCUCGAUUGAAUUUGUUUAGGCAAUGUGGCUAUUGAACAAACUUGUAAAUGAGCCCCAUAUUUGCCUCCCAAAGGCUGGAACAAAGUUGUUGGACACAUUCGGAUUCUGUAUUGAAAAGGGUAAUUCUUCUAUUAGACCUGUCUUGUACCCAAAACUUCCUUUACUUUCUCCAAUCAACGUUCCUGCAGUAGAACUCCCAAUUUCCCACCAUUUAAACUCCACGUUCCCACAAGUAGAACACAAAACAAACAAGUCAAACACCUGCGAAUUCAUUCCAAAUAAGCAAUUCGAUGAGCAUGAGGAGUGGAUUUCCUUGCCUUGGGCUUCAAAACAUUCUUUCGACUACUUCAUUUUGGAUGGAUUUAGAAAUAAAAUACUCAGAGAGCAAGAUGGUAUAUAUUAAAGGUUUAUUAUAGGUUGGUCCAAAUUUUUAUUAAAUUGCAUCCAAAAAUAAUAAGGUACUUUAGAGCAAAUGACAACAUUUGCAAUCUCUGUAAGCAUGGUAAAACAAUUAAUAAUAACAUCUACUUUCUAUUGUCUCUUAACCUUAAGGUCCCACGGCCCCACCAUGUGAGUUUUUUCUAUCUUAUCUAUAUAAAUUUUGUUGCAUCACUAGGAUGUAUAAGUUUUAAUUUUGUUUUUGUUUUUGUUUUUUUUAUUAUUAAUUUUGAUUUUAACAUUAAAAAUAUUAAUCAUACCUAAUCAAGAGCAUGAAUCUAAAUAUGACUAUGAAAACAAGCCAGUCUGACAAUUAUUAAAGAGGUACUCCAUUAUUUGCAUCAUAUAUGUGUUGGAAUAAUCAAAAUGUUUGUUUAAGAACAUGAACGUGUUUGUUCAUGGUAUUUUGAGUAUUUAUAAUAAAAAUUAAAGUCUUUAUAAUAAAAAUAAAAUAAUAAUGUGCUAUUCAUCUUAUACUUAUAUAUAUAUAUAUAUAUAUAUAACAUAAAAUUUGCAUACUGAGUCAAUCAAAGGAUUAAAAUAGUGAUAAUGUGAUGCAUUUAGCGGUGAGCUUAACAAGCUAACGAUCCAAACCCAAUGCACAAGCAUUCAUUUUGAUUCAUCAUGAAAUACUACAGUUCAAGUAUUUACUUUGUAACCGACAUCUUAAAAAAUUCCCAGAAUAUUCUACGUGCUACAAAAACUUUUGCAAUUUUGGACGGCAAUUAAAAUACCAUGUCAUGUUUGCAAUAUAUUUCAAUUUGUUCUUUAAAAUUCUUGAACAACAUAUAAAGUCCCAUGUUAUCUAUGAAUAGAAAUCCAUGUGAAAAGAACGUCAUAUGCAAAAUAAAAAUAUAGAACAUAAGAAGCACCAUGGCUGCUAAAAACUUAAGAUGUAUCUUAUGUUUCAACUUUAAUUUAUAUAUAUAUAUAUAUAUAUAUAUGUAUUCAUUAGUGAAAAUGCCAUAUUUUCAAAGUAUUUUACUAUAGAAAUACUCUGUCAAAGCACAAUUCUAAAUAAGUGAUCAUUCUCACAACUAUAUAAUUGUCCAACAAUGUGCUUCUAGUUUUUCCUGUAAUUUCAAAAACUAUGAUAAGAAUUGCUUCCAGCCACAACCACCUACUUCAGCUAAGUCAACACUACUGCAUUCCAAAGAUUUUCCACAAAAAGAGGAACAAAAACCUAGAAAAGAAAAAGAGAAAGAAAAAGAGAAACAAGAAAAGAAAAAGCUACGAAAGAAAGAGGAAAGAAAACAAUCCGAAAAGGAAGCUAAUUGAUAAAGAUAAAGAAGAGAAGAGAAGGAAAGAAAUACAAGAAAAAGAAAGAAAUACAAGAAAAAGAAAGAAAUGAAAAGAAGCAGAACAAGUAAAAACAAGUAAAAACAAGUAAAAGUAAACGUAAAAGGUAAAACCAAGAAUAAGGAAAGAGAAGAAAGCGAAAGGGGGAAAGAUAAGGAAGAAGUGCACCAUGACAGCCUCAGGCUGUAGAACCCAAGAAAAAGCGACGCCGUCAUGGCGCCGUCUACAGCACCGCGAUUAGGUCACCGUUCCCACCGUCCUGGGAGAGUGGGUGGUGGUUCGGAGAUCCAGACCAGACCACCGCAAGCCGCCGCUUGCCCUACAAACCACGCCUUCAACCAUGCGGCCACGUCAGACGUAGCUCCUUGCCGCACCAUCCACACCGUCCGAUCUCCCAUCCGACGGACCCACCGCAUUCCGAACAUGCAAAGUUUGCGCUUUCUCCUGGCCUUCAAGAAUGCUCUCCCACCCCUCCCACUUCCCUACUCUCUCCCAGGCAGGACGGCAGGAGAGAUUGGUCGUUGUUGCGCACUUCACUGUUACAGAUAGAAACCUCCGCUUCUUCAGGUAUUGUCCCUUCCCCUGCCCUCUUGCUCGUUCUAUGGAGUUAUUGCACUGGCUACAUGCAAUGAGUUUGCGGCUAUGCUCGAAUACAUGGUCACUUCUACUAUUUGGAAACACGAUACACGGUUCAUAUCCUGUGUUGCUACUUUCAGCAGUGCAGGAGCUGCUGACCUUCGGUGUUUCAUCUCCGGAGGGUGUAUGUCACGUCCUCAGGAUGGUGUAUUAGCUAAUAUCUGAGAGGCCGACUUGAAUGGCUCUAUUCAUGUAAUUUUUUUGUGGAUAGAGUCUGUGACAUGUUGUUUCCACUUGUGUUUUGUAGCUCUUCACGAUCCGCUGUGGCCUAUCUAAGUUUGGUACCAUUUAUGUGAAGCAGAUAGUUCAAGAUGGGUAAGGAGAAGGUCCACAUCAACAUCGUGGUCAUCGGCCAUGUCGACUCCGGCAAGUCGACGACCACUGGGCACCUUAUCUACAAGUUGGGAGGUAUCGACAAGCGUGUGAUCGAGCGUUUUGAGAAGGAGGCGGCGGAGAUGAACAAGCGUUCGUUCAAGUACGCGUGGGUGCUGGACAAGCUGAAGGCAGAGCGCGAGCGUGGUAUCACGAUCGAUAUCGCGUUGUGGAAGUUCGAGACCGUGAAGUACUACUGCACUGUGAUCGACGCGCCCGGACAUCGCGAUUUCAUCAAGAACAUGAUCACGGGAACGUCGCAGGCGGACUGUGCUGUGUUGAUCAUCGACUCGACGACGGGAGGGUUCGAGGCCGGUAUCUCGAAGGAUGGACAGACGCGUGAGCACGCACUGCUGGCGUUCACUUUGGGAGUGAAGCAGAUGAUUUGCUGCUGCAACAAGGUGGGUUCGGGGGCAUUUUGGUUGAGGUUGGGGGGUAGGGACAUGGUAUGGGAGCGGGGCGCGGUGGUGGCAUUGGGUUGCGUUAUGGACAUGGCGUGGGUAAUGUCGGGGGCAGACGAGUGGGGUAAGGGGUAGGGUUUUUUGCGUGCAUUUUUGGGGAGCAGUGAGGUGGGCUGAUGUUGGUGAUGUGGAGGGUGGCAGAUGGACGCGACGACCCCGAAGUACAGCAAGGCCCGAUUUGAGGAGAUCAGCAAGGAGGUGUCGGCGUACCUGAAGAAGGUGGGGUACAACCCGGACAAGAUUCCGUUCGUGCCGAUCUCAGGGUUCGAGGGUGACAACAUGAUCGAGAGGUCGACGAACCUGGACUGGUACAAGGGUCCGACUCUGUUGGAGGCGUUGGACAACGUGUCGGAGCCGAAGAGGCCAUCUGACAAGCCUCUGAGGCUGCCGCUUCAGGACGUGUACAAGAUUGGGGGCAUUGGAACUGUGCCAGUGGGACGGGUGGAGACGGGAAUCAUCAGGCCGGGCAUGUUGGUGUGCUUCGCACCGACGGGACUGACGACUGAGGUGAAGUCUGUGGAGAUGCACCACGAGUCGAUGCCCGAGGCACACCCGGGUGACAACGUUGGGUUCAACGUGAAGAAUGUGGCGGUGAAGGACCUGAAGAGAGGGUACGUGGCCUCAGACUCGAAGAAUGACCCUGCAAAGGAGGCAGCAAACUUUACGGCGCAGGUUAUCAUCAUGAACCACCCGGGACAGAUCGGGAACGGUUACGCAC